rnacentral:lncRNA from 1 species
UUUUGCUGGAAGUGUUAAUUACUUUGUUUCAUAAGUAGUGCAAUGCUUGUUUUUGAAUGAUUUACGCAUGAAUUCCGCGUCUCAUGAAUUCUGUUUGUUAGAUUCCCAGUUUGUAGAUUUUUCAUUAAGAUUGAGAAAAGGAACAAUAUGUAAACGAAAAGGCAUGUGAAUUUGUAGAAGUCUGAGCUGCGGUUUAAUGUAGUUGGAAGUCUAUUGAUUAGGGGUUUCUACUAAGUGCGGUGAAAUAGAGUAGGAAAAAUGAGUGGUUCAACUUCUAUGUUGUUAUUUGUCCAAACUAUUUUCAUUAUAGAAUUGACUGAAUCUUACAAUCAAGUUUUUUGUAUUAUUGUUAUUCCUAAGGAUCCAAAAUUUCAGCCAGAAUUGUCAAGCACCUAUCAGCCUCUAAAAUGCAAUCCUGAUUGCAACUGUGAUGAUGAAAGGGAACAGUGCAUUUAUGACAGACGGUAUGCUGAAAUGAGCACUAGCAGUGGUGUUCUUGCUGAGGACUUUAUAUCCUUUGGCAAUCAGAGUGAACUUGAACCGCAGCGUGCUGUUUUUGGUUGUGAAAAUGUAGAAACUGGUGACCUUUACAGUCAACAUGCCGAUGGCAUAAUGGGAUUGGGCAGUGGUGAUCUCAGUAUUGUCGAUCAACUUGUUGAAAAAGGCGUGAUUAGUGACUCAUUCUCAUUGUGUUAUGGCGGAAUGAAUAUUGGUGGGGGUGCAAUGGUUCUUGGUAGUUUGUCCCCACCUUCCGGCAUGGUCUUUACCUAUUCAGAUCCUGUGCGCAGGUGUGUUGUUAAAAAUUCUCUCUCUGUCAGAUGUGAUACAUCUUGAACUUUCCUAACAAGCACAUUUGGUACCUUUCAUACAUUUACUCUAGUUUCGGGAUGGCAACAGUCAAUACUAUAACAUUGAUUUGAGAGAGAUACAUGUUGCGGGGAAGCGGUUGCCUCUUGAGCCUGGUGUAUUUGAUAGAAAACAUGGUACUAUCCUGGAUAGUGGCACAACAUAUGCUUACCUACCAGAAGCAGUAUUUAAAGCAUUUAAGGACGCUGUAAGCUUCAGUUUCCUUGCUUACAUCCUUUAUCAUUUUCUAUUUGUUCCAUUUUGCAAUUAAUAAUUGAAGGAACCUAUUCUUUGCACCAGUUUGUUCCUGAGAAAUAAUUGUUGCCUUCAUGUAAUUAAGAUUACAAUCUUAAAUAUAGCAUGGUUUGAUUAAUUCCUGAAAAUGUUAAGACAGCAUUCAUUUAAAUUUUAGUUUAAUGAAUUAUGAAGUAAUGCAUUCUGAGAAAGAUAAUGAAUAGGGUGAGUGCUUGAAUGUUAUGACAUGGAUGAUGCAUCUGAGAAAAGCAAGGACAGUAAUUUGUCUGUUUUGUUCAUUCAAGUGGAUUGUGUGUAUGGUAUGGUAAUGUAUAAAUUCAUUCUAGUGCUUCUCUGCUUUUCCCAUGAAAAAAGAUCUUUCAUUCCUCAGUUCUAAUUUGAAAUUUAUUCUAGUGCUGGUCCAUGUCUUCACCUCUUCUUAGUGCAGCUUACCAAUUUGUUCUUUUAUUUGUAUCUAAUGGGUUCUCCUUUUUAAUUUGUAUAGAUUAUGAAGGAACUUCACUCGUUAAAGCAGAUCCGUGGUCCUGAUCCAAAUUAUAAUGACAUUUGCUUUUCUGGUGCUGGAAGGUAUUAUCUAAAUAAGAAAAGAAUGUGUGAAUUGAAUUCCACAGAUAGAUGGGUUUCUUAUUGUUAUUGCGUGAUUAAAAGUCAAAUUGAUUUAAUGUCCUCAGUGAAGUCUCCCAACUUUCAAAUGCAUUUCCAACGGUUGACAUGAUAUUUGAACAUGGGCAAAAGUGGUCACUAUCACCUGAAAAUUACCUAUUCCGUGUGAGUAUUGAUCUUUCUAUCAUUUUUUUGAAGCAAAAAAGGCGGGACACGUGAAGAUAAGAGAAAUCCCGAUCUUUACAUGAAUUUUCAAUUUUAUUUGAACUUUAUCAAUUUGUACACUUUAUCAGUGACUUUCUGGCAUUGAGGCUGUUAUUUCUGAAAAUGCAUGUUUUAGAUGUUACUGCAAUGCAGUUUGAAACAUUUUAUUUUCUUGGAGUGUGUAUUAUCAUAAAUGCACAUCUAUGUUUGAAAUAUUCUUUAAUGACUUUAAUAUAUUCAAGGUCUCAUUUUGUAUCAGCGAUAAGUACAACAACAAUGAGAAGCAGACCUAAAGUGGUAUUUAAUUGAAUUGGCAUGUUGACAUAGUUGGCGAGUUGAGAAAGAUUCCAACUAUUGGCAUGAGCCCGGCCUGAAGAUAUCUAACCUGAUUUUCCAUUCUUUUCAUAUACAACAUGGACCUUUUCUAGUGGGGUGCGUUUAGAGUGUUACUGUGGGAUCUAGUUAAUAGAUAAACUUCUACUAAGCCAUAUCAACUGCCAACCAGCUGUAGCUCAAUCCUAUCAGGUGUUGCAUGAAAGUAGAAUGCUCAUAUUGAUAAAGUUAAAACAAUUGGACGAAAUCAGUAAUUCAUACAAAUAUCAAGACCUUUUGGACUAUUAGGCCUGAGUAUAUUCCUGUAAAUAUAUUUGUGCUUUAUCAAUGAGGAAGCUCAUUUUUUAUGGGAUUGAGAGUUUUUUGGUUUCAACGACAGUAUUUGAUGUGACGCACUGAUGAAGCCUGUUCUUCUUUUUUUUUUUUUUUUUUUUUUUCUCAUGAAGCAUACAAAAGUCCCCGGUGCAUACUGUCUUGGGAUAUUCCCAAAUGGGAAGGAUCCAACUACUCUUCUAGGAGGUAUGCAAUAUAUGAGCUUUUAUUUGCGUUGUAUUCUAAAGAUAUUUAAGUCAGUUUAUGCUCCCUUGGCAAUAGAUAUGUUUUCUAAUUAUUUCUAUCAUUUACUACCAAAUUUGUUUCUAAUUUAUUUUACUAAUAAUAAUUUUAUUUUGGAUGCAAUAACAGGAAUAAUUGUCCGCAAUACUCUUGUGAUGUAUGAUCGUGAAAAUUCAAAGGUGGGUUUCUGGAAGACCAAUUGUUCUGAGCUAUGGGAAAGACUCCACAUAACUAGUGCUGCAGCACCAUUACCUUCAGAUUCAAAUGGCACAAACAUAACUGUAGAAAUACCGCCUACAUUGGCUCCUAGUGACCAACUGCAUUAUGUUCUUCCAGGUUUGGUUCGCUUGUGGUUUGUGCAAUUCUUAUGUUUUAUAUGUCAUUUAAACUCACUACGUUAGCAUACCCUUUUUGUGUCGACACCAUACCACAUAGCGUAAGAUGCUAGUUACAGUGAUAUGACAUUCAUGAUGGAUUUCUUGAAUAAAAAGUUAUAGUGCAGACGUUUCGGCAACUGGGUUGCAGAGAAAAAAUGACAUUUAUUUUCUUGUGAUGACUUGGUUGGUUAUCAAACCUUCAUCAAUCACAGAUGCUUUCCCAAUUUCUUUUAUUUUCUUUGUUAUGAUUUGGCUUUGACAAAGUCAGUCAUUCUGUUUUCUUUUUGUCACCAGAUCUGACUGGUGGACUUCAUUCAAACUAUAUCUCUAGUAAAGAGAUUAAAAAGUAGGGACUACAGAUUAAAAAUAACUAUAAGGGGAUAAUGGAAAGAAAUACUAGUGAAAGUAGGCUAAUUGUGAGAUGUAAAGGAACAUUCGAAAUAAUUUGAUCCCUAAGUCCAAAUCAUGCACUUAUAUAUCUUGUCUUUUUGUUGAGACAAGAGACAAGAGCCAGCUACUUGAUACUGAAGUUAUUCUCAAUUUGUAGCAUUGUCAACACGUCAUGUUGCUCUUUUAGUCUGUUAUCACAUCUUGUUUGAGAUGCUUUCGGACAAUGGUUUCUCAUUAACUUUUAUUGACAGAUGAACUUCAAAUUGGACAAAUAACAUUUGAAAUGUCACUGAAAGCCAACUACUCACAUUUGAAGAUUCAUGCUACAGAACUUAUUGGAUUCAUUGCUCAACAGUUAGGUGUUAAUUCUUCCCAGGUUAGAAAAAUUUUAUAUUGGAAGGUUCCUUUGCAUCAUUUGCAUAAAACUAGUGCAAAUUACUCAUUUGCUCAUUGAAAUCUAAAAUUUCUUCUUGACCAGGAUAAAAGAAGUUAAAAAUCUGUCUUGUAAUUAAUGCUGCUUAUGAUAAAUGAUUUUUUUUUUUUUUUUAUACUUCUGCCUGAGUUCCUUCCUUCAGGGGCGACAAUAAUCAUACUUGAUAAUUUCAGGUCCAUUUACUGAAACUCGCUUCUAAAGGAAAUGAUUCACUCAUUGGAUGGACCAUAGUCCCUUCAGGAUCUGCUGACCACAUUUCUAAUGCUACUGCUCUUGUAAGUUUGCUUUUGUAGAAGCAUGACUGUGAAUUUAUGGAAGAUUGAAACUGUUUACUUAUUUUUUGGUUCUACCUGCAGAGUAUAAUUUCCCGGGUUGCUGAACAUCACAUUCAGCUUCCUGAUACCUUUGGAAGUUACCGGUUGGUUCACUGGAAAAUUGAGCCUCCAGCAAAUCGGUAGGCUCUUUUUUUGUCACUUUAUGGGAAACUAUUAAUCCCAAGUUCAGUAUGACUUUCAAAUUUAAAUAGUUAUUUUUGUGUCUUUAAUUUAUUAAUCAGCUGGGCAUGUUAUAAACAUAGUGACUUCUGUUUAACUUUCAUCACAUAUCCUUCUUCUUAUUAUAGUUUUACGUUACCUUUCUUUUAUUGUUUAAUGUUUACUUUUAUGCAUUAAUUGUUAUUCUGGUAUAGGCUGAAGUUAUUAUGUUUCUGCAAGUAAAUAUUACUCUCUUUUAUGUAAUCAUGCAGGACAUGGUGGCAGCAACAUUAUUUAUUCGCAGGCUUAGUCGUUAUUAUCGUUCUCAUUCUUGGAUUAUCAGCUUCUGGAUUAUUGUUUAUUUGGAGGUGUAGAGAACAAACAUUCAGUGCAUAUAGACCCGUCAAUACAGCAGUUCCUGAGCAAGAACUACAGCCAUUGUGAACCCCCAGUGGUUGUCCGUGCUUCGUGAUUUACGCUGUAUGUACUGUAUUCGGUUAGCUUUUUUUAUAUAUAUAUAGCCUCGAAAUGCUGUAAAUUUGCAAGCGGAGCUACUGAAUCUACAAUCAAAGGCCUUACCAAAUUAUUCAUCAAACAGGGAUGUAAAGAAGGAAUUGCAGAAAUGUAUUCCUUUGUUUUCUUUCUACUUUACAUGUUGCUUUUGAUAAACACUUGCUUAAUUUUUCCUACCAGCUAGUUGUUACAUACAAUGUGAACUUCUAACCGCUUGAUUUGGGAAAAAUCCUAGGUAGAUUAUGCAACUCACACCAGCUAUGCACUAAUUUUGUUAGGGUGACACAGGUAAGAAUAAGAGACGAUGUGUGAAUAUGGAGAGAUUCUUAUAUAGACUACGUGAGCUAUAGACAAAUCCAAUGGAAUAAUGUUACCUUAGAAAUUUGUUGAAAGCUCAAACAAAAGGGAAUUAUUAUUAUUACUUUUAUAUAUAAAAUACUAAUUAAAUAAAAUGAUUUUGACCUUGGAAAUGAGGAUUUUAUCAUCCAUAUAUUUCAUUAAUAGCAAUGUUUGGUGUUUCAAAUGUAAAAUUAUGAAGCAUCAACAUAGUAUUAAAAUCAAACAUUAAAAAUACUAAAAUUAAAUUAUCUAAUGAUCUUAAAAUUUAUUUUGAAAUAAUAAGGUCAAUUAACUAUUUGAUAUAUGAGUAUUAUUCAAAUCACAACUAGUUAGUAAAAUUACUACUAAACUUGGUCCUAUUAGACUAUCCAAAUAUACAGUAUAGAAAAUACUAUUUUUACCGUUAAAUACUCCAUAUAUUUGAUUGUUUGGUCUUUCACAUUUAAUAUAACUAGUCUUUUGUAUGUUGACUAUGCUCAUUAUAUACUCAUUUUUUUUUAUCUAUAUAAUAUUAAAGCAUAAUUUUUGUUUAGAUUAAAAUAAAUACAAGUGGUUAAUUUAUAUUACACUUUGCCGUACAAGCUACUUGUAAUAAUACUUAUUAUAUAUUUAAUUCUAUUUUUAUAUAAUGAAGUGGUCUUAGCAGAUUUUUAAAAUUCUAAUAGGUGCUUAUUAUAUACUCAUUUUUUUUUAUCUAUAUAAUAUUAAAGUAUAAGUUUUGUUUAGAUUAAAAUAAAUACAAGUGGUUAAUUUGUAUUACACUUUGCCGUACAAGCUACUUGUAAUACUACUUAUUAUAUAUUUAAUUCUAUUUUUAUAUAAUGAAAUAAUCUUAGCAGAUUUUUAAAAUCCUAAUAGGUGCUCAAAAAGAAAAUUAAGUCAUCACACAUUCUCUAACCCCUGCCCUCAAUCCAAAUCUAAUAUCUACAUACAACUAUAAUGAAAAAUAAUAAUAAAUUAAUUUUUACUGCUAAAUAAAAAAAAAAAAUGAGAGGAUGAUUAGAAUUAAUAAUGGAAAUAAUUUUGACUACAAUGACAGUAUUAUUUACCUAAUGUAUCUGAGAAAAGAAUAUAUGUGCAUAUACAAAAAUUCUUGAAACCCCAAAAAAGUGAUCCAAAUAUAACUAUAUAGUUCUAGUUUUUUUUUUUUUUUUUCCAGUUUUCUAACACUAUUUGCUUUUGAAUCAAACAGAUUUGGAAUAUAAGAGAAAAAAAAUAUCAGAAAAAUUAAAAAUGCUUAAUCAUCAAUAGACCAUCUACUUAUUAUAAGGGAUAUAAAUCUCUUACUAAAUUAAAAUGAUAGUAGUUAUAAAUUAUUCAAUAAUGAAAAAAAUAAUAAAAAAUUAUUAUUAAAAAUAAAACUCUUUCAAAACUCAUCUAACAAAAAAAUAUUUCAAUGUACAUACAUAUAUAAAUAAAUUAAUAAAAUAUUAUAUAUUUUUUAAAUUAAAAAUUUCAACCAUUUGCAUCUAAGGUUUAAUUAUGUAAGUUUAUUUAAAAACUUACUCUUUAAAAAAUAUAUCCAAUCAAAAUUUACAAACAUAAAGAAAAAAUGUUAAUAAAAAUAAUAUAUUUUUUUCUUUUUUCAUCCCUCCUAAAAAAAAUAUUAUAUAUAUUUUAUUUAAAAAUUUAUUUAAAAAAAUAUAUUCAAUCAAAUCAUACAAACAAGUAAAGAAAAAAAAGAAUAUUAAUAAAAAAUAUUUUUUUUUUUUCCUUUUUUUAUCUAUAUCCUAGAAGAAUUUCUAUUUAGUUUUCCAUUUAACAAUAAAAAUGAGAGUUUCUAAAAGAAAGAAAUUAAUAAUAUAAGAAUGUGAUAGCAAUUUGUUAAUUACUCAAAAUAACAAUAAUAAAGAAAUGAAACAUGCAUUGGUUUCUUCCUAGGAAGUUUCUACGACAAAUCCAAAGCUGACAUUCCAUUCCAUUCUAAGGAAUCGGUCAUUAUUUGAUUAUUUCCAUGGUGCUAAGCGUACACUAGAAGAAUAUACUAAUUCUGGUCAAACAGGAUUCCGGAGCCAUUAACCAAAAAUAAAACGUUAACAACAAUACUAUUCUUUAAAAGUGAAUGAAUAUUGUUUAUAUAAUAAAUAUAAAAUUUUUAACAUAUAUAUAUCUAAAACUCAAUAAUUUCACUUAAUUAUAUAUUUAUUAUAACUAAAAAUGAAAAAUUAACAAAGUUAUACAAAUAUUUCUUUUCAUUGUACCGCUUGAAAAUCAAUUAUGUUCUUCAGUAAUAAUUUUAUAAUUCUUUUUUUCAUAUCCAUAGAAUUAAUUUGUUACUAAUACCUAAAAAAAAAAUUCUUUUUGCAUUGAUAAUUUAUAAUGUAAAAUCAUAUAUAAUAUGGUGAGAAUUUUUUUUUUUAAAUGAGUUUUUGGUAAAGAAAAUUGGUAAAAGUAAAACCAACCUCUUUAUCGGCUACCUAAUGAAUAAAUUAACCAUAUUAAAGUCAAUCUUAAUCGAUAAAUAAUGCUCUAAAUAAAUUACAUAUAGUAUUAUUUUUAUAGAUCAAAAGUUCUGAAAGCCAAAAAGUAUAUGAAAUUACAUUUUCUUCUCUUCAUAUUUGUUUGGCUUAAGAGUUUUAUUUUUUGAAAGGAUAAGAAAUUAUUUGUAGGUUUUUAUUUAAUAAAUAUACUAAUUAAUCUUUCAGAUUUAAGGUCGUUAAAUUAUUUAUUCAUUCAAUUUAAAAAGUAUAAUUUUAGAGAUUAAUGCUCUAUAAAAUUUUAUAUUCAGUCAUUACUAUUUAAUAUAAUUAUAUUAUUUCGUCUCUCAUGUUUACUACUAAAUUACUAUUUAGUCUGUUAAUUAAUAUUGAAAUUUUUUUGGAUGGACGAUUAAAUAAUUUAACAAAACUAAACUUAAAAACUAAUUUGUUUAUUUACCAAAAGAGACCAAGUUAUAAAAGAAAUUGAGACUUAAUAGUAAUUUUACCUGUAUUUCAAAUGGAGCAAUACAAAAAAUUUAAAAUUUCAGUUGGAAAAUAUCGAAGUGUUAUAGCAAAUAUAUAAUUUUUUUGAGAUGAUUAUAUAAAUAUAUAAAUGUUUUAAAAAUACAGAAUAUCAAAAUAAAAAAAAAAAGAAAGACUGAAGAAUGAAAUGGUCAACAACGAAGAAACAGAACCCACUUGCCAUAUUAUAGUUUGUUAAAAAGAAAAUCGAACAUAUAAUAAAAUAUAUACAAAAUUACGAGAAUGUCCCACUUUCCAACCAAAUGCACCUUAUAAUUAAUUAAAUAGAGCCCCAACAAACAAAUAUAGACGAAGAAAUAAAAUAAAACAAAUAUAAAAAAAUGAAAAGGCAAUGACUAUGACAAACGGGCAGAAGAUUGAAAAAAAAAAAAAGAAAAAAAAAGGGAAAAAACACAGCUUUAGCUCAAGAGAAGAAGAAUAAGCUAAAUCUUUUUGUGAUCUUAUCAUAUGAGAAUUGAAAUACUAAAACCUCAAAGAACUAAACUUUCUCUUUGAUAAUUUGGUUUCAUCAGUUAUAUUCGCUACAGGUAAUGCUUUUUUCAUUUUUUCUUGUUCUUGUGAUUUGAUCCAUCUAGGGUUUCUCAUUUUCUGAGCUUAAUUUCUUAGUUGCCUACAAAAUCAAGUAUUUGGGGCUGAAUUCAGUAACUUUUGUUUGUUUUUCUUUCAUUUCUUUUAAGGUUCAUGCUUGCCUGUUUUGAAGUUUAAACUAUAAAGCCACCAUUUGCAUUUUCUUUUUUUUGCAGAACUGAAUAUUUGAAGGUCGUAGGAUUCUUCUUUUGUGUUUUAGAUUUAUACAAGUCUUUUUUUUUUCCUCUUUAAUUUAUAUAGUUUGUUGAAGUGAUUGAAUAAGUUUAAGGUUUUAGUAUUUGAUAAUUGGUUGUUGUUCUGUGGGUUAUUGUUUACAUUUCUGAUGUUGGAAGAAGUUUGAAUCUCUUUCUUGAUCUUAGUUCUUAAACGUUUCUUAGGAUAGUUAUCUGGGAUUUGACUUAAUUGACUUCAUAUCUCUUUGGUUUUGCUUCUUGGUGCCAUUGACCUAAUGGCUGCUAGUUUGCAAAUUGGUUGGGGAGGUGAAAGUUGAAUAAUUAUUGACUGAAUUAGUUAGUGAUUAUGGAGGGUGGUUUGCUUAUUGUUUCGUAUAUGAGUAUUAUAAAUAUAUAUGUCCAAAUUUGUGGAAUUGUGGAAAAAGUUGCUGUCCGCUUCAGUCAGGACUCAGAUUAUGCUAUUGGAAGCAGGAAUUACUAGGUGUGGAAUUCACUUUGCUUUUAGGGAGGACUUUUAGCUAUUGUGGCUCUCCAAACACUUAUUCAAUGAAGAAGGAUUUUAAAUUACAAUGUGAUAUAGGGGGAGAUUAUUUUCACUGUUAUGUAAUUUGUGUUACUAAAAACUUGUGAUUUUUGGUAUAGUCUACUUCUACUGGGUUUAUUUCCCUUGUGAUUGGCAUGGGCUAGGUCCAUUAUCCUGAUAACCUUUAGCUUAUGCAAAUAUUCUUACAUUGAAUGUUUAUCUUGUUGAGCAAAAUAUUAAAUACCAUCUUUCGAGUCCUUCGGCUUGACUAAAACCAACUCAUUUUAUGUUACCUAUGAAGCAUAUGAUGGCUAGUGGCUCGAAAAGCUAUUCUAUUAAUUCGAGUUUGUGUUUUGAAAUCUCAGAAGAUAUCCUAUAUGCCGUCUUUUAUUUAUAUUUAGUUUUUGAAAGGGAAGGGUGGGGGUAGCGGGUUUGAAGAAGGAACAAACACAAGUAGUUGAAGGGGACUUCGUUUGUAACAAAAGUCAAGUUUAGGGGUUACUGGUGAUAAAAAAUAAAAACCAGGAAAUUUCCUUUUCCCUGAUAUACACUGGAAAUUGAAUUGUUUCUACAGAUUUGUGAGGUCCAUAAGAGAUGUGAUUUAAAUACACAUGAGUUCGCCGUCCUUUUGAGCCUCUUUAUCUGCUAAGUAUUUAUGAGCAGAUUGAAAUGGCAUGGUCAAUGAGAUCAGUUGGAUGUCGAUGACUAUGCCUAAGAUGAUUUUAACUAAUGAAAAUGAUGGAGAAACAUAACUAUCAAUUUCGAACUAAGUCUUUUCCUUUUUCUGAUGACACAAAUCAUUAGCAGAAAUGGAAAAAGAAAACAAGAUGGUUACUUGUUAUAUUCCUGGCAACCAUUGCACAGUUAUAGUCCUGUCUAGAGCUAUUAUCGCUUAGAGCUCAAACCUAUGAGUCAGGAAAUGUUUGUUUUUAUUGGCAGACUCAGAUGACGGACACUGCCUUUUAUCUUCUUUCUUAAAUACUAUUUAAAGGACAUUAGGAAAGACUUGGCAUAAUAAUUGUACUGAGAAUUAUCUAAGAAGGUUUACUUACUAAUGUUUCAUAUUGGAAAAAUUAUAUCAAUGCAUAGAAUUUAAUUUUCUGUCCAACUUGAUGUUGUAUUUUUCUGAUAGAGAUAAUAUGGAAAUUUAUUUUUGUACAGGAGUUUCUGGCUGAAAGCAACAAUUCCAAGAAUUUCUUAAGUUUAUCAUGGUUCUCGAAAUGUUUUUUCUUUGUUUUCCACAGUAUUGACGAUUAUUAAUGUGAGAGAUUACUUUGGCAUUUCAAGUAAGAAGUUUGUUGUGAAAAAGGUACCGUUCCUGCUCUUCCUAAUUCUGUGAUCUCUUCCUUUUUUUUUCCUGUGAACAAAUAAAGUUGCUUUGUCUGUAAGUGAUUUUUCUCCCUAAUAAGUUUUGAUAGUAGUGGUGAGAGAGAGCAGGAUUGUCUAAAAUUCAAUAGAGAUAGAGUUUGACUAGUGAAAAAAGGAUUAUGUAUUUAUAGAAUUUUGUGCUGUAUUUUAGUGUGGUUAUGGUAUUUAAUUGAAAUUAAGGUUCUGUAGUCUUUGUUAACAUUGAAUCCCUGUUGAUAUGAAAACUGUCUGUUAUGUAAUCUUAGCUUGUCGCUGUUAUUCUAUGGUCUUUUGCUUUUCCUUCUUUUGUGUGAUGGUUAUUUCUGUGUUGUGCUUUGCGACACUUGUAUGCUGUGCUAGUUGGAAAUAGAAAAUUACACAGCUUUUUCUUUUUGGGCUUGUGAAUUAUUGUUUAUCACUAUUGACAAUUUGAUGCAAACACUAGUGGAAUAAUAACAACACGAACCACUGAUGUCUUAAAUAGUAUCUAACUUGGCUGGGCAUGUUACUACAUCUUAGUGUUGGCUUUUAUGCACUGAUAUUUUCAAUCCACUGGCUCCUUGCAAGUUACCAUCAUCUAAAUAUCUGCCCUUCACCUUACCUUCUUCCAGCCAAACAUGCGGAACACUUAUUUAUUUAUUUUUCCAUAAUGCACUGCAUGUCUAAAAGAGACAGUACCAUCAACACAACCAGUACUGUUGAAAGUGUAAAGUUUGUGGAUGUGUUUUCUUUUAAUAAAAACUAUACUUGGUAAAUGGGAGAGAGGAGUAUAGGCAUCAUAAAUUUUGACGGAACUUUUCUUUUCAGUUAUAUCGUGAAAUAAGAAACAUCUAUAUCUUUUAGUAAUCUAGACUAUUUCCUUUAAAAGAUGGUUGGCAAGAAACACCUGAUACUUUUUAUGGUGUUGAUGCCUCAUUUAUCUAUUCAUAUGAUUGAAUAUAAACUUUUAGUGUUGAGAAUAAUAAAGAGAGACAGGAUUGUCGUGGUUAUCGAAUCAGGUUACCUGUGCAAUGAAAGUACACAAUGAUAGUGGGCAAUGGGAUAGCGUGCUAACUUUAUAUUACCUUGAACUAUAUGAUGCCUGUAAAGUAAAUAUUUAGAUAUCUGCUUCCACGCACUUAUAUAACCAUGAAUCUGUGCCUUAACGCUUCCUUCAGUGUUAUAGGUCUAAAGAAGCUUCAUGGUGUUUGCUAAUUUAUUACUAUUUCUUUCUUUUUGUUGGUGCACUUCGUGAUUUUUCCCAUGAUGCAGGUGUGAUGGAAAUAUCAUUGUUGAAAGCACUCCUUAAUGGCAUCUCCUCUUUUUUACAUUUAUUGUCCACUGAAAACUUAAGCUCAGACCUGGUUCAGAAGUAUUACCAGAAGGCAGAAGAGAUAUUAAAGCUGUUGAAGCCUAUACUUGAUGCCAUUGUUGAUUCUGAAAUGGCUUCUGAUGAAGUGCUUAAUAAGGCAUUUGAUGAAUUGGGAAAAUCUAUUGAUGAAUUGAGGGAGCUCUUUGUAAACUGGCAACCAUUAUCGAGUAAAGUUUAUUUUGUAAGUGCCUAGCCAUAUUUUUAUGAUUUUAUGUAGGCCUAAUAAACAAAAAACCCAAAACUUUUUGGAAAAUUGUACUUGUACCCGAACCUCCUAACUAAUAUUAUUUUACCCUAGAAUUAGUUGAAAUUAUAUGCAUUUGGACAAAAUAUACUGAAAAAUAGACUAUUAUACAUCUCUUUUUUUUUUUUUUUUCGGCUACUCAUCUCCAAACUCAACUCUAUCAUAAAGCUCCAUUAGUCUCUUCUUAAUCGCAAAAAAUUAUGGAUACAAGUUUAACCAAAUGUGUAUAAUUGCAACUAAUUUUCGGUAUUAGGGUAAAAUAGUCUUUGAGGUUUGAUUACAGUUGUGUUUUUUUUGGUGAUUAGGCCUUUUAAAUAGCAUAUUUAAGCUGCUUUAUAUUUUGGGGGAAAUACCUAACCUGAGCUUGCUUAUGACAAUGCAUGUUUGACCAAUAUAUUUUACCUUAAUGAGAAUUGUUAAUAUAAUUUCUUUAUUUAUAAUCAGCAUGUUUUGAUUUGUACUUUGCAUGAGCUGAGAUUGCUGUUUGUGGCACAGCCUGUCUUACACUCCCCUGAAACUCCCUCUGCAGAAGUGUUACUAAAUAAUUUGUAUGCAAUUCAUUAUGUUCUGAUCCACAAGUUUUUUCAGGUCUUCUGCUUUCAAUUAGUCUCUAAGUCUCUAUAGAAAACAUAAAUAUGCUGGUAUUUGAGAGUAGGUUUUGGUUGUAAUUUAUCUGUGACGUGGCAGCUUUAUUAGAUGCCUGAGACUAAUGUAUUAAUGGUGGUCAGUCUAUCUAUAACAAGAGGGGUGGCUUAAAGUUUGAGGUUGUGCUAUAGUGAUCACCAUUUUACGGUGAAACUAAUGAUGUGAAAUGCGGAGAUUGGUGUUGGUAUGGGGUUUGGUUAAGCAGUAAGUGUGUACAAGAGAGAUAUGGAGUGGGAGAGGGGUCGGAUAAAAUUCUGCUGAGAUGGUGGGCAACCUGUUUCACCCUUGUAAGGAUAACAAUUAUGGUGUUGGGAGUUGCAAUGUAACAGAGAAUAAUCAUGAGAUGAAUUCUUGAAAAUCUGUGUUCCUUGUUUUAGGCUAAAAGGAAAAUUGCUUUGUUUGCAUUCAACUGAAGCUUGGACAUCAUCAUCGUUAUGAUUUUUAUAAAAUAGCUGUCGUCUCCAAAUAAUCAAGGCAUUUAAUAUACAGUGACUAUCAUCUUUUGGAGUUGUUCAAGUAAAAUGCAACUUUUUUCAGUUGUCAUUUUAUUAGUGUUGUCUUUAUGCUUGUCAUUCUCAUCAAAUAUAGUGUAGGUUUUUGAGAUACCUGAGUUGUUGUGGUAUUGCGGCUUUGAAGAUUAAAUUGCGAUUGUAAGUUAGCCUCUGUUAUUGACAUAUAUCAUUCAUACUUCUAGUGGGAUCUCUUUCUUUAUUUGUUGAUAAACUUAUCCUAUGUUCAAACCCUUAAAGGAGGCUAAAGUAUCCUUUUUAAAUCAUUUUUUAAUCAUCGUAUCAGUGUAAAUUGGUGACUUGACUGAAUCAGUUAUCAGUGCAAAGUUUCAAUUUAUCUUGCUGUUAACAUCGCUUAACUUAUACUUUUGUUCCAUUUUAAUGUUCCUUUCCUACUAAUUUCAAAAAAUUAUUACCUUAGAAUUGAUUAUCUAGGAGGCAUUUUGCUUGCAUGUAUUGUUCCUUGAUGAAUAAAAAUAUAACACUCUCUUCUUAGGUUGAUUCAUAAUGAAUGCAGCAACUCGCUGAAAAAGUGAAAAAAACAAAAGGAGCAAGAGAAUAAUGCUGAACAUAUGCAACCUUUCUUAUGGAUGAGGGUUUUUGACCAUCAAAUUUUUUCUUUUUGUCUAGAUUCUGCAAGCAGAAUCAUUAAUAUCAAAGGUUCGGACUUUUGGCCUGGAUAUUUUUCAGCUGCUGAAGUCUUCUCCUCGACAUCUUCCUGAUGAAUUAAGUUCAUCAUCUCUUGAGGUAAUCAUCCCUGAAAACUUGUUUGAAGCUUCUGUUGUUAAGUUACAGAUCAUUGAAACAUUGAAGAAUCAUGCAUUUGGAAUAUGAGAGAAUUAAUUUAUAAAUUUAUUCAGGUUCUUAUAAAUUUAUGUUUAAUAAGUAUUGACAUUCUUGAUUGCAGUACUGCUUACAGAAAAUUAAGCAAAUGGGAUAUGAGCAAACAUCCUCUGUUGUCAGAGAAGCUAUUAGGGACCAAGCGGAGAGCGUUGGACCCAGCUCAGAGAUCCUAGUGAAAAUUGCAGAGAGCCUAAGCUUGAGGUCCAAUCAGGAGAUUCUGAUUGAAGCAGUGGCCCUUGAGAAGUUGAAGGAGAAUGCUGAACAAGCUGAAAAUCCCAGGGAAGCUGAGUUAUUUGAUCAAAUGAUUUCUCUUGUGACUCACAUGCAUGAUCGACUUGUCCUGAUGAAACAGUCCCAGACCAGUAGCCCAGUCCCAAUACCCGCUGAUUUUUGCUGUCCUCUCUCUCUUGAGUUGAUGACUGAUCCGGUGAUUGUGGCAUCAGGGCAAACCUAUGAGCGUGCAUUCAUUAAGAACUGGAUAGAACUUGGGCUCACUGUUUGCCCCAAGACAAGGCAGACUCUGACUCACACCAAUCUGAUACCUAAUUACACCGUGAAGGCACUCAUUGCAAAUUGGUGCGAGUCAAAUAAUGUGAAGCUGCCUGAUCCUGCGAAAUCUGUGAGCUUCAAUCAGCCUUCACCACUUCUUGUACACGCUGAGUCUGGCACACCCAGGGAUUUACAUGUUGUUUUUCCUCAUUCCAGGGGAAACCAACCGAUGUCUCCUGAGUCAACUCGUUCAACUGGUUCUCCUGGCAGGAAUUGGAUAUCUUCUGGUGCAAUUCAUCGAGAGGGAGCUUCUCCACUUCAUCCCCGUUCUACUUCUGAGGGUUCAUUGUCGGGUAUAAUAGGAAAUGAACGGGGUUUGGACUUGAUGAGAAUAUCAUUAACCAAUUCUGAGGAAAGGUCUGCUAACUUGGAAGGAAAGAGCUUGGAUUCAGUUGUCCACCACUCUCUAUCUCCAUCUAGAAAGGAAGUUUCAAAUUCUUUUAGAGCUGAUGAACCAAUAGCUCAGAGCCACAGUAGAAGUGCCUCAGCCUCCAGCACACUUCCUAAUGCAAACUUUUCUCAAGGAGCACAGGGAGAUAAUAAUGAGUCUUCAGAGGUGUCAAACCAUCUUGCUUCCUAUAGCAGUGAUAAUUCUGGGGAGGUAAAAGCAGAACCACAGGCUUCUACUGCCUCAAACACCUCUCACAGAGAACAUGAAUUCCCACCACGGUCACGAAGUCAAACUAUCUGGCGCCGGCCAUCAGAUAGGCUUGUUCCAAGAAUAGUUUCUUCCCCUGCUAUUGAAACAAGAGUUGAUCUUUCAGGUGUAGAAACCCAAGUUCGGAAGCUGAUUGAGGACUUGAAUAGUGAUUCAGUUGAUAUUCAAAGAGAGGCAACAUCUGAACUCAGGUUACUUGCGAAGCACAACAUGGAUAAUAGGAUUGUUAUCGCACAAUGUGGGGCAAUUAGUUUGUUAGUUAACUUACUUCGAUCAACUGACUCAAGGAUUCAGGAAAAUGCUGUCACAGCACUUCUUAACUUGUCAAUUAACGAUAACAAUAAAACCGCUAUUGCUAAUGCAGAUGCUAUUGAACCUCUGAUUCACGUUUUAGUAACUGGAAGUCCAGAGGCUAAGGAGAACUCAGCUGCCACUCUCUUUAGCCUUUCAGUGAUUGAGGAUAACAAGGUCAGAAUAGGACGAUCUGGAGCUAUUGGUCCUUUGGUUGAUUUAUUGGGGAAUGGAACUCCAAGGGGAAAGAAGGAUGCAGCUACAGCAUUGUUUAAUUUGUCAAUAUUUCAUGAAAACAAGGCUCGGAUUGUACAAGCUGGUGCUGUUAAGCACCUUGUAGAGUUGAUGGACCCAGCAGCUGGAAUGGUUGAUAAGGCAGUAGCUGUUUUGGCUAAUCUUGCAACAAUUCCUGAGGGAAGGGUUGCAAUAGGUCAGGAAGGUGGAAUCCCUGUUCUGGUUGAGGUUGUUGAGUUAGGUUCUGCAAGAGGGAAAGAAAAUGCAGCUGCUGCUCUUUUGCAGCUUUGCACAAACAGCAGUAGGUUCUGCAACAAUGUUCUCCAAGAAGGCGCUGUGCCACCAUUAGUGGCAUUAUCACAGUCUGGCACCCCAAGGGCUAAAGAAAAGGUAUACUGUGAGAUAUGUUUUUCCAUAAUCAAGGUGUUGUUUUUCUUUAUCUUCUCAGAAGGUUAUAUUACGAGCUUUUGUUUGCUUGCAGGCUCAGGCACUUCUUCAGUACUUCAGAAACCAACGACAUGGUAAUGCUAGGGGCUGAUUUGUUUAAAGAUCAUCCUGUCAAUGCAUCUGAGGUUUUGAUUCGGUUCUAUACAUAGUGUGUACAUUUGAUAUUGCAAAUAACGCAAUUUUUUUUUUUCUGCUUGGAUUUUACAUGAUUUGUAGAGGAAAUUGAUUUACAGGGGACGCGAUUGAGUCCUUGUGAAAAAUGUUUUACAUGUUAAUGUGAGUUAAGUCUUUUUAGAGAGAUGGAGAAAGGCUGAGUAUUCGGGCGUUGUUGUGUCUCAUUUCUUUCUAUGCAUGACUUUUGUUGUCUCAGGAUGUUUUAGGAUAUUCAUUUAUUAUUUUUCUUAAUGCUGCCAGUAAAUUGAGGAAUCUUUUCUAAUUAUGCUGGUCUUGCAAGCCAAACACAUUUGGAAUUCGGAAUUGCAAUUGUUGAAGUUGAAACUAAGCAAAGUGCAAACUAGUUCCAUAUCUUACAUUUCUCUUUCUUCCUUUUUUUUUUUUUUUUUUUUUUUUUUCAACUUGUAUUUCAAAAAGUUUUUCUGACUUAUAGCUUUGCAUUGAUAUUAAUUAUCAAAGCGGAUAUUUGAAAUAAAAAAUUCAUACAUUCACUAGUUCCAUACCUUCACUAGUUUAGGUCGAGGGCGUUGGUGGUGGUUGUUGAUAUAAUAUAAAUAUAUGUUUUAUUUAUUUUUUUUUUAAGAAGAAAUCAAAGUAAAAAUUUCAUUAAGAGGAAACUGUAUACAUAUAUAUAUGAUACAGAUUUAGAUGUUUCUAUGUUUUUAUAUUUUUGUAUAGAAAGUCUAAUAAUAAUCUAUUUAUACAAAGAAUAAAAAAAUACAAUUUUGAUUUGAAGUAUUGAUUGAGUUGAUAGAACAUAAUAUUUGUGUAAAAGGUGAUCGCUUGCUUCACUUGGGCGCUAUUUAUAGCCAUUAUUCGACUCUAUAAGUCCAAUUUGAUUUCUUUCGAAAAUCUGCACUUAUUUUUGCAUAAACGCUAGGCAAAAUCAUCAUUAUAAUGACAAGAAUAACUUAUAAUUAGAUCUGACAACAAAACCAAAAUCUUGUUCUUCUAGAACCAAGAUCUUCCCUCUUGGCAAGAGAUUAUGAAUGGCUCCACGUAGCCAAUUUUGAUUGGUUCCCAGUAUAUAGGGUGACAAUAAAUCUCAAUAACUGAAUAAUAAUAUACAGAUUUGAGAAUUAUUUGCAAAAAUAUAAAUAAAAAAAGAAAAGAAAAAGAGGUGACCAUCAGUGAAAGCUCAUCGGCAGUCGCCCAUGGAAGGGAAGAAGAAAAAUAGAGAGCGCAUAGGUUUUUUUUUUUUUUUUUUGGAGAACAAAUAAUUACAUCAACUUGAUUAGAUUGACGAAAUUAUUUUAUUUAACUAUAUUAAAUGAGAGAUAACAUAUUAAAGUUCACAUAUUAAACGUUAUAAUUAUUAUGACUAGAGAUUUUUCAAAGAAUUUAUAGAAAGAAAAUUAAAUUUUCAAAAUCCUUUUGGACGUUCAAAUCAUGUAGAAAGACGAUAAAAGAAAAUUUAAUCCAUCCUAAUGAAUAGUAACGUUCUUACUAAAAAAUGAUUGAGUAUUUAAAUUAACAUGAAAUAUAAAAUUAUAAAAUAGAAUGUAGUCACAUAAUUAUUUUAAAUGAUUAAUUAUAGUAUAUAUAUAAUUAAUUAAGAAAGGCAAAUUCCCAAGGUCCUGUCAGUCACCGACGCGUGACUCUAAACAGACCCCACUUAGAGACCUCCUUUGGUAGUUGACACAUGGGAUGAUAAUUUAACCUACCAGAUUUUGGCGGGUUUAGGUAAUAUAGAAACGGAUUUGAGGUGGGUUUGGAUUGUGAUUUUAAUACAUGCAUUGGGUUUGGAGUGGAUAUGAGUUCAGGUGGGCGAGUAGUGGAUCAUUUAAAUUAAUUUAACUCCAAGCUACUUAAUAUUCUUGUAUAAUCUUUUUUUUUUUUAAAUCUUGUAUAAAAUAUACGUACAAUAUAUAUAUACCGAUAACUAUAAUAAUUUAUAAUUUAAAUAUUUAUUAAUGAAUAAAAUAUUAUUGGAAGUAAUAUAAUCUUAUGAAUAAGUAAACUUUUAAUAAAAUUAUGUCAAUUAAAUUAUAAUAUUUUAAUAAAUUGAAUUUAGUUUUUUUUUUUCAUAAAAUAUAUUAAACAAAAUCAUAUAUUUAGUAUUCAUGUCGUGUUUUAAUAAUUUAAUUGAAUAUUUUAUUGUUUGGUAAUUAUGAAAUUUAUUAAACAUAAAAAAAGUUUUUAAUUGAAUAGAAUGUUAAUAAUGUUAUAAUUAAAAUUUUUUAAAGCUACUUAUCAACAUCAAUAUUAAACUUUUAAUGAUAAUUAUAAUUCUAUCUUAAUUUGAAAUAUAACUCGUGUGAAAUGUGAAAUCUAGAUAGACUUUUAGUAAAUUAUAAUAUAACUCAUAUAAAAUAUCACUAAUAAAUUUAUAGACAUAAUUACAAUUAGAUAUUAGUAAAUAUCUUUUUAUUUUUUUAUUAGUAUCAUUAUAUAUACUAGUAUACUUAAACUUAGAAGUCUACUGUAUAUAUGUCACGACCCAUUUUAUUUCAUCGAAAUUUCUGAACGUUCUGUUUUUGGGCUUGGGCUCAAUUCAAAUUUGGGCUCAAGUUAGAAAUGCUCGGUCUUCACGACCCAUACUAUAAAAAAAAUUCGAAUUUUUGAUUUAAUAAAAAAUUCUAAAGUUUUGAAAAUAAAAAUUCGGGAUAUUACAAUCUCCCCCCCUUAAGACAAUUCGUCCUCGAAUUGAAUCUAGUGGGAAAGAAUAAGAAUGGAUGCAUGGAAAUUUUAAAGUUAUAUGAAAUUGCUUCCAAUACCAAGGAGACAGCUCGCGAGCAAAAAUAUAAAUCGAGGAAACGAAGUGAAUGAGGUAUUCUGCUUGUAUUUCUACCACCAAUCAUAUUUAAACCAAAAUUUCGUUCAAGCUAUACAAUACCACCUAGCUGAUACUUAUAGGAAGCUUUGUUACUUUAGCCUCUAAACUAUCAUCGGACAGUUGCUAGAAAAUCUUUCUUUAAAUAAAAAUCUUACAAUUAACCGAGCUUUACAACAAAAUGCUUAAUACUUAUAUUUUUCCCAAAUUAAAUUUUAUUACACAUUUCUUUAUGAAAACCAAAUACAUAAUUUGCAAAAAGUAAAACAAUUUGAAAUUUAAUUUGAUUUAUUUAUUUAACAUAUAUUAUGACGAAAUCUUUGCUUAAUCAAAGUCGAAAAACUGUUACUUUAAUCCAAGAUUUUAAGAAAAAUUUUCUUGAAAUUUUCAUUGUCUACAGGGUUAUUCGAGCUCACUCUCAGUUCUUUUAUACAAGUUCUAUUCUUGUUAAAAUACUUUUAUCGUACACUAGCGCAAUUAUUUAAAUAGCUCAUUUACUAUGGACAUUCCUGCACUAUUANNNNNNNNNNNNNNNNNNNNNNNNNNNNNNNNNNNNNNNNNNNNNNNNNNNNNNNNNNNNNNNNNNNNNNNNNNNNNNNNNNNNNNNNNNNNNNNNNNNNNNNNNNNNNNNNNNNNNNNNNNNNNNNNNNNNNNNNNNNNNNNNNNNNNNNNNNNNNNNNNNNNNNNNNNNNNNNNNNNNNNNNNNNNNNNNNNNNNNNNNNNNNNNNNNNNNNNNNNNNNNNNNNNNNNNNNNNNNNNNNNNNNNNNNNNNNNNNNNNNNNNNNNNNNNNNNNNNNNNNNNNNNNNNNNNNNNNNNNNNNNNNNNNNNNNNNNNNNNNNNNNNNNNNNNNNNNNNNNNNNNNNNNNNNNNNNNNNNNNNNNNNNNNNNNNNNNNNNNNNNNNNNNNNNNNNNNNNNNNNNNNNNNNNNNNNNNNNNNNNNNNNNNNNNNNNNNNNNNNNNNNNNNNNNNNNNNNNNNNNNNNNNNNNNNNNNNNNNNNNNNNNNNNNNNNNNNNNNNNNNNNNNNNNNNNNNNNNNNNNNNNNNNNNNNNNNNNNNNNNNNNNNNNNNNNNNNNNNNNNNNNNNNNNNNNNNNNNNNNNNNNNNNNNNNNNNNNNNNNNNNNNNNNNNNNNNNNNNNNNNNNNNNGGUGUACUGGGUGAUCAGGCCAUUACACCAAUUUCCAACUGAUCCUCUACUUCAAAAUUUUAUAGAGGGGAUUUAGCAAACUCAAAAUAUUUCGUUUAUAAAUGUCAGUUACCCAGACCUAUUUUAAUUUCCUAUUAUUUAUGUACCUUUAGUUCUCAUCCUAAGUUUGAUACAGAUUUCCUUCCAUCCUCGUGCACGAUGCGUCCAUCGGCACUAAAAUGGAAUUCAAUCCAGACUACAGCUCCUUUGUUGGUUACGGCCGAUCCCAACAGAGGAGUUCUCUAUUUAAAUUCCUAUGUUCCGCAAUUGAUUCCUAAGUCCCAACUUACGCUCUGAUACCAACUUUGUCACGACCCAUUUUAUUUCAUCGAAAUUUCUGAACGUUCUGUUUUUGGGCUUGGGCUCAAUUCAAAUUUGGGCUCAAGUUAGAAAUGCUCGGUCUUCACGACCCAUACUAUAAAAAAAAUUCGGAUUUUUGAUUUAAUAAAAAAUUCUAAAGUUUUGAAAAUAAAAAUUCGGGAUAUUACAAUAUAGAUUAAGGAUUACAGCAACCAUAAUUAAUUACAACCUACUAGGUAUAAUAUCUAAUAAAAAAAUAUUAAACUUAAUACUUUGUAUAAUAUUUUGUUAUUACACUUACUAUAAUAUUGAAAUAUAAUUAUAGCCUUAUAAUUAAUUAAUAAUUAAUAACUAAUAAUAACAAUAAUAAUAAUAACAACUUUAGGAAUAAUAAUAACUUUAAUAAUAAUAAUAACAAAAAUAACUAUUUUACCGUCAAAACGACGUAAUUUUGGUGUAGGAGGUUUAAUUGAAUCCACAACCAACACAACGUCGUUUUAGCCUAGGGUUGGAUUUUAAUCAUACAAACAGAAAGUUCUCUCAAACUCAAGUUAAACGUAUUCUCCUCCCUCCUCCCUUCCCUGCGCCGCUCGUUUUCUUCACUUCUACAGCCACUGUCUUACUUGAAGACCUUCCCGUUGCUUUCGUUCUUGGCCAUCGCCUCCGCAGCAGAUGUGCUCUUCAAGUGUACAAGUGCUCUUCAGCCGCAGGUUCGUUCUUGAUUUUUUUUUUAUUUCAUUCUCAUUUUUUAUUUUCGUUUUGCAUCGUUCCUUUUUUUUUUCUAUUUUAUUUUUGUAAACACGUAUAAAAAGACAGAAAGGAGGAAUUGUUGAAUUAAUUUAUGGGUUCAGCUUUUUGUACAAAAUGUAAAAUCUCUACAUGCAAAAAAUAAAAUGUAUUUCUGCAACAAUUCCAUUUGUUUGAUAUGAUGAUAAUUUGCUUUUACUCUUAAUUCGUUGAUGUCUUGAGAAUGCUAUGAUUGUACCAAUUUAUGAAUGGCCAUUAUACAAGGGAAUUUAGAUUUGCGGAAUUGUAAUAGUUGGUGAUUAAACGGGUAUUUAAACGGAUUCGGCUAGUACGCGGGGUAUUUCUAAACGGAUUUGGGACGGGUUUGGGUAUUAUUGGUUUGUUUCUUAACGGAUUCGGGUGCUUACAUUAUUAACGGAUUCGAAUUCGGAUAGUUUAUUUUUUGCGGGUACCCGCCCCGCUGCCAACCAAGUUGACACUGACGCAACCUUUGAACCGCCUUUAAGAGUCCAUUAAUCUUGCGUCUGCUUCGCUGCGCACGCCUUAAACUGUAUUUUCGUUGCUCGCAUACAGUCAUUAACCACCACGAUUCUGUCAGUCACCAGCUCGACUAUUAACACCGGAGGUGGCAUUCGCUUUUUCAGCAUAACUUAGUCGAUCCCAAUUUUUUGUCUGCGUAAGUGUUAAUUGAUCUUUCUUUGUGUGUUACGGUUUUAGGGUUUUGUUUAAAGCUUCCUCUAUUAAUUCAUUUUGGGUUAUUUUUGUUGUUUCUUGAAUUUUCUAUCACAUAAAGAGUUCAAAUUCUCUCUCUCUCUCUCUCUCUCUCAUGCAAUUUCAAGAUUUUGGCAUGAGAUGCUUUCAAGAUUAUUUUUUUCAUUUGGAGUCUUGUUUCUAGGAAUUCUGUUGAUUUUCCAUAUAUUUUGAUGAAACUGAGCAAGAUAUGCUGUAGGUUUCUAUUGUUCAUUUAUGCUUUAGCUUGCUUGUCUAGGGAACUUUCUUUUUUCGUUUUUGUGUGCAUUUAUAUUUCUAAGGAUUAGCUGGCUCUGAAGUCAAGUGUAGCUGCCCUUUCCUCAUCUAUGGACGGAGAUGGGUAGAUUGAGCUUGUGCUAUCAAGCCGACAAUUAACUGCUCUUUAGUUAUUUUGUUUAUCAUGGCAUCCAUUUUUUGUCAUUGAAGAAAGGAAAAUGUUAACCGUGCAACUUUAUGAGUCAAAUGAUUUUAUGUUCUUUCAGUGAACAAAUCAUGAGAAGAGAACAUUUUGAAGUUUGAAUUUUAUGUUCCUUGCUAUAAAGAUGACUACAUUUAAUUCAGUUUAUUGGAUACUCCCUUUGUCACAAAAUAUAUGUUGUUUAAGGUUAUUGCAGAAAGAUUGAGGAAGCAAUUAGUUCUCCUAUAUUAUAACAAAUUCAAGGGUAAUUUGCCCAAAUUAUCCUUUAUCUCAAAACCAAUAGUUACUUUUGAAAGUAUUUAUUGUAACUAAUCUAAACAAGGCUAACAUCGGAAAAACAUCAUUUAUUAUUUUUUUAAAAAUACUCAAAACGACUUAUAUUUUGGGACAACAUAAUCACUCAAAAAUGACUUAUAUUUUGGAGUAAAGGGAGUAAUUGAAAUAAAGGUGAACUCAUCUAGACUAAUGCUUAGUUUCAAAAUAGUUUGAAUCAGCUAUGUGAAUGGUUUUUUCCCCAUUUUUCUUGGACUGCAUCCUACAAGUUAUACUAUGUCUCCAAUUUCAGGGGCAAAACUAGGUUAUAGGGUGGGGUGGCUGUGGUCCCACUAAGAUUUUUUCUAAUUAUAGUUUUAUAUUUUAAUAACCCCCCCCCCCCCCCAAAAAAAAAAAAAAAAAAAAAAAAAAAAAAUCCUCCCCGAUAAAACAUGUUUUAUUUUAGUUUAAGUUACUACAUUAUCUUGGUUAGCUUUCUUCAUAUUGUCUGACCUCUGUCUUAAAAAUUAAAGAUUAGCUUCCCAUUGUGCAGAAAUUAAUGAUCCCUCCAAGUUUUGUUUUGGUUUUCAGUUGCAUUUUCCUAUCUUCCAAUUGAUUUUCACUUGUAUCCUUUCCACCAUCCCACACACGGCCACCCCCCCCCAAAAGAAAAAAAAAAAAAAAAAAAAAAGAUGUGAAGUUCUAGUUAUUACCUUGUUUAGUUGCUUUGCCAUGGAAAUCUCAAUAACUAAACUUUUUACUAAGAGAUUAUUUUGUUGCAGAUGAAUGUAUAAUAAUCUUGGAGCAAAUUAAUAUGGGGCCUGAUUUGGAGAAAUCAAAAGCUUUGGCUAGUAAAGACAAUGGAGGCGUAUCCCAAGUUCAAGAAGAUAAGUUUGCGAAAUGUAUAAGUAAUUAUGAGGACAAUAAUUUCCAUGAGGAAGCUUUAAAUUAUGACCAAGCUAAACUAAGCGAGGAUAUGGAUAUUAAUAUAAUUGAGUGUACAAAAUCUGGUGACAAUGGACAAAUUGAAGCUCGAUGUGAGGAUGCAACUGAGAGUAUGAGUUCUUUUGGUGACACAUUAUCUGAGACUGAGAAUCUUGCAGUGUUAGGUGAUGCUGAAGUUGAAUCACAGUGCUGUCUCUGUGAUGCAGCAGCAUCGGUAUUUGAUGGAGGAGCAUUUCAAAUGAGGUACUUACUGUUUGAUUCAAUUGGUUCAUUACAUUUUAAUGCUCAUGUGUAGGUAACUUUCUGAUGAAAGAUAAAGAUAUGUGAUAUCAUGGCCCUCUAUUUUGGUGUAUAGUAUUGUGAGUCAUUGUCAACUAACUUUUCUUGGUGAAAUGACUUGUUUGUUGUGUAGCUGGAGGAAGUAUAGUCAUCCAUAAUUAAAAGAAAGUUUUACUACCUUCUUUUGUAGAAAUAUUAACGAUGAUCUUUUUGAUGAUGAAUUUGGGAUGUAUUUGAGCAUAUUUAAGUUGGGGUUUCUCUUCAAAUUUUUCUCUAUUCUCCACAGUAAUAUUAGCGCAUCAUUGUUUUUACUUUGUUUUGGAUUAUAAGCUGCAUCAUUGGUAAGUGAGAUCAAGGGUGGAGAGGGAGCAUCUCGGUUUUGCCUAUAGUAACUUAUCUUUAAAUGUUAACUCAGUUUAUCCUUAAUACAUGAUGCUCAGUUCAGUUGUGAGUAUAAUAUGGGCAAAUUAUCUUAAGAAUCAUUAAAUCCAAUAACUAAAUUAAUGUGAUUACAUGGAUUGCCUCCACCUCUUGUUAAAGAAGCACAAGAAUUGAAAAGAUUAACUAGCCAUUGUAAGUGUUCUGGAACAUUUGUCUUUGACUAAGGUUUUUAGUUUGAAACCUGCAUGGCGGAGGAUUUUAACCAUCACUGACAUUCAGAAAAGGGAACAAAACCAUGGAACAAUGAGACUAAACGAAAACGCUGUCAAAUCCACUCGUUGCCUUUUACUAAAACACUUUGGGUUACGCAAUUAUGGAGGUUGGCUUGCUGCUAAAGUCCCAACUUGUGAUUGGUCACAGGUCUCUUGAUAGUUGACUUCCUUCCCUUGUGGGCUAUUUUGAAUUAACCAUAAAAUUUGCUCGUGACAACGAGCUUAUUGGAGAGAACUUCUGAUCUCCUAAAACCAAACUUUUAAGUUUAAUCUUUGCGCCUUUUGUUCACGCCCAUGUUCUUUAAAUAUCAUGGCAGUGGACAGAACCAACUAUAAACUAGUAAACUAGAAAACUGAAAAUAACAACCUAUAAGGAAGCUAGAAAUAACUGCCAAUUAUGUAGAAAAACUACACUACAGCCACAAACUGAUUUAGCUACUUAAUCCAAGCUUUCAGCUGCUGCUGCUAAGUUUUCAUUACCAUGGGUAUAAUGCCUAUAAACAUAUCCAAACAAGAUAAUUUUAAUACUCCUUGAACCAGUGUCCUCAGUUUGCUGUGUUGAUUCCAGGUUCUUAACACUUCCUCUGUUCUCCGUCAUGAGAAUUUCUUUGGUAGUUGCUCCAAGUUUGUUGGCAUGGAAGGUUAUACACUACUAUUUUCGCAAGAAUUCAGUAGUUUCAAUCCCUCUUUUUUGAAGGGAUUUAAUAGGAGAGCCUUUAGGCGCGGAUCUUUCUCUAUGCUUAAAGACAUCUUGAUUAGUACCUUUUACUUCAGUGUGCAGUACUAUAGAUAGGCAAACUGCUCUUGACUUCUUAAUCAUGUAACUUAAUAUUGACUUUAUUUUUGUUAUUGGGGUAUGCUUCCUCUUGGACCCAUCAAUGCUAUUUACCACAAUCUUUUGUGUUUCAAACAUGUGUGCUGCACCUAGACUAAGUUAUUGGUUAAUCUUUGAGUAGCGCUGUUACACCAUCAGGGAUGAUUUUUGUACAAUGAUCUAGGUCUUAGAUUCCUUGUGGAGUGAUGGAAAAUUGCCCUGCGCAUAAAGGCAGCAUUGACCUUUCCUUGGAAAGUCUUAAUGGGAUUGCACAUGUAGCUCUAUUACAGAUAAGCUGAAAGAUCUAUGUCCACCUUGUUGUCGGGCAAUCCUUUAGGGGGAUUGCCGCUAAAAAUUCUCUCAUGUCUUAACACCACUUCUGUUUCUAAUUUUCAAUAUACUGAAGGAGAAUUGAUUAUGAUAAUAAAAUAUCCAAUGAUUCCAUCUCAGAAAAAGUGUAAAUACCAAUUUGAUCCUUUAAGUGGACUGAUGUGGUUCUCUCUUUCUGGUAGAGAAAGCAUUAAUUGUGCUCCUCUCUAUUGACUUCCUCCUUAUUUUACAUGUUUGAAUUUCCAUGGUUAUACAAAGGAAAAUUAGCUUUUGGAGUCAAUUUCUAAUUUUAUCAUUUCAUUGAAUAUUCAUGCUUUGUUCAACUAUGGAAUAUUCAGUCCCUUGUUUAAUUUAUUUUCUCCAAUUGUUCAGGAGGAAAAAGUUGACAGACCAUUGGAGGAGAUUUAUACGUCCUCUUAUGUGGCGAUGCAAGUGGAUAGAAUUGCAAAUUAAAGAAUUUCAGUCCCAGGCGCUUAAGUAUGACAGAGAACUUGCAGAACAUGAACAGAGAAAGCAGUUUGAUUAUGGUACGUUUUUAAUAGAAGGAAUUGAUGCAAAGUCAACACCAUUUUCAAGUUGUACUAAAAGGAACAAAGUCAUGAAAAGAAAGAAAAGAAAAAGAAUUGAGGAGGCAACUGACAUAUCAUCAUAUAUGCUACAACAUAACCUCUUUUCCUAUUAUGGUAAGCAUUCCGAUUUGCCUAUUACCUGUAGCAUUUGCAUCCCGAUGACAAGCAUUUUCCUAGGAGAGUAAUGUCUUUUCAUAUUCCCUUUUCUUAUUCUUUUCCCCUUUUCUUUCUUGACCAGAAACUAGGAAGUCUUCUGCCAAUGGUGCUUCUAUGAAUGACAAUUGCAGCAAUAAUCCAGGUAAGGAGUUAAAAUUUGUUUUGACUUCGUUUUUUAACUGAAAUUUUUAAAUGAUAAAACUGAGUAAUCUAGAAAUGCCUUAUAUACUGUGUUUAGCAUCUGUUCAUGGAUUUGAUGCUUCCAUAUGCUAGUCUUUGAUACAUUUCCUUUUGAGCCUCAACUUGAUUGAAGUAGUUAGUCUAAUAAAGGACUAGAGACAAUCACACGUUAGCAAAUGUGUGCAUGUAUUCUAACAUGUUUCUAUAUGAUGACAACAACAUAUAGCUCUGUGUGAUAGAGAGCGCACUUCUGAUUACUUGAUUGUGAGACGACGUGCAUCAAAAUUUACCUUGUUUUCUUGAUGUUGAUUGUAGAAUUUAUUGUUUUGUCUUCCCUUUUAAACAACUUCUUCCAGUUUCUCUUUCAAGUUUCUACAUAUUUGUACUUCUGAUGUUUUUUGUUUCCUGCAAUGGUAAAGUAUACCUCAUUAUUAUUCAAAUCGAGACUAAGUAGAAGAUUAUAAGCAAAAUUGAUAUUAUGCUGUCAGAAUUUAGAGUUGGGUUUAUUGGCAUAAAGAUCUUAAAUAUUAUUCCAAAAAAGAUGGUGCCAUGAAAAAUAGAAUUGAUAUAAUGAUUGGUCAAGUGCUUACAUUCAUCUUGAACUUUCUUAUUUCAAUCUUGUGGGACCUCAAGUUUGAUAAAGAUCUAUUAUACACUUGAACUUAUGAAUUUUGGACUUUGCACACCUUCCUGCACAAAUAAUAACAUCUUUUAGAGUUUUUGGCUUUUAUGUGCAAAACAUGAUUUGAUGUAUGAUGAGCACUACUUCUGAACAAUAAUUUUUUCAUUUUUCAACGAUCUAAUAAGUAUUUAACUAAUCUAAUUUUCUAAGUUGACGUGUUCAAUAAAAUGAUGUUGCGAACUAAAGUGUUUAACAAAUGUAAUUUCAUAAGUUGAAGUAUUCGAUGGUUCCAAGAAAAAAUUGAGAGUUCUAUAAGGUUAAAACAAUAAAGUGCAGAGGUAAAUUUAUGUAUUCAGCCUAUAAUGAAUGGAUGUUAUCUAGAUCAGAAACUGCAUGCUGCACACACAUCGGGAAACUUUUUUUUUUUUUUUUAAAUUAUAUAUUCUCUAUUGACUAUUAUUGCUAAAAUUCAGUUUAUCAUGUGCCUAACUUUUCUUAUCUGGGUCUUUUUCAGAUAAGGCAAUCAAUGUUAAUGAUGAGUUUGGCUUUCAAGAUGGAUGGGCAUCUCUUGAGACCAAAGGAAUUGAUAAUAUCUGUGAAAAUAUUCUUUUGAAAAUUGAAGCAUUACAAUUGCUAGUUCGCAAGUUGAAGGUCCGGAUUGAGAAGGUGGUGAGUGAAAAUCCUGGGAAGUUUGCUUCUGUUAAUAGGCUGAUCAUGCCUGUAUCUUGUGAUGCAUUGACCAGUUCUGAUCAAAAUCCUGCUUCCCCUCUUGAAAAUGAUGAUAGAAUGCCUGUUAGAUCUCUAUACACCAUCUCACAGUUUCUCCCUGAAAGUGCUGUUUCAAGUCACGGAGAGGUCACCACUCAUCCUGAUAUGAUUGAAAGCACAGAUCAGCCUGUGGUUGGGGUUUCAUGUGAAGAUGUAAGUUUCAUCUCUCUCUCUCUCUAUCCCCAACCCCCCCCCCCCCCCUUUCAAAAAAAAAAAAAAAAAAAAACCAAUCCAUUCUGCCGUCCUUUCGUGCUAGAUAAACAGUGUUGUUAAGUGUAUACUGGGCAAUGCUUCUUUCAUUCCCUGGCAUAUUUUUGGUGUAUACAGCACUUACAACGGGAGGUGCUGAAGGCUUAAAAUACUCGCCUUUACUUGUCUAUUUCUGUUAAGGAUUAGUUGUAAAUAGAGUUCUAUUAGGAGUUAGAUUCCUAAUUAGUUUAUGAUUUGUAUUCCUAAAUAGCUAGCGUAGGAAUUCCUUAUAUAUAGACCUAUGUAAUCGAUUGAUGAGAUACAAGAAAUACAAUUACAAUAUAUUCUCUCAACAUGGUAUUAGAGCCUUCCAUUAAAAAAAAAAAAAAAAAAAUCCCCAAAACCCCCUUAUNNNNNNNNNNNNNNNNNNNNNNNNNNNNNNNNNNNNNNNNNNNNNNNNNNNNNNNNNNNNNNNNNNNNNNNNNNNNNNNNNNNNNNNNNNNNNNNNNNNNNNNNNNNNNNNNNNNNNNNNNNNNNNNNNNNNNNNNNNNNNNNNNNNNNNNNNNNNNNNNNNNNNNNNNNNNNNNNNNNNNNNNNNNNNNNNNNNNNNNNNNNNNNNNNNNNNNNNNNNNNNNNNNNNNNNNNNNNNNNNNNNNNNNNNNNNNNNNNNNNNNNNNNNNNNNNNNNNNNNNNNNNNNNNNNNNNNNNNNNNNNNNNNNNNNNNNNNNNNNNNNNNNNNNNNNNNNNNNNNNNNNNNNNNNNNNNNNNNNNNNNNNNNNNNNNNNNNNNNNNNNNNNNNNNNNNNNNNNNNNNNNNNNNNNNNNNNNNNNNNNNNNNNNNNNNNNNNNNNNNNNNNNNNNNNNNNNNNNNNNNNNNNNNNNNNNNNNNNNNNNNNNNNNNNNNNNNNNNNNNNNNNNNNNNNNNNNNNNNNNNNNNNNNNNNNNNNNNNNNNNNNNNNNNNNNNNNNNNNNNNNNNNNNNNNNNNNNNNNNNNNNNNNNNNNNNNNNNNNNNNNNNNNNNNNNNNNNNNNNNNNNNNNNNNNNNNNNNNNNNNNNNNNNNNNNNNNNNNNNNNNNNNNNNNNNNNNNUUGUCCUAAUUCUGCUGCUACUAUUUGGUUUGGGAUUCUAUAUUGCUAUAAUGAAGUGGGUACAGUUGCUGAGUAUGGUAUUGUGCUUUGCUGAAAGUAAUAGUUUGUAACAAGUUGAGCAUGAUUAUCAUCUAUGCUCCAACUUGAGGGGGAGUGUUAAGGAUUAGUUGUAAAUAGAGUUCUAUUAGGAGUUAGAUUCCUAAUUAGUUUAUGAUUUGUAUUCCUAAAUAGCUAGGUAACAUAGGAAUUCCUUAUAUAUAGACCUAUGUAAUCGAUUGAUGAGAUACAAGAAAUACAAUUACAAUAUAUUCUCUCAACAAGUUCAUUUGUUAUCAUUUGUCUCAGUCUGAUCAUGGUUCUAAAUGCUUCUUGAUAACAUCUCUUAGCCAGCUACAUGGAUUCUCUUCAAGUCAGUACAAUGUACCUUUUCGUUGUCUCACUAUUUGUACUGCUUUAUACUGGCAGCUUUGGCAAAAAUUUUCAACUCCAUGUAUUGUUGGGCUUGCUUUAUGUAAUGCAAAUAAAGGGUUGAUGGAGAGGUCUUGCUUGGGUAAGAAUAAUUGAAUGUGAGAGCUCUAAGACGUCCCAGGUUUGAUAUAUGAGAGAGUAAUAAUUACUGUCGAGUUGAGCUAUAGUUGGUAUACUAUUAGGAGCAAUCUUGUACAAUGGGUGCAUCAAAAAGCUUAAGCUAUGCUUAGCUGAUGCUUGUUAUUUAGGUGACUGUUUUGGCAACAAUUGGCCUCAAUUAAUAUCAUGUAGUGAUAGUGCCCCAUCCCAAAUAUACAUGUUAGCUAAUACUAGAAAUUGCUAUUUGUAAUAGAAACUCUGUGCUGAUAUAUGGGAAUGAGCCAGUGCUAUAUAUCUCAGUUGUCUAGAAAAACCAGAACAUUUAUUAUUGUGGUAUUGAGAACUUGGUGCUGACUUGCUUCCAGUUUGUGUGAUCAUAUAUCGUUCUUGUCCUUGUCCUUGUCCUGUCAGCUAGUGAGUUGAAAAUUUUCACAUUCGUACUGUGCCAACUCCAUAAAAAUUUUCUAUCAAGAUAUUUUCUUGGUUCAUAAGAUUUCAGUGGUAUGAUUGUUGCCGCUACUCAUAUUGGCAAUUAUAGCUUUGGUCGUGGGAGUCACAGAUUAUAUUCAUUUUCACGGGACAAUUUCUGUGUAGAAUUUGGAAUUGAUUAAUGUUUUGAUGUUUUGUGGACCAGCAUGUUUUUCUUCUUUUUAAAUUGUAUUGCCACCCAUCUAUUACGAGAGUUAUUUAUAACUGAUGUGUCCUUCAUUUCUGCAGACUAAAGAAGGAAUUCUAAUAAAUAAUCAGGCAGCAAAGGAAGAGAUGCAAGACUUGAAUAUGUUCAGAAACGAGGUCACAGAGAAGCAUCAGGUAGAGACAGAAGAGCAGACAUCAUGCGUUCCUGAAGCUACUAACAUAUCCACAGGUACAACUGUGCCUCGUGUAAAUUUUGGUGGAAAAACACUUCCAAAAUCCAGGAGCAAUCUUUCCAAUGACAAGAAGAAGACGGGGAGGAGAAAAUCUGGCAGAGGUGGCCGGAACCGUAAAUCCUGAGCUUAGCUGGAUAAGUGAUUUAGAUGUCUCGAGUACAUAAAAGACUGAAACUUCUUCAAAAGUUGUUGGAAGUAACACUUUUGCAAGAUGAUAAUUGUAAAUGCUGAUGCAUUUUCUGAUGUGUAUCUUCCCGCUGCCCAUCUGCUGCUUACAUAUUUGUACAUGCUCCAUAUUCAUUAGGUCUCUUAUCUAUGCUGUAGAGCAUUGGAUGCUUUGUUUAGAGAUGUGCUAUUAUUUUAAUACAAUUAUAAUUUUGUUUGUGGAAAUAUUUUUUAGAUUAGUGAGAAUUUGCAGAAUGUGUACACUGGAGAAGCACAGUUGUUAGGUCCCUCCUUGAAGCUAACAGCUCGAUCCGAGCCAGGAAUUGAAUUGGAUAGUGAAAACUGCUAGAUUCAUAUGAUAUCAUGGAUUUCUUUCUUACAUUGACCAUAUGCGUUUCGUCUCUCUCCUUUCUCCUUUGUGUAGCAUAAUGACUCGUCUCUUUUACUGUUCAAAUCUGCAAAAUGGGGAUGUUUUUUGAGUCUCAUGGGAGAAGUUAUGUGAUUGUAUAUUUGUCACAGGACUUAAUAUUUUCCCUUAUCUCUUCAAUUUGACACUACAGGAAUGCUUGUUAAUAUUUCAAUGUUUGACUGUUUUAGGUUUUCCUUCAACGCAUUCCACAAGUUUUUGUGAUAAUAACACUGUACAAGCAAUUCUUAGAUAAAGAUUCGCUUAUUAGUCUGAUGGAUUGGAUUGAUAUGUUUGAUACUGCAAAAAGAAAAAGUCAAAUAAAUCAAAUAUACAAAUUAAGAAGUUUUUAUAACAUUCGCCAAACACAAGUAGCAAUGAUGUCCUGUGUCCGUAUCAGAAUGCAGAUGCAAUCCCAGAUUCCUGAAGAGGUUGAGCAAGAAGUCUGUUCAGGAGCGCAAACACUCCUAGGAAAUGCGAAAAUAGUGAAAUAUGUUUGCUGUGAGAGAUCUAUCGAUCCAGUCAAAAGAAGUAAACUUUCCAUCUUAUGUUAAGGACUUCUUUUCAUUUUUCCCAUUUUUAGCAUCUAAAAUUAACCAUUUCCAACCCUUCAAUUGAGGUGGAGAAUCUUUAUACCAACCGAUAAAAGAUCAAGUACAGGAACAAGGUGGAUUAGCGGUCAGUCGCCAAGCCAGUUCAAGAAAGCCAAGUAAAAAAAAAAAUAUUUCCAGGUCUAUCUCAGCUCGUUCAUCAUCAUCCAUGAUCGAUUUCAAGAGCAAACCAUCUUCAGAACACCGUCUUCAUUUCUGGUGUUUCUGUUCAUGCCUCGUAGACUUGGUCUUUAACACUAAUUUCUCUCUGUAGGGUACGGUUGAAGAAAUGCUUCAUCUUUUUGCGGAUUUCGAAUCUGAACUUACUCAUCUACUCUAGAAAUUCAAGCUGCAUUGCAAAAUGUGACUGAUGCCCUUUAAACUGGACCAUUUUCCAAGAUCCUGAACAGAACAAGAAACUCAAGAGAGCCUUGCACCUCGUUUCCACUUACAGGUCUGAAGACGGUUUAGCCACUGGUCAAAUGGCUGCUAUUUCUAACUUUAGGCAGGAGAUUGAUAAACUUGUAGCAAAGUUCAGAAAUUGCAAUGAGGAAACAGUCUGAGAAAGACUUUCAGGAAACAUAUCUCUUGCUUAAGGAGCUGAAAGUAUGUUAGACCAAAUUAGUGGAUUUUAACCUCACAUACUUCUUAAUUUAGAACCUGUAUGAUAAGUAAAUAAGUUUUGUGGAACUAAAUCGAUGGUGUUCGGUCAUGGUAUCCAUAGCGUUGCUUCUUUUUCGGCGCAGACCCGACGCGACUGACAGAUAAGCCGACGUUAAUAGCAGGUCUAAUUCCCCCCCUUUUUUCGUCUAAGUAAGGUGAAUUGGCUUCCUGCUUGACCCGAACCGAAGCAAGUCCUUCUUUCAUUUCUUCGGUGAUUGGCUCUCGUAGCGCUUAGUGUAGUAAGGGCCACUGGCUGUUCUUUCUACGUAAACUUGCUUUUUGGCUUCUUUCAUCAAAGAUAGGUAUGAGCUAAAGGCUUUUUUUUCUCACUAAACCCAUUUCUGAUCUUCUAUUGAAACUUUAUAUUUUCAUUUUCAUUUUCUUUUUAGGAAUUCAAUUCAUGUAUGUUAACUAAAUAAAAUUCUGCCAUUAAUGAAUUCUGUAUUUCAAAUGUCAAAUUCACAUCAUAACAAAAAAAAAAAAGAAAAGAAAAAGGGGACACAGAAAAUAGAAUGGAAAAUAAGAUGAGAUUUCAUUUCCACUCCCUCUUUAUUUUAAUUAUUAACCUUCUAAUUUUUGUUUCAAAAGGAAUCCAAGGCAAGGCAGCAAGCUUAAAGGACUUUAGCUCCAAUGUGAAGCUAACAAGUUGUUCCAAGGUAGGAAUAUCCUUUCAUUUCGAAAAUUGUUAGAUUGAAUAUAAAUCAAGGAUUCCUUUCUUUCAUCUAAGAAAAAACAAAAUCCACUCUCUAUUUCUUUGCAUAUUUCUCCAAUUUUACCCUUCCAUUAUAUAUGUAACCAUUUUGCGAUUCAAUCUACUUGAAUUUUUCAAAUUUACAAAAUGGGGAUGUCCAUGAGUUUCAUGGGAAAAGGUUUUGUGAUCUUCUUGCAAAUUUUUCAUUUUCACAUAGUAAUCUUUUUUGUUUUCCCUUGCAUAUUAAUGGUUUUCUUAAUUCUUGCAUUUGAUUAAAAUUAUUACAUAACAAAUACAAUAAAGAAUUUUUUUUUUUUUUUUUUUUUUUUUUGUAGGGUUGCCUUCAAACCAGAUGGUAGGUUUUGUUAUGGGGACUCUCUACAAGCAAUUUGUGGACCAAGAUAUUAAGAACGUUGAGGAAUUCCACAUGGCUAUUCUUGAUAUCUUCAAGUAAGAUUAUAAAGAAAUUAUUAUUAUUAUUAUUAUUCUUGAUAUCUUCAAAUGAGAGGGUCGGAAUCAAGCCUGGACCUAUAUCAUCACCGUUAAGGUUCCUUACCACCAAAAUCAACAUGAGUUACAAAAAUUAUCUUUUUUUAGGUUGUGAUUAGACCUAAUAAAUAUACAUUAAUUUUUUCAUUCUUGAAAUUUUAUUGCUGUUUAAUUGUUUACAGCGCAUUCAACUCAGCAUUGCCUGGUAAACAUUAUGAUGCACCCUCAAGAAAAGAGAUAGAGGCCAGUGACAUUAACCUUACAAUAUUCUAAUUAAUUAAAUCCCAUUAUCUCAAAUAAAUUUAUAUAAUUAUGUACAAAAAAAUGUUCAAUAUUGCAGGCAUGUUUUAGUUUUUGGAAACAUGCUUCAGAUGCACAAAGAAAAGAACUCUUCAUUGAAUUGAUGAAGAAGAGCGUAAAACUUAGCAAGAUAGAUGACUCCGCCUUGGUCACCGGAGUAGUAACACCACCGGCAGCAAUGGCUGCCAAGAAAGCGGCGGAGAAUUUGCCUCAGUUAAAGAUAUUAAAGGCUGUGCCAGAUGUUGUCUUUGUGCCUGCAGCAACAGUAUUAGCUCUUAUCUCUGCUAAGCUUACAAAAAGGACGUUCUUUGGAAGUUCAGCGUCUCCUUAAUUCUAAAAUAAAUUGUAGUAUGAAUUAUCUUGUAAUAACUAAAUAAAAUAUUAAAAUUUCAAGCUCUUUAUAAUUGCAUUUAAUGUUUUUAAUUUUAUCAAUUAAACGUAUAAUUUUUUUUAUCAUUAAUUUUGCCUCAUUCAUUUUACACAUUGAAAGAUCGAUUUUUGAAGAGAACACAAGAAGAUAUGAGAUAGUACACACCCAUUAUAAAAAUAGACUUUUUUUUUUUUUUUGGUAACGAUUGGAGAGCAAAACUCUAAGUAAACAUUGAAAGUCCAGUAUAAAAAACCUCUUGAAGAAGCCAUUCUGCCAUCCCAGGAGGCGGUUCAUGAGAAGUUGACUCCCUGAUGGAUAAUUUCUUGCGCAUCUAGAAAAGUAAUCCGCGCAAUUGUUCAUUUCUCUGUAAAUAUGUUUGAUCACACAACUUUGAAAUUGUGGGAUCAACUGCUGAAUAGCAAGCACCAGUUUCUGAAUUGCUCUUGAAGAAGAACCAUUGCUUGAAAUGAGUUGGACAGCAGCCAAAUUAUCACAUUCAACUUGGAUAUUUUUCAUCCCUAAACUCUUGGCCAGCUGCAAACCUUCCAGAACUGCCAACAACUGAGCAUUGAAAACCGUACAAGAACCUAUGUUAGAAACAAAGCCUCUGAACCACCUCCCAGCAAUAUCUCGAAUUAAACCUCCACCACAUGCUGAUUGUCCAGUAACAGAAGUGUUAGUAUUGAGAUUGACGCAGUUGCUAGGGGGAGGAGACUAUGUGAGUGAAAUUAAUUCUUUAUUGCACGAAGGAAUCUCGACUUUUUCACGUACAAACUAGUUUCGAAAAUAUUCUUAGCCAAGCAGAACGCCUCCAUUUUCAACCUCUGUAUCGUCACAUGUUCUUCACGAAAGUACCAUCUAUUGCGUGGAUCCCAGAUUUUCCAGCAGCACACUCCGAAAAUAAUAGGUCAAGGGACACUAGAAUGAUGCGUACAGUUGCCGGAAAGAUUAUACAAGAGCCAAUUUUAAUGCAAUAUGUUAACUCAUAUUUCUCACACACGCAUAAACUCCACGUGUGAUUUGGGAUAUGGAAUACCCAACGUUUCUUAAAAUCGAAUUAAAUUAAAUAAAUAAUUAAAUAAAUAAUAUACAUUACCAAAUAUAUCUUAAUUCUACAGCUGAUACAUAAAUACAUUACAGCUUUAAUUUUAUGGCAUUUUAAAUUUUGAUGAGGACCAUUUAUGCUCUUAUUUCUUAUAAAUUUUUGCAAAUCACAUACUUUUCCAUAUCAUCGACAAUUAUCUAUAGGGAUAUUAUUUGAAAUAUUAAUUUGAUUUAUGAUUAGGAUAACUUUAGAAAUAAUGAUUUUUACAUCUUUUAAUUAUAUUUAAUAGAUGUCCGAUCAAUUUAAAUUUAAGUGUUAGUACAUUCAAUAGAAUGAUUUGCAAAUUUUUUAAUCUUGUUGAAGUUUUUAAUAAAUCAAAAUAAAGCUAAAGGUUCCUUUAGACACUUAAAAAAAAAAAAAAAAAAAAAAGUUAAAGCGUCAAUUUAUGCGUUUGGCCUAAUUCUGCAGGUUACUGUUUUUUUACUUUAUUUUAUUAUUAUUAUUAUUAUUUUUUUUUUUUUUUUUUUUUUUUUUUGAAAUGAGAUUUGUGCUUAAAAGGUGCAUAUUUUUUUCAUAUGGUUCAUUAUGAUUAAGUAGAAUAUGCAGGUAUGGUAGUGGCUAAAAGGUAGGUUUUGCGAUUUCAUUUUGCCUCCAUCUCUAUUUCACGUGAAACCAACAAUCUGUGCUAUGUACAGAUUUUCUUUUCUUUUCUUUGCUUUACUCUAUGUCAAGAAAUAUAAUAUAUAGUAUCAACUUUUUUUUUUUUUUUUUUUUAAAAAAUGAAGAUUUUUUAAGAAAUGAAGUAGCAUACAUACAAUUAGAAAUAGGUCAUUCCGCUAUGCAUAUGUCAAUAGUAUAUAUAAGAUAUGUCGGGUAAAAUUAACUGUUUUGUUAGCUGUUAGUUUUUUAAAUAAUGUUGUUUAAAUAAUUUUUCAUAAAACGUUAUAUAAAUUAACUUUUCAUAAAACACUAUCUUAACUUCUAAAAUCUAGUUCAAAGGCUAUAGUACCGAACACUAUAAAAAAUAUUAUUCAAAAUGCUAAAAACUACUUAAAAAGCGGUUGCCCGAACACAGUCAUAGUCUCUUUUAUUAAAUAUUAUUAGUAGCUAUUUUAAUUAGAAAAUACAAGGAAUAAAGAAAAACUCAACUUUAUAUAAACUGAUUAUCAAAACAAAAGAUAGAAUAAAAUGGCAGAUUGAUAUUUACAUAUAUGUUCAACUCAAUUAGUUCCUUAAUUAUGAAUUAAUUGGUAAAUUUUCUUCUUUUCUUUUUUUUUUCAUUUCAUAUUUAUAUGUGUGUUGUAGAUUUAAAUCUUCAAAAAAGAUUUAAAAUUUACAGUUAAACAAUUUUUUGCUAAUUUAAUUCAUUCCCAUGUUCUUUUUUCAUACAAGUUUGAUAUCCUCAACUUUUCCAUGCAUCUCCAAACAAUUCUUACACAAUUUUACUAAACAUGAUAACAAAUACUCUUCAAAUGGAGAGGAAGUCUUUAUCUGCGUAUAAUCAAGAACUAGAAAAGGUAAAACUGAAAUUUAAUAUUAAAAUUCAAAAAGUAGUAACAUAAUUUAGGAGUAGAACAAAAAAUUCAUUUAUUCCAAAAGCAAACGAGAAUUUGUUCAUAUUCAUAAAUGUUUCAAGAAAUAUUAAUCAGUUCAAGGGCACUUGGAUUGACCCUUGGAGUUCUUCUUGUCUCUAUAGCAAGGGCAUUCUGAUUUGUUUCCAUAGGUUCCUGAAGGUACACAUUUGCACUCUUGGCAGCAGAUUCCACAAUACUUCAAGCACCUAUCCUUAUAUCCUGCAUUGCUACACCUUGUCCCACACUUCAAAUCACAAUCACCUAAUAUCACCAAAACAGAAAUAUAAGUACUUAUUUAUUAUUCCAAAAUGGAAAAACCCCAGAAAAAAAAAAUUGAUAUUUGCUUGGCUUAAUUUAAUAAUCUUACUUGGAGCAGCUGUGGUAGGUGGUGGUGCAGCCAUAUAUGGUGGAGCUGAAGCCAUGGCUGUUUGAAGUAAAGAGGAGCAAAGAGCCAGUGAAAGAAUCAGGAAUGAUGCAAGCAAGAGCUUCAUUUUAGUUAUUUUGAUUGAUAUUUUACACUUCAAGAAAUAGUACUAACUAAGGCGAUGAGAAUUAGCUUAGGAAGCUAUGGGCUUGAAAGAAUUCAGAGGAGUAUUUAUAGUGGUGGAUUGAAGGUGGAAGUCAUGUGGAAAUUUGAAGCAAAAGGGUAUUUUAUUAAUAAAAUUAAAAGGCCAAUGAACAAUUUCAUUACAGUCUGUAAUUUAAGGAGGCACUUAUUGGGGAGGGCAUUAUAGAUUUUUGUCUUGAUUAGCUUAUUAUAUUUCUACUCAGGUUUAUGCUAUACAUAGGGAAGUUUGCAAGUACCUUCCUGAGGAAGGAGAUAAUCCUUUUUUAAGGUUAAUUAAUUAGGUUUUGACUAACACUUGUGAAGUUCUGAUGAUUUAUAAAAUUUUAGUACCAACAAUUUGAAAGGGUACAAGCUGUACUGGCUUCUCCGAUGUAGCCCAUUUGCAUAUGUUUAUUGAUCUUUUUUUGCUCUUCCUUUCUGGCUCGCCAGAAUCUCUAUGUAACUUGAAAAAUAAUUUCCAACUUCAAGUUAAAAGGGAACAAAGAAAUGAAAACUGAUAUAGACAGGGAUAGAGAAUCUCAAUUAGUUUGGCGCACAAUUCCAGGCUGUGGCUUCCCCCAACUUGCACUUAUUUAAAUUAUUUCCUUUUUAUAUGUGUGGGAACUAGAGGAGGAAGAGAAUAGACAGGCCCCCGAAGGUUCCAGGAAAUUGGACUCAACCUCCUGAGAUUCCUCUUUAAAUAUUUUGAUGUUCAAAAAAAAAAAAAAAAAAAAAAAAAAAAAAAAAAAAAAAAAAAAAAAAAAUUUUUUUUUUUUUCCCCCGCCGCACAAAGAAAAUAUUUUGUUGCGAAUGAACAAGAUAUUGAGGAAUUGUCCAUAAUUUUACUGUCACCUGAGGAAAAUAAACUUAGAAGCUUAUGAAAAUAAAUUAUAUAGCUACAAGGCAACAAAAUCUAGAAUUCAAUGGCUAAAUGCACAAGAAGUUUCAUUAAUAACAAUGUGAAUUCUUACAGCAGAAUUUUUUAUAUUCAAGCAUGGAACAAUUUAAAUACAUCGGAUUAGUGAUACUGAAGAUGCAAACCUAUAUACGUUUAAACUGCUGAGAGUUGUGGCCGUGAUAAAACAAUAAGGAAGCACGUCUUUGCGAACAGAAAGAACUCAGGCUUUGACAUGUACUAUAAAUUCUUCCCAAUAACUUGCAAAACAAAACAACAUUAAAAUGUCAAUCCACAUAGACACAUGUAUGCCUAUCUAUAUAUGUAAUAUGAUGAAAAAUAAACAAAAAGAUACCAAUGUCAACCUCCCAAACUAGAGGAAGCACGGAUAUGUUGACCAUAAGAAUGUUCUUUGGCAGAGCGACUGGAAGUGAGUAAAUUGACCUGCAGAAGGCCCUCAACAAUUAGAGUUGACAGAAUGACACAAAGGUAGGUAGCAAAGAAAAAUUGGUCAAGAAAGUUACCUUCACGAUGUCACAUUUGGCGCUUGGUCGCCUGGAGGCAGCUAGGACACUCAUGUGAAAUAGCUGUUUUCAAGAACACAAUGAUAAACAAAGCAAUACACGUGAAAAUUUUAUCUAACAAUUAACUUCUACUGUUGUUUGCGGUACUUGCAAUGGAAACUAGUACAAAACUUAAAGAAAGGAUGAACUGGACAUGAAAGCAAAGCAAUGUGAUUUCUGACUCACAGCAGUUAUUAGUUAAUAAAGAAAAGUUAUAUUUUCUUGGUUUGUUGCAUAGGAAAUUACCCUAUAAGGAUCGCUUCUUAAGGACUGCACAAACAGAGAAUUCCCCGAGUCACUAUCCUGCAAUGGAAUAAACACCAGAACUCUUAAACAUGACAAGUCAUAAACAGCAGAAGUGGAUGCAAAUAAAUGCUCCAAAAGGAUAAAACUGAAAUUAAUCAAUAGUCAUGCCUCCAAAUAAACAUCCUUGAGUCGCCUUCCAGUUUGAGCACAGCAGACGCGGACAACAUUUUCAUCACAGCUACCACUUAUGAUGUAAUCCCUCCCAUUCAUGUAAUAGGAGCGAGUAUAAUUAUGAGAACUUCCAGUUGCAGCUAUCUCAAAGUUCAUGUGAACCCUACCAUCUACUGCCAGAAGUUGUUUGACCUGACACAAGUUAAAAGUGGGAUAUUAUCUUGAACUCAGUGAAAGAAGCCAACAAGUUUGUUAUUACUAUGUUAAGGUGGCAUGCUUACAUCCUAAGAGGUAAACAAGGAAUUCUGCUUGAUGAUUAGUAGGGAACAUCUACAGUUAGAUGCGUUAAUGACAUUGGACUAGUGAAAUUAUGCUCAUCUUAUCAAACCCCUUUAUAAGAUUAGGGAGUCUACAUCCACACAAUGAUUUAGAAUUUUUCUUUAUCUAGUACGUUUUAUCCUUGCCCAACUGAAUAUAUACAUACAUAAUGGAUAUGAAAAUACCUCAUUGUCAACAGCUGAAACAAGCAGAUAUUUGUCAUCAGGAGAAAAGCAAACCAUCACAUUCCCUCUUGAACUUGAGGCUGUAUAACAAGGCCUCUCUGGUUUUUGUCUCAAAUCCCAAAGCUUGACAUCAUGGUCAAAUGACGAAGUAGCAAAUAGGAAGGGAGAACAGUGUGCAAAUUUAGCAACAUUAAUGGGUUCUCGAUGCAUAUUAGUAAACAACUGUAUGCGUCUUCUACUACUAAUGUCAUAUAGGGCAACAUCCUUUGAGUACCCACUGGCAAGAAACUGAUCGUCUGUGGAAUUGACAUGAACAGAAGUCAAUGGCUCAAAAUCAUCAAAACUGACCACUCCUGUCAUGCAAUUUAUAUCUGCAACUUUUGGUGGCAUAUGAUUGAUGUCAAACAGCUUCAAGGAACCAUUAUCAGAACCAGCUAGCAACUGUUCAAUGCAUACAAAAAGCCUUCAGCAAAAAUUGAACUUCUAAGAAUCAAAAUGAAGCAAUAAAUUAGAUGUCCUUCCCAUUAUAUAGCAUUUAUGAAUUACUUCCAAAGACAAGUUCUAGCAACAAAUUAUCUAUCCUAUUGAUACAAUUCUAGUAUCUUUUAGGUGUAAGCAUGCAACUGGCUGAUUUCCCUCAUCCAAAGAACAAAUGUAAAAUAUUUCAAGGUUUAAAUUGCUGCGGAAAGUAUACAAGAUACUGCUGUUGGAAAUAUCACCUUGGAAUUCAGGUGUGAUCUUGACCUACAAAGUCAUCGAGUAAAAUAAACCAAAUCCAAAGACAACCGCAAUUUAUUGUUGAACCAUAUUGAACUUACGAUACCAAACACAAGUGCCUUAGAAACAGAUAAAAGAAAAGGGUCGAAAGUGCAAGACAAAAGUAUUACAAGCCUAAAAUGCUUUAUGGAAAUGGCAUACCUUUGAUGGAUACAUUUUGAGCCAACAAAGACCCAGAAUACUGUUCAUUGCUCCACUGGAAGGAACAUAACCAACAGUCUUCCCAUUUUCAUGAUUAGUGACAACUACUUCACCAUCUAGAGUUCCAAAAACCAUAAGACUAGGAUCAGAUGGAUGAUAUUCGAAUUGUCUAGGGCGAAGACGCUUACUUCCUUCUUUAUGCAGAUGGCUCAAGCUAGACAAAGGGUGCAAGAGGGGCCAUGCAACAGAACCCAGCUUGGCAGCACUAAGAGAUCGUGGAAAGAAAAUUUGACUCUUUCCAUGAGGAUAUUGCUUCUUUGUCUUCUGGAAAUUUGGGCAGGCACCACUUGCUCUCAUUUCACGUUUCUGCAGGAUACUGACAAUGCUUUCUUUGUAUUGUCGGUUAUAGGCUAAGUACUCAUAGAAUUUUGAAGAGAUGAUCUUCGCCAUUUUCUUGUCCAGCUUUCCAACGGGCAAAUUAUCUAAAACCUCCAAAUGAGGCAAUGAAGCAAUUAUAUACUCCCUAUAAUGUUUCUCAAAGCAGAUAGGCGAUGGGUGGUGUGAACUGUAAAUGUUGUUUAACUUAGUACAGUUUUUCUUCAAAUCCCACAUGCAUCCACUUGCAAACAACUCAUUUUUGUCUUCAAUCUAUCAUUCGCCAAAAGAAACCUGUUAGACAAACUAAAAAAAUCCAUCACCAAACAUCUAUAUUUCAAACUUUCCCCCUUCUAAGCAUUUAAUAUGCUUACCUCAUUUUGCAACUUGACUUUUCCAUUCAAAUUAGGAAGCAUGCUGGAUGAUAGUUCCAGCAAAUCUAUUCUUUGCAGGCAGCUUGAAAUUUUAUCUUCAGUAGUGACUGAAAAGUUAUCAGUUCCUCCAUUAACCUCAUUACAUGUAAAUGCAUUUUUGGGAGAAAGCAAGUCACAACAUGACAUUGCAUGAGGAGUGUAAAUAGUUGUGUCAGCAGCAUUGACAGGCAGCAGUUCAAUGGAUGAACCUCUAUCCAACUGAUGCAGGACAUUUGCUUUGUUACCAAAUGAUGCAGGACAUGGCCCAGUGUCCUUGCAACACAAGCAAUUUUGGAAUCGUAGUUCUAGCAAAGAAGGAAGUUUCAAUAAGGCAGCAGUGGUUGUCCAGAGAUCAAUCACUCUUGUCUCACACAUUGAGAGACGCAUCAGAUUGGGCAUGGAAGAAAAACAGUCCCUAUGCAAACUAGCGAUUGAAGUGCAAAAAUCCAGAUUUAAGGUGUGCAAUCGCAUAAAACUUCCAACCAUGUUGAGCUUUUGGAUGUGAGUGGACCUCAAGCUUAAAAUUUCACAAGAUAAGCCAUGGUGACUUAGAUCCCUGGAAAGGUCCCACAAACAACGAUGUUAAAAUAUGAUUUAGAUAGAGAAUACUCCACCUUUCUUUUCAUCCUUUUCAAGCAUAGUUAAUUGGUCACUAGACUCACUGCAUGAUAUAAUGUUUCCUUAGCAAAAGAGGAUGCUAUAUGCUUUUCAUAGAAAGACAAAAUUAACUGUCAUGAACCCAGAAAGACACAGGACACAAAUGUUGGGGCUCUGUAAACUGCUGAAGCAGGGUCUUGGGAUCCUAGAUAAGGCCCUCACUUGAGCAUUCAAAUCUUCAUAAUUGUUAACCAAUACAGAAAGUGCCCACUAGCCGUCCUAAUGGUCUUUCCAUCCAGAUUCUAAAAAUAUGACGGCAGUGGUCCUUUUCAAGUUAUUUUAAGUGAUAAUCUCAUCUCUUAAAACUCAUAAAGUGAUUAGAACUUCUAGCAUCACCAUCAUUUUUCUCUCUCUUCAUAUUCUUUUUUCUUUUUUCUCUUUCUUAAGGAAUUCAAGGUUGGGAAAUUGGAAACGGCAGAAAUCUAUCAGGUAAAGGAAAAUAAAAUAUAGAAGAUAAUGCAUUAUGACUAUGGUAAAUGACAAAGACAAUAAGGACAAGCAAUAAAACAGAAUGGUGAUACCAACCAUAAAAAGUCCUCUUCCAAUGACAUUUCCUGAAGAUCAACAACCCGGAGUUUUAGAUGAAUUGCUCGCAACAAGGAAAGAACAUAUUCUUCCUUCAAAUUGCAAUGCGAUUCAUUGACUAUGUCAACUGCAUCAAUGUCAGAAGAGUCUACUGCUAGGAACAUAUCAAUCAGAGGAGGAAUAUCAUCAUUCUUGAGCUGAUUUAGCAAAACCUCAAAGGUACACUUCUUCUGGAAGAACUUCUGUAUUGUGGCCUAAAUAAAAGAAGAAAAGUUAUGCUUGCCACAAAAUAGUUUCUUCAAUGCAAAAACUGUACAAGUUUGUUACUGGAUCAAUCUACCAGCCAGUGAAGCAAAGAUGAUUAAUAAUCAUAGAGAAGAAAGCUAAGUUUCAUUAUGCUAUCAAGUUAGGACCAUAAGUAUUAUUUCAGAGAAAGAAAUGCACCUCCCAAGGCCAAAAAAACAAAAAAAGAAGAAGAAAAAAAAAAAAGACAGCUUGCUGCUUUAGGAGGUGGGAUAAAACUAACUUCAGAAAAAUCCAGUCCAAGCAGCACACAGUGCAACAUAUGGCUCUUUUCUGAAAGAUGGUUUAAGAAUCCCCUCAAUGCAAGCAAAAUGAUUCUAUACUAACAACCAACUUUUAUCCAAAAAAUAUGAUAUUAAUUGAUAAAAACAACAACAAGUGGACAGCCUUAGUCAGUAACAUCAGAUUCCACAAUCUAAAGCAGUCUGAAGGGAUAAAGGCAGAUGAAGGGGGGAGGUGCGUGUGCAAUAUCCUAACAAAGGAAACACUGUUCCCUAUUAAACAUGAGGGGCGGCGCAAACAUUCAUGAAGAAAGUUUAGUUUAAUAGACCUUAGAGAAGCAUGACAGUACGGCAGAAUUGGGUGGCACCUCAUGCCUCCUGCAAGAAUCAAGAUACCUAGCACAAAAAGAGAACGCAAUCUGAGAAUCAAUAAGAAUCUAAAAGUACAAGGAUUCAGAGAGCAAAAGCCACUAUCAACACCAGCAUCAAGAAAUCAAGCUUUUGAAAAUACUUGCAACUAUCAACCAAUGGAACGAGUCCAAACAUGAAAUGUUCUACAAAACAAAAGUAUUUGAAGCCAGAAUACUAAUAAUUCCACAAAUUUACUUUGCCAAAUAUCAAUAAAGGCAACAACAAGACUCAUAUUCUCAUAGAAACUAUAAAAUUUUCUAAAAAAAACUUAAUUGGCCAGUAAAAAGUUCCCAGAAAAUUUUAAUUAUGAUUCUUUUUUCUUUUUUUGGGUAUGUGAAAUUGUACAUUAGUUCAAUCAUUACUAAUCAAUCAAUCCAACUAGCUGACAGUAAUAUUUAGUUUAGUUAAUGUCGCUUUGAAUUUUGAAGAUUCUUCCCGCUACUGAUCAGAGAAAAGGAAUAGAUCAAAGGGAAGGUUAGCUUUGUGAACUAAUUUAUGCAAAGAUACUAGCUUUGAAUCUGAAAUAGAAAAAAAAAUCAUGUUUUGCUUUGUGGGUGUCCACAGAGGAUCUCUCUCUUUUGCUAAUUUCAGUCAUUUAUGUAAAAAAGCUGUAACAAUUGCCAACACUUUCUCUAAGCACUUGCCACCUGCUACUAAUUUUCCUUUGCCUCUUUUGGCUAAUUCCAUUCGUAACUCCCAUCAUUGGUUAACCUCCCAAAAUACCACGUCUAAAUUUCUCUUGAAAGCUGUACCAAACCCACCAAUCCUUUAACUCUUAAAUCCAUGAUUCAGUAGGAAAAAAAAAACAAAACACAGACAAGAAACCAGAAAACCCAGAAGAGAAAAAAAUUAAAGAAAGAAAAAGAUUUAAUUAGAGAUCAAUAUCAUACCGAGCUUCUAAGGUGGAGAUAUCCAUGCAAAUGAUUGGUGACUGUAGCUUUGCUUCUUCUAGUUCUUCACAUUAAUGGCGAAAAAAAUGAAGUCAAUGGAUCUAAGACACGGGAAAUAUUGCUAACAGUGUCAAAAACACAUGUCGAAUGGAUAAGCACACCUGUUCUUAAUUCUAAAUUCUAACAUUACUCAGUGCAGGAAGAGAAAGUGAAAUUUCAACCAAAUAAUAUUCGACAAGAUUACCUUUAGAAGUUAGGACCAUCAUCAAAUGGCCAUUAUGUAUUUGAGUCACGCAAUUAUAAUACAAAUAGUUUUUACAAGUUUAAUUUAUAAUUAUAUUUGUCGUUAUUUAUUUAUUGAAUGAUAAUCUAUUAUUCAAUUUGCUAAAAAAAUGUAUCGUUAGUCAUUGCUAAUUAAUGAUUAACUAUUAUUGGAUUUUGAAAAGCUAUUCUAAUGCUUAAAUUAUUAAAUUCUCCAAUCAAUUCGCAGUUUAAAAAGAUAUUUAAUAUUUUUUAUUUUUAUUAAUGAAAUAUAUCUAUAUACAUUGAAUUAUGUGCGAUGUAAUUAAUCUCUUACAUCCUAUAAAUAUAAUAAAUAUAGAAAGUGUAAGAUAUUUGGUUAGAUUUCUUUUAUUUGGUAAUCUCCUAAAAAAAAAAUCUAUAUAUAUAUAUAUAUAUAUUUUUUUUUUUUAUGGAGGUAAAAUUUAAAAAAAAAUGUGUAAAAUAACUCAACUACCUUUUGUUAUCAUAUGGAAAAAAAUAAUUAAAAUUAAUUUUUUUUAAACUUUGGUAAGGGAACGGAACUGUAAACAUUCUUAAUUAUAUCAAGUGAACACCACCAAGUUAACACAUAAAUAUUAUAAUCUUCAAUCAUUGUAUAAUUUUGUAUAUUAGAAAAUGAAUUAAGUUAAAUUAUUUUAGUGGAUCCUGUGGCUUUUAUUUUUGUCACGAUUUGUCAAAUCAAUGCCCAACUACUAACUAAGAUGUUGACAACAUUGUUAAUAUAAAAAGAUCAUUAAUCAUGUUAGAAAAUGAAAAUAAGCUUGUUAGAAAUAUGUCAAAUAAAAUACUUAUUUCUCAUUUUUUUUGUAUGAAAAAAUAGAGAAGAAAAUAAAUAAAAUUAAUUUCUGAGUAAUAUUUGAAGUUCACCAUCAAAUAAAAUUAGUUGUUUGAUUUGAAUUUGUUCUAAUGAGUUAAUAUUUCCCAACUAAUUAUCAAAUUUCUUUAUCUAUCCCUAGAAGGUGUAGAAUAUGGAAGGAUAAUUAAUUGAAGGUUUUGAUUGGGCCUAAAAAUGAAUGUUAGUAUCUUAGAGAAAAAAAGAAAAAGAAAAAAAAAAGCUCAGUGGUAGAAUAACGGUGGUUGACAACCACAUUUUGCACUGAUCAUCAUCGUCAUCAUCAUCAUUAUGUAAUAAAUGAGAAUAGUGGAUGUUGACAUGACAUUGUGUUUGAGAGUGAAACUCUCUAAAAUUUAAAUAUUUUGUUUUAACUUAGUUAAGAAAAUUUGAAGAUUUUAAAGAGAAAACGUGUCUCCCUUAACUCUUUCUCUCUCUACUUUAUAACUUUUAUGAAUUUUUAAAUAAUACUAACUCAUUUAAAAUUAAUCUCUAAUUUAUAUCUUUUAAAUAUAAUGGCUCUUGAAUAAUAACUCUUUUAAAAUUACUCUCUAAUUUAUUACUUUUAAAUAUAAUGGCUCUUGAAGUUCUCUUAUAAUUUUAAAUUUUCAAUUAGUUCAAUAUUAUUAGGUUAAGAAUGUUAGGAAUAAAAUUAUACAAAAUAAGUUUGAGAUAAAAUUUUAAUAUUGAGUUUGUUGUAUAUUAAUAUUAAUAUUGUUGGUGCAAAAAGGUAAUAAUUAUAUGGAUUUUGGAUCCGCAAAGUAAAAAUUAACCAAAAAUAAAUACUUGCAAUUAAUAUAUUUUUUGCAUGUGCUAAAUUAAUUUUGAGAUAAAAUUUUAGCAUUAAAUUUUUUCUAUAUUAAUAUUGCAAAUGAAAAUAGGUAUUAGCUAUAUGGAGUUUGGACGAGUAAAUGCAGAAAUUGUUCAAAAAUAAAUAUUUGCAACUAGUAUUAUUUUUGCAUGUGCUUUUAUCUAAUAAUGAUGAUAUAACCAUUUUGAUUUGAAUAAACUUUUUUACGUUCUUUAUUUUCGUUCACCUGCUAUCUUAAAAAUCAUGUUUCACCUUAAUUAGCGUAAACAAUUUUAAUUCUACACGAUAAUAUUUAAGUUUAAAUCAUGAAAUAUUAUAAAGCUCUGCGAAACAUAGAAAAUUGCAUAGUUAAAAAUUAAAGUAUAAAGUUAUAUUAGGAAGCCUCCUGUGUUUACUAAUAAUUAGAUAUGAGAAAUGAUGAAAAAGGCUAGGAGCUCUCCUAAUCUAUGUCAUAAUAACUCUCAUCUUUAAGAAUUUUGAUGUAUUUUAAAAAAUAAAUAAAUAAUAACAAUUAGACAAGGAUGAUUAGUUGAUCAUGAACACACGAGUAAUAUAUUAAUUGAAUAAUGACAAUUUACAAUAAUUAUUAUAUAAUAGAAAUAAUUGAAAUAUUAAAAAUUGGUUCCGGUAAUUGAUCAAGUCGACUAAUUCAAUCACGGAUAGCCAGUUCAAUUAGAUUCUCUUUCUUAAAUGAUGCAAAAGCCAAAUGGAUCCAAUUUUAAAAUUAGUUCACCAAAUUUUCGAGUUAAUUUUUUUUUUUUUUUUUUAAGAGAAAAUUAUGCUUGCACCUUUUAGUUGCGUUGAAUUUAAAGUUUGGUUAAAUUGCAAUUAUACCAUAAUAUUUAAAGCUUCUUUAAGGAAAAACUGAAGGUUGGGAAGUUAAAAUGUAUAAGGUUGAAUUUCUCUCCACACCUUAAAUAAUAAAGUUGUACUAUAAUAUUAUACUCUCUUUAUCCAAAUUAUAAUAAACUCAAAAUAACUUACAAAAAAAUAUUUAAUUUAAUAUAAAUAAUAAUAUGAUUAAAAAAAUAUUUAUUAAUUUUUUAAAUAAUCAAUACGUCUUAUAUUUUAAAAUAAAAUAAUCGCAAUUUAUAUUUAGUAGGGCAAAAAAAGUGCUACCGUUGCCAAAGGAUAAGAUUGAAGCUAAUUAGGCAAAACAUUUACACGCUUUGGUCAAAAUCCUUAAGUACGCGGCUAGCCAAUAUGGAAGCACCCAAACUAUUAACCAGUCUUUCACGUGUGGUCGCGCAAGUCCGUGCGUGUGCGCGCAUGCGCAUGCUUGUGUGUGCGUGUGUCCAUGAUUAUAUUUAGCUUGGUUUGGUAGGAUGAAUAUUGCUACUUUAAAAAAAUAAAAAUAAAAAUAAAAAUUGAUUCAUAUAAUAAAAAAAUUGAGUCAUUUAAUUGAAUAAGAACAUAAAAAUCACACUCUCUCUUCCUUCGUGAUUUACAAGAUAUUUAUGAAAGAAACAAAAAUAAGAAUUUGGAGGAGAAAGCAAGUUGUAGAAAAAGACAGAGAUGCAAGAAAGAAAACUUGUGAAGCACGUGUGCCACCCAAAGGAAUAUCUUAUGGAAAUUGAAAAGGAUUGUACAUUGGCUAACGAAUAAUUAGGCAAUUAGCCUACUAUGAUGGCUUAAUUAAAUUAUUAAUUGACUCGGUAAACUGAUCAAUUAACAAGUAAUUAUAAAAUAGUGGAUCUCCAUUUUAUACUUUUUCUUCUCAUAUACAAUUUUAAAUUUCUACUCAUCAUUUUAAAUUUGGUAAACGGCAGUGGAGUCAAUAUAUAAUUAAUUUUGAAAUGAUAUUCAUAUAAUAAUCAAAUAAGUUCAAAUUAAGUAAAAAUCUAAUUAAUUAAUUAGUAACUUCAAACAUAUACUACUAACCAUUUUGUUUUAGAUUAGUUCAUGAGAAAUUUGUAUAUCUAUAUUGAACUUGAAAUAAAAAUAAAGUUCACUCUUUAUUUAGCAUAGUAUUUUACCCUUUUUGUAAAUUUUUAUUUUUUUUUUCCUUAUUUUUUAUAUUUUAAUUCAACCACUUAAGGUAUCUUUAAAGUUUUAAAAUUAAUAUUUUUUUAUAAUAAUUUAUAUUGAUAUCUAUAUUUUUAAAUCCAUAUAUCUAUGUGUAUUUAUAUCCACACAUAUUUUAUAUAUCAAUUCAUAUCUAAAUCUAUAUAUCUAUAUUAAAGCUGAAUAAAAAAAAAGUUAUAAAUUCGAUUAUCCUUUUUCUUAUAUUCUUUUCCUUUAAAAUUUUUUAAAUUAUUUCUUUAUUUUUCUAUAUUUGAUUGAGCUAGUUAACAAUAUUUUUAAAAUCUUUCUAUCUAUUCAAGCCAAGAUAAAGUAAAAGUUCAAAAUUUGAUUUUCGCUUCAUUUAGUAUUUUGCUUUUUUCUUUUCAAGAAAGUUUUUGACUUUUUAUUUUUAUGUAUUUAUUUUACCGUCUAGGAUAGUUUUUUAAAGUUUAAAAAUUGUGCGUGUGUAUGUGAGAGAGAUAUAUAUUAGGAUGCUUUGUUAAUAUUAUCAUGGUUUUAAUAAAUGAUAUGUCAUUUGUGUCACGUGUAUAGUAAGUACUCUCUUAAAAAAAAAAAAGUUAUUUAUAAUAAUUACGAAUGAAAAUCUAAUAUAUUAAUUAUAUAUCAUUAAAAAAAUACUGAAAGUUCAUAGCUAGUUCUAUUUGUUGGUUUUUAAUAUUUAAAAUUUCAAUUAUUAUAUUAUUUUGAGAUAUUUAUUUAUUUAUUUUUUUGAGUAUUGGGGGAGAGGGAUUUGAAUCCAAAUCUAUUGCUGGGUCGUAUAUGCACUUAUCACUAGAUUAGGAUAAUAAUUAUUUAAGUUUGAAAGUUACUAUUUAUUUAUAAUAAUAUUAGAAAAAUAAUCAUAUUAAUUAAGUCAAAAUUAAAAAAUGUCAAAACUGCCCUCCCUUUAAUUUUACAAUUUUACUUGCAUUCUACUCUAUAGAGUAAAGUAUUCAGUUUCUUGAUUUUGAGCUUAAAUGCACUAAUUACGCUGUAUUUAAUUAGCUCUGAAACUGAAAGUUUUGUUUGAAAUUCUUGUCCUUGAUUUUUGCCUCAGCUGAAACAGUAUAUCUGCUUGGAUUGAAAAUACAAAAGCCUUAUACCCAAUCAUAUUGGGCUUAGCCCAUACAUAUCUAUCCAACUCCAACAUUAACCCUUUCGAGAUCAUUAACAUGAUUGGAUUUGGCUCAAUAUCAUUAUUAUCGGUAGAGAUGUCAUUUUCAAAACAAAAGGGAAAAAGAUACUCGAGCUUCUCAAGUUAGUUUUAGGAUUAUACAUUUGUAAGUUCAAAACUAAUCUAAACUUAGUUAAUCAAAUUGAGGUUUUAAUUUAUUUUUUUGUCUUUCCAAAUUAAUCCUACCAUGCUCUAGUCCAGGAGCACAAGGGGGAAUAAUAAAUUCAAGCUUCCUCCUUUCAAUUUUAAAAGAUAUUCCAUAUUAUCAUAAUCUUUUUUUCGUUAAUUAUGAUUUUCAAACUAUUUUUGAUUUGAGAGAGAAGAGAAAGAACCCACUAUCCAAAAGAAAAACUAUAUAUUAGAGAUUAAAUUAGGAAAGUAAGAACUAUAUCGUAUCAGUUUAAAUGGGUAGAGUAAGGCCAUAAAUGAUUUAUAUAAUUAUCAAUGGCUUAAAAGGAAUGAUAAAAAUAGUUGUACUACUAAUAUAAGAAAAUUUUAUGAUUUUAUCAUUAUAUUUUGUCAUAAUAUAUAAAUUGCUUGCAUUUUUCAGAAAUGCAUACUUUUGUUUUUAUCUUCUCUAUUUCUGUCGAUUUUUUAUACUUUUUUUCGUCAAUAAAUACUACUAUGUUUUUCAUAUAUUUUGUUAAAAUUUACAAUUUAUCCAUUUAUGUAUCAAUUAUUGUCUACAUAUUUCGCUAAAAUUAAGUAGCAAAAUUAAGUAAUUAUCCCUAUAUUUAAUAGAAGGUAGAAAAAAUUAACAUAAGAUACAUCAGUGUGUAACGGAUGAGGUAAAAAAUAUGGAUAAAAUUAUAUAUCUCUAAAUAAAAAAUAAAAUUAUUCGAAUCCAAUCGAUUACAGAUGUUUUUAUCAAUUUAAUAAGCAAGAGGAAAACUACCCCUACCCUUAUUACAUAAUGCAAAUAUUAAACAUUGCUUACCAAUAAUAAUACAUAUUCUUUGUAUUGGAUGCAGAUAAAAGCUUUACCUCAACAAAGAAAAUCUUUAACACCAAAAUGGUAGGGCUCUGACCAAAUGCCAGAAUCAAGAUAAACAAUCAUGCCAUCAAAUCAACUUGCUUUUCUUUCUUUUCUUUUUUUCCAUAAUUACCUUGCCCUUCCUUUUCUCUAUCAAACUGUAAUUUUUAGAUGACAAACAACCAGAGAUAACUACUCUUUUUUGUUUCUCUCUUUUAAUCUUUUGUUAGUUUUUAACUGAAACAAUUAAAGAAUAAAGCCAAACAUAUGAAAAAGCAAACGCAAGAACAGGCUGUUAAGAAAAGAAAGAAAGGAAAGAACAAAAGAGAGGCUCCCAAUAGAAUAAUCCAAAAUAUAUAAAAUGACAGUGAAUAGAAAACUACAAAAAUACAGAGUUUUUCCCCCCACACAGCUCUCCCUCCCUGUCCCUCAAAGAAUACUGAAUACAAAGCAAAUGUGGUUAAUCCCCAGGCAGAAAAAACCAAACCACUGGCCAGUAAGAUAUAGCAAUAAUUUAACAAAACAAUGGUAAUCAAAUAAAAAUAUCAAAUGGUGAGUCCGUAAAUAAAGAAGAAGAGCAUGUGGGGGACAAAAGAUUAAAAUAAUUUAACACCAAUAGCAAUAAUGGACAUUAUAAAACAUAUCUCUCUGUUUUGAUCUCUAGAAGAUCAAAGUCAUUGCUGCCCAUCCCAAUGCCAAGCCUCCGAGCAUCUUCUGUACUGACCUUAUCGAUUCUGAUCCGCUCUGCAAUUUGGAUCAAAAUUCAUUUUCAUAAUCCAGAUGUUAAGAAGAAUAAAUAAACUUGCAUAAAUUUCUACUUUAAUAAUUAUUCACGAGAAUGUUGUUGCCUCUCCCCGUUGGGAAGUUAAUGAUCUGAAAUUCUGAUGUUGAAAUUUCAAUGUUCGGUUUAGAGAAACAAUAAAUACACAUUCAUUAGAAAACCAUUAGCUUGAGAAUUAUUCGAUUCAAGAUAGAUCCUCCUUACGGGAAGUGAAACCGCUUUGUGCCAUAGAUUUUUAUUACUAUUGCAUUAAAACCUUUCAUCAACAGUUAUAAUUUUAUUAAUUAAAAGGACUUGCCCACUGUACUAAUAAAAUUAAUCACCUCCACAUUAAUGUUCUGCAGAUCCACGGAUGACACAGUGCAAUUCACUGUCAUUUGUACUACAGUGAUGGGGCGUGAAUCUUACGCGCCACAGUGUCGCGUUCAUCUCACUAGAGACAAGCGCUUACCACCAGAAGCAGUACUUGAGAAGCGCCAAGCUUUGCUUCCACUAAGCAGUUAUAAGGCAGCACCGACAUUUAGCAUUUCAAUAAUGGAUUAACUUGAGGGGCAAUAAUCCGGUCAUUUUAGGAAAUUUAAGCAUUCUUCACUAAUUUAGGCUCGGUGACCACUAACGAUAUCUAGAUUUUUUUCUAGUGCUAAAGAGGGAAAACACAGACCAUGGAUCUUUGCAUUAAACUUCAGAUCUGGAGGUGCAUUGCACUCCAGCGCAUGUCAGAUGGUAAGCCAAUCGGAAAAACAACUAAAACGAGCACUGGAAAGUAGAAAGUACCUCAUCGGCCACAGAAGCGGGACCAGGAGAGCUGGCGUCAAGGCUCGGUCCAGGUGCCUCCGUCGGUGGAGCUGGUGGACUCGACAACUCCGGACCAGGAGCAGGUGAAGCAGCGUGCUUCUUCGACUUUUUCUUGGUUGGAGUCGGUGCAGGAACCUCGGCGGUUGGCGCAGCCACUGGAGCUGAAGGAGCAGUUUCCGGAGGAGAGCUUGUUGGUGGAGUAACUGGUGCUGGUGAUGGAGGAGAUUGGGCCGGAGAUUUUGCUGGAGUUUUUGCUGGAGGAGAGCUCACUGGAACUGCAACAGGUGGUGAACUAAUAGGAGCGGCGGCAAGUGGUGGUGUAGCUACCGGAGCCGCAGCCGGAGCUGGCACCUUCUGUUUGGUCGGAGAAGCUGCUGGUGUCUUCGCUGGUGGUGAAGACACUGGAACUGCAACAGGAGCAGGCGAUUUAGAUUUUGCUGGUGCUUUAGCAGGUGCAGUUACAGGCGCUGCAGGAGCCAACGGAGUAGCAGUCGGUGCUGCACCUGGAGCUUGGCCGCCGACGCCGGCGACAAUGAUGCACAUUAAUGCAACAGAAAAAACGCUUUUGCGAUCCAUCUUGGCAGAGGAGAGAGAGAGAGAGAGAGAGAGAGAGAGAGGAGAGAGCUCGAGACUGCGAGAUANNNNNNNNNNNNNNNNNNNNNNNNNNNNNNNNNNNNNNNNNNNNNGAGAGAGAGAGAGAGAGAGAGAGAGGAGAGAGUUCGAGACUGCGAGUUAAAGGUGAAUUAGUGAGAAUGGCAUAUAUAUAGGCCCCGUUUUCCUUAAAAAAUAACGGACAGGUUUAGAUAGAUCUGGAUCGUUUACAAAAGGGGGACCCACUUAAUAGCCGUUUGAUUAACGAAUAGAACUUUUGGACCCCACAAAAUUGGUAUCAAACAAGAAUGUGGCGCUUGACACAGUCUGGAAGGAGGGACCACAAAUGUCCAAAUCUCGGUGUAUCAACGCAUGUGAUUAUGGAGUCUUUGAUUAAGUAAUAAACGCGUGACACGUCACUAAUAUACUUUGGUUAGGGCUUUAUUACGCAUAUUAACAAUACGAUUCUCUGCUGUGAUUGGUCUGGUGUUUUUUGGUUCAAGGGGAAUUGAUACAGCUGUGAGUACUGAGGUGGGGACGUUGCCAGUUUCACAACCAAAUCAUAGAUGGCCACGUGGGGUAUUGACAAUAAUUGUUGUGGAAGUAUUGGUGACUUUAGUUGUAUUUUCGGCCCACCGCCAAAGCGUGGGGCCCUGGUGGAAAUGCUGUCUCGGGGAGCGUGUCUUCUAGCCCAGUUUACUUUUACGUUUUGGGCACUUUCUUACAAUUUUUGUAAAGUAAGAAGUGAGAACUGAGAACCAGCCUGUCUCAUUUUUACAUUUUGGGGUUUUGCUUGUACGAUAAUACAAGUUGGACUAAAAAAUUUUAGGAAUGAGAUAGAUAAAAAAAAGCUAAAGUGUAAUUUCAUAUAUUAUUUGAUAUAAUAACAAUUAAAAAAAAAAUAUCAAUAGUAAGUGAUUUGAUUGGUUUUUUGUGAUAGAUUUUAAAUUUGAAUCUUUCCGAUUACAAGAGUUUUUAAGUUUGAGUCUUGAGUAUAAAAGUUAUCACCAAUUUAAUAAGCUAAAAGGAAGUUUAUUGCUAUUAUGUAGUCCGUAGUGUUAUUUCAGACAAUCGAUCCUCUUAAUGAAUAAAAAAAUAAAAAUAAAAAUAAAUUUUAAUUACAAAUUAAAAUAAUCAACUAAAUACGAUAAUAAAAAUCAUACAUUCUGAAUAAUGUGUGGACUUAUGACUAAAUUAUUUCAAAACAAUAAUGGUUCUCUUUUGAAAACUUUUUUUUUUUUUUUUAAUUUCAAAACAACUUAACUUUGCAGAAAGAAAUUUGGUUUUUAUAAAUAACUUGAAACAUUUUUAUUUCAUUGUUGUAGAUAUAAAAAAUAAAAAAUGCAGAAAGAAAUAUGUGCCAAAAAAAAAAUACUGUUUUAGUGAAUUAUAUCUUACAAUGUAAUACGAAAAUAAGUAAAGAAUUUGUUCUACGUGAAGAGGACUUAAAUAUUUUUUUUUUCUCAUCAUAUGCAGUUGUAAUAAAAAAGAAAACUUGUUUUGUGAGAAUCUUAGGCAAUUGUUUUUAUAAUAAAAACAAAAAUUAUAUAAUUUUAAUAAUUUUAGGCUAUUAUUUAGUGACUCAAAAUAAAAUAAAAUAUAAUAUAAAAUAUUUUUAAUGUUUAUAUAUAAUUAGAUAUAGUGCAUUUGUUAAUAAUUAUUCUUCCAUUUUAUAAUGUACUGGGAAAUUUUUCUUUAUUAAUUAAUAAUAGAUGAUAAACACAAUAUGAUAAUAUAUAUAUUACCAUAUGCAAUUGUAACUCGAGAUCUCCAAUUAUUGAUUAAAAAAAAAAAAAGAAAAGAAAACUUGAUCGAGAUCUUCAAGUAAUAGUUCCAGUUGUUAAUUAAUUAAAAACAUCAUAUAAUAAUAUUAAUAUCAUUAAAAAAUGAUCAAUUGCAAUAACAUAAACACAGAAUAUAUUAUAUAUAUAUAUAUGGUUGAUAUAUUUUAUUUAAUGAAAUCACCUAUAGUUCAACCAAUUGCUGGCAAUAGUCAACCAAUAACAAGUGUGAGUCUUGGACCAAUAAUAUUAGCACCUAUUAAAAUAAUUCAAUUUAAAAAAUUAUACUUAUCGAAUAUCUAUUAAAUGGUUAAAAAAUACGAAAAUUAAUUUUUUUAUUAAUUUAUUCUAAAAUAUGCAUCUAAUACCGUGAUUAGUGGACAUAUGUAUAUAAUUAAAAAAUGUAUAUAUUUAUAUUGAACAUGUGAGCUUUUACAUAAUUUGCCAACUUAAAAUUUAAGAAGCUACUGUUUUUCUUUUUCUCUUUGGUACAAUUCAAAUGUCAAUUUAUCUAUUGAGCUUUGUGUGUGUCUGUAGAGAGAGAGAGAGAGAGAGAGAGAGAGAGUUGUGAAGUUCCUUCGCGAACGGCAAAGCCCAAUAUAUGUAGACGCAUAGCCUUUAUAUGAAUUGGGCCAAUGCCCAAUCAGAAUAAAUCAUAAUUCAGAGGGUAGAAGCCCAAUGAGCUCAGAAAACUCGGACGCCCAAGUCCCAGAAAUUCCUUGAGCCCAACAACAGUCCAGUGCACUUUGGACACAUGAUAUCAUAAUUAUUUGUAUAAUAUAUUGAUGUGGAACUUCCUAAGACAGAUCCUUGGAAACUUAACAAGAUUAGGAUUUUAAAUUUGUAUUUAUGCAUUGUUCUUCUGUCUUUCACCCAUGAAAUAUUCACAAACAUUAAGGUUUUAACAUCUUCCAAUGCUUCCAUCUUGUUAAUAUUUGUUGUGAUGUACACAUGUCAAGAAAUGAAAUAUGCAUAAACUAUGUAUUUAAAAACUUACUUUGUUUGAUGCAUUCGUAUUAUUAAAUUAAGUUCCAAAGCUUAAAAGAUGGGACUAAUCAUUAUUUUCAUAUAGUUAAAGAGUGUUUGCAUAUGAUGGCCAUAUUUUCUUGAGACCAACCCACUUUUGUACUUGAAAGAACAUAGAUUAUGGGUUUUCUAAUUGGCUUCUUUGUGUUUAAAACAAACUGAAAAGUAAAUUUUUAAGUAGAGUAUGUUCAAAACCAAGGCAUGGAGGGGACCAAGCAAUGCCAUAAGUUUCUUUGUUCUAAAGAGACCUAAGAUAUGGUGAGCCACUGAGCAUCAUCAUUCAUGACUGACAUAUUGUAGUAAUUGUAGAUCCUCUACCUCUACCUCUACCUCUACCUCUGCAAUUCAAUUUCUUUUUUUUAUAUAUGUUCUUUUGUAAGUUUUGAACUUUCUGUUUUACAUGGGUUUUUGUUCAUUUGAGUCACAUUAUCACCUCAAUACUAGCAAUAAUUAGUUGAUAUAUAUAUUUUUUUUGAAAGGAAUUACUUGAUAUAUAUGUGUUCUUCCAGAAAAGAAUUAUGCAUUUUUACUCAAAUUGACUGUUUACACCUCAUCUCCAUAUUUGAAUUUUUAAGAUUUUUCUUUUCCACUUUCAAUAAUUUCUUUUUAUUGGAAAUAAAAUCUAAAUUCCACUUUUUAUACUAAUUAUUCUCUUAAUUUGUCUAGUCAAUUAGUAGCUAUGAUUCAGUUUAGUGAUUAUAUAUUAAGUAGUGUGCUAGUUGCCUGAAUACUUUCUAUUCUAGCUUUAUAUAAUUAUAUUAUAUGAUAGUUAUAUGAGGAAGUUGCAUAUUUUUUGAAAGAAAUUAUGAUAAACAAAACAACAUUAUUUUAGUAGGGGAAAUGAAAUUGUUAUAAAAAUAUAAAAUAAAUAACAAUUUCUUUAUUUAUUCAUUCAUCAACUGAGAUAUUUUAAUACUGGUAAACAUUGCUUCAAACCAGAAUAUUAAAUGUAAAAGAUAAUAUUAAUCCUUCCAAUUCUUUUUUCCCCCCUAUAAGAUAUAUAUCCUUAUAAUCUCUAAUGAUAGAUGUCAUUACAACACCAAAAUUUAAACCAAAGUUGGCAUCUUUUGUUGCUCACUACAUUCCAAAACCUCCAUCAGAGUACAAACUUCAUUUUUUUUUUUAAUUACACUUAUUGAAAUGGAGAAUUCACUUAAGUGCACUUCUUCUUCUUCUUCUUCUUCUUCUUCUGCUUCUAAGAUCCUCCCAAACCCAACAUGCAAAAAUCCUUUUUGCUUCUUUUGCGCCGUGAAUGAACCAAACCCAUCUCUCAGAAGAUCCAAAAUUACCAAAUUUUUCAAAGAAAUGCCUCUAAGAGAUGACCAAGAACAUGUCUUGGUCUUAAGUGGGUUAUGGAACAUCGCCAUGACUCAACCAAACGACCCUGAAUUCCCAUCUCUAGGCAUCCUUGAAUGCAUGGGGAAACUUAUAAACAAAGGCAUCAAAGAUAAAGAAUGGCUUCUUAGAGACCAAAACGUUUAUAUUCCUUACUACGCAGCUCAUAUAAUUGGUUCUUAUACCAUGAACAAGAUUGAAUUUGCAGAGAAAGCAAUUAAUUCAGGUGUAGUUUUGCCUCUAAUGCAACUUCUUAGGGGGAAAAUCACAUGGGUAGAGCAAAGAGUUGCAGUUCGAGCACUAGGUCACUUGGCUAGCCAUGAAAGAGCAUUCGAAGCUAUUGCUAAUGAGUUUGAAGUGGAGAUUGUUGAAUUAGCUAUAGAAUUAGCCAGUAAUUGCUCAAAGACAAUCUAUAAAAAGUUUCUUGGUGUAAAAGAUAGAAAAAGAUUGAAAUAUCAUUGCGACUUGCUCACAAGAGGUAUUGGAGGGGAAGAGAGAGAAAACAGAAAGGCAGAAGAAUGGGCAAAUCAGUUACAAUGUUGGUCUCUUUAUCUCUUAAAUUGCUUUGCAUGUAAAGAAAGGUCAGUUAGUAUUAUAUGCAAGAAACAACAGUUCUUGAAAGAUUUGUGUGGCUUGUGGGGUGGAUUAGGCAACAGAAAAUCACCUGGUGGGGUUGGACUUAUAAGAAGUUUAUGCAAUACAACAAUUGGUAGAGAAAGUAUAGCAAAUAUAGAAGAAGUGAUAGUGGGUCUAUGCAACAAAUCAAGAACUUGUGAUUAUUGGCGAUAUAUGGCUAUUGAUUCUCUACUCUUAUUGCUUAAAGAUACAAAUACAAGAUAUAAAGUUAUAGAAAUUGCAGCUUCGUUUCUUGCUGACUUGGUUGAGCUAAAAAGCUUAAAAGAAAAAGACAAAAUUGGAGAAACAAUUACACAAACAUUAUUGCAAGAUUAUUACAAAAUCAAAUAUGGAGGCUUGAAAUUGAAGAACCAAAUUGCAGAGGACGCAUUGAAGGAAAUAUGGGAGUUAAAGGUGGAGAGAAGAAAGAAAGAAGAGAUAAUUUCCAAUAAAGAAAUGAAAGAAAGGAAAAACUUGGCUCAGAUUUUUAAAAGAAAAGGAAAUAAGAAGUUUUGGUCUGGCUUUGUUGAAAAAGCUGUGGUUAAAUAUACAAAAGCUUUGGAUUUAUGCCCAUUAAAGAUGAGAAAAGAAAGGAUAGUUCUUUAUAGUAAUAGAGCUCAGUGCUAUUUGUUACUUAAAAUUCCAGAAGCUGCCAUUAGAGAUACAACCAGAGCUUUGAGCCUAUGUGAUGGCAAGAGUCUUCAUAGAAAGAGUUUGUGGAGAAGAUCACAGGCCUAUGACAUGAAAGGGAUGGCUAAGGAAAGCUUGAUGGAUUGUUUAAUGUUCAUCAAUGUGAAUGUCAAAAUCCCAUACUACGCAGCUCGCAUGAUCAACAAACAAAUGAAUGCCACGUGGAUUUUUGCAGAAGCCAAGUCAAAGAGGAAAGCUGAAAAAAGAGCAGACAAAUCCAAUGGGGAGGAUAAGGUGAAGAUGAUGAUGAAGAUCAAAGAGAAGAAAGGUGAAUGCAUGUUCUUGUUAUUUAUUCAUUUAUUUAUAUUUUUUAUGUCUAAAAGAACUAUUUUAGCGACUGAAUUUAGGUAAUGGAAGUUACAUCCACUACAAAAAAAGAACAAAAAAGUUACACUUUUGUCUCUGGUAGGACUGCCCACUGUACAAGAAGAAUCGCUGGGCGAAAGGGAGAGAAGCAAACAGCAAGGUACGGCAAAACGGAGAAGAGAAGCUGCAGGACUCACUGCUGCUUUGGCACGUGUGAGAAUUGUUUGAUAGAUGUGGUCAAAGAGUUGUGCAAUUUCAGGAGUCAGGAGAGCAAAAUCAUGAAAUAGGGCCACUGUACUCUGUCUAAUUAUUAUUAUUCUCUCAAAAUAUUAAAUUCCACUACUCAUUAGAGGUGAAGUAUUAGCAUAAACUCAUUAAAUGUAAUUAAUUAAAGAAAUUGUCGGUGAACUAAUAUAUCGUGUCCUUAGUAUUUAUGAUAUUUUGAAGCAUAGAAUUGAAAAUGCUGCUGCAUGAUACCGGAGAGUGUUGAGAAGCUAUUCUUAAAUUUUUAAAUUUAAGAAUUUAGGACCAAUAAUCGGUCGGAUCCUCAAAAGUGCACUGUAUCUUAUCUUUUGACCCCAGGCGACUUUAUUUGGAGUCGUUAGAGAAUUUUAUUUGAAUUCGCAACAGUUUAAGGGUAUAAAUUACUUUUUCAUGAUUUAUUUUCUUAUCUUUUGGUGAGCUCACAAUAUUUUUCCCCUCCCAAUUUGUAACAUUGAUACCUGACCCUGUUACAGAUUAAGACACGUAAUCUAAUUACGACCAUGAUAGCUAGCUUGAAAGCUAACCGAAAUCUUUUAUAAUACCUAAUCUUGAUUUUUCAUGUAUCAUGUCGUACCUAACUCACUAAUUGUAUACUUACAAGAGGACAUAAACAAUAAAUUAUUGUCCUGAUCCAACAAUUCCCAUAAAGUAAUUUGCACUUUAGUGGACAUAACACAUUACAUAGGAUACUAGGCAUAUUUCCUCUUGGCGUUUUAAGGCCAAAUUCAAAUUUUAGAGACAUAUUUCAGAAUUUUGGACCUAAAAUGCAAAAGGCAAAGUAAAUAUCUAACAUAUAAUUAUGGAUGGAAGCAUAUCCAUAAUUUUUUAAUUAUUUGUACCUAUACAUCUAUUUAGUAUUCACCAUCCAUAUAAAUAUACCUUUAAUAUCCAAAUCUAUUUAAAAUUUUAUUAUCUAUACAUAUGCUAAACUCAUUUGAAUAAUUGUAUCUAAGUACGUUUAAAAUUUUAUUAUCUUUACACAUGCCAAACUCAUUUGAAGUAUUUAAAAAUUUAAACAAUUCAAAUCUAAAUUUAUUUAUUUAAAAUACAUUUUUUAACUGAUAAUUAGUAUAUCCACUAUCAUUGAAUUUAUUCAUUUAAAAUACAUUUUUAACUGAUAAUUAAUAUAUCCACGACCAUAAUUCAUUUAAUAUAACAGGUAAGGUAAUGAUAGUGAAUACCCAUAGCUCUAUCUCAUAACAUAUUCAUAUUCAUAUCCAUUAUAAAUAUCACUUUCGUUCUAUAAUAUUUAUCACAUUUGUGAUUUCAAUGAAUAAUAAAUCUUUUUUUUUUUUCAUGUUUGCCUUUUAUAUAUAACUAAUAAUUAUUGCUUUAAUUUCAUGAUUUUAGAGAAUUAAUAAUAAAUUAAGAGUAAUAUAGUCAAUUUACUUAAUAAUUUAUCAUAACUUAAAUAAAUUUAAUAAUUUUUUUAAAGAAGAUAAAAUUCUAAAUAUGUCGGGUGAUACAGAAUAAAAGUAGUAGGCAGUAAUAAUUUCAUCACUCAUCCAUCCUAAACCUAUUUAUAAGCAUCUGGACCAUCGUUAAAUGGAUCAGAACGAAGCAGUCUACUUUCAAAUGUCCUGCUUCCAUCCCACAUACAAUAAUGUCUAUGGACUUCAGGUGAUUCGCGUUCAAUAAAAUUUAAAACAUCUAUCAAAUCAAUGGGCACGCUGACCUUUUUUUUUUUUUUUUUUGAUAUAUACAUAUAUAAUCAGCCAAAUAUAUGCAAAUUAAAUUAACUGAAUUUUAAAUAAAAAUUUUAUUGACAAAGCAAACUUUUAAUUUGAUUUAUUAUAAAACUACACACUUCUUUUGAACAAUUGAACUUGUAAAAUCACAUCAUUAAACAUAAACUCAAGCAUUUUUUUUUUAAAUUACUCAACAGAUUGGUAAUAAAUACAAUUUGGUAAAUUAAAACAUUUCAUAUACACAACUUAAAUUGAAUAUUCAACUGGAUAAAUUUAGAAAUUAAAGUGUUUAAUCAGUCGAAUUAAAAGGCGAGGGUUCCGACAGACCUUUUCAUACAAUUUACAUUCUGCUUAAUGUAAUAUAUGCUUCAAGUAACAGAAAAUCGAAUCUAAAUUAAGGCAUAACUAAAAAAAAAAAAAAAAAGGCAACAUAAGCACUUCCUAUAUGUCAGUCGACCUUCCCUUCAUCACUAUUGGGCAAAGAGCAUAGCAGGUUAGAUUUGACAGAAUCCCAAAGUAUAUACUACAAAUGAUAGACUACCUCAGUAAUGUAAGUUCUUUCGUCGAGCUAAUGUAAUGGAACACAAUUGCAAUGCAUGGAUAUGACAGAUAUCUCCAAUGAAAUGAAUCUAACGAGCACGGAUUUAAUUUGGGUGUCAGGAGAACUGGAUUAAGGAUGUAAAGAAAUUUGCAACUAUAUUAUUCUACAAUUGCUGUACAACACAAUCAUACAACAAAGAGGAAUGCUUACAAGACUUUUAAGUCAGUGUGUAUGCAAAGGCAUCUUGAGCAACUUGAACUCGUCUGUAUGGGUCCACUCGAACACUUUCCAUGAAAGACCAGCUGCUGUCUGCUGCAUCAAUUUCGAAUUUACACAAGUUCAGACAAAAAAAAAAAAAAAAAAAAAAAAAAAAAAAGAGGUUGAAUUUGCAUGGGGAAUUCAAUAUAACUAAAAAAGGACAUCCUUGCUGAGUGAAUUAGUUUCUCAGAGCAAAGAAACAAACUUAGCCCAUUUGAUAUAAAUGAAUUCCACGAAAUUUUGUGAAAUUCAUGUUUUAUGUUUGAUAUGGACAAAAAUGAGAUCCAACAUAAUUAAAAUAAAUCUUUACCUUUUAUAAAUGAGUUCUAGAUUUCAAAUUCGUUUGAACCAAAUAAGGGUGAAUAGCAAUGAAAUUCACGCAUUAAAGUAAUGCAUAAUGCAUCAGAAUUACCAUGUGCAAUGUUACAAAAAGAAAGAGACCUGAACGACAGACCCCUUUUACUGGUACCAUCAAUUUCAACUCCAGUUAUCUGUUUUAUAAGUCCAUUCCAAAAGCUCUCUUCAAAUGCCAGGGGCCUUACCAUCAUAUUUUCACCUUCACAAGGCAAUCAUCAAAUUUGCCUGAUACUUACUCAGUGAACAACUAAUGCAGCAAACUCACCUCUUAAGGAUUUGAAGGAGCUCAAUCAUCGUAAGAGCUGAGAGCAGCUACAACCGAUCCUGUUGUUGCAAAAGUUGAUGCCACAUCUGGAUAAUCUUUCCAAGAUGUUGUGACCUUGAGUGAUGGAUACAACCAACUCUUAGCAGAAUCCACAAAAGAGCUUGGGUCAAAGUUCAGAAUUGCUUCCCAAUCCACCUGUACCCCUUUUGGAAUUUUCUCCUCAAACUCCAUAUUAGCAGCAAGAAGCAAUCCAAGCAAAACGAUAAAUCCAACUGCAGCAGUGCCUCUAGACAGUGGCAUAAAAUUGUACCUGAAAAGUGAUCCCAUUUAUUUGUACAAACCACCAUAUUUCUCUGAAGAAAAAAGAAUACCUUCUAUGUAUUAAGAGUAUUUUUCUGUACCAAUAAUAUGUCAUCCUCAAAAUUGCAUCUCUAACAUUUUCAAGUACAUCAAGAUCAGUAGACCCAUAGUUUUCACUGCAAUAAGCAUUGCACACAGCCUGUGAAUCAAAUUUUGAAACAUUCAGUUAAUAAUAAAUAGAAAACAAAUAAAAAUCAAUGUCAACAGAAGAUCCAUAUGGAUCAAAUUAAAGAGGUACUGAAUUUGACACAAUUAGUAGGAGAAUUUAGGAAUAAUAUUAAGGUGCAAUUUUUCAAAAUUUAUGCGUCAGCAAAGAUUGAAAGGAAAAAUCCAUGUGCUAAAAGUAAAAGAAGUAUAUGUUAUCAGGCUGCUGCUUUACUAGUACAAGGAACUCAUUCAAAUAAUCACAAAAUGCAAUAAGUUUGCCCAUACCAAUUUUUUUCAUUGUAUAUCAUGUCAAAGGAUAAGCAUAUGAAAAGAUCCGGGACCUGGAUUUAUACACAAAUUAAUACUGAGAAAAGGAAGCUUCCAACCAACAAAUAAAAUCCCUUGCCAAACCUUACUCGGGCAAAUCUGGAAGGUUAAUAUUUACACUGGAAGAGAUAAAUAAACUAAAUGACUGAUUUAAAAAGCUUCUAGACAAGUUCAAUUGAAGUCUUGACACAAAAUAGACUAUUUUAUGUCAAACCAGAUACCAAGUUAUCAAAUUUGAAGUGCAAAAAUUAUCUAACAAGCUUAACUGAUUAGUACAAAGAGUUCACAGAGAUGACACCAUAAAAAGAGAGAAUUGAACAGUCACGUGCAAAAGGAAACUUCAACUCCUUUGUGUUCUGUGAUUCUUUAUUCUAUCAAUAUGUUGCACCAAUUAUAAAAGCAGCAAAGGAUAUGAUUGAGAAAAUUAUGGGUUCAUUUAUUGAGAAAAUGGGAACCUUACCUCCCAAGCCAUUGCCAUUUCGGCAUCAUACUCAUCCCAUCUAGAAGGUGUACAUGGUGUUCUUAUUGCAAAGUCAAAUCCAUGCUCACCCCUGGAACAAUCAUUUCGAUGUUCAGCCAUCCGGGAAAGCAUAAAAAUGCAUAAGAAUGUAAACUUAAAAAAAAAAAAAAUCAGAAGAAAUAAAAUGGAGAAUAAUUAGGAAAAACAAAUAGGACUUACAUCUUCACUAGGGUAAUCCUUGUCCCUUCAAGCUGCUUCCUGAAAAGAGUAUAAACAGCCAAGAGUAAUGUUAUCAUUGGGAAAUUUUAUAUGCACUAUAUAUUGCAUAUUGCAUUUCAUAAUUAAAGGAAAGUUACCCCUCAGUUGCUGUACUGUUGCACCAUGUAGCCAACCAGAAGUCCUCACCAACCACUUUGUAAAGAUCAGAACAAGUUUUUGCAUCCAUGAUCUGUAUGUUCCAUAACGAAAUUAACCAUAUGCAUAUAGAUAAACCAGUUUUAUUUCAAUGACAAAGUGGGAGAAUAAUUGAUGAAACUUAUAGAAUAAUAUCAUAUUAAUAAAAAACGGAUCACAUUUAAUAGCCCCAUGAAAAGAUACUUCUAACAGUAGUAAAAAAGAGGAAAAACCAAAAUGCUGACAUAGGCACGCCCAUAUAACCACUUUAGAAACAGGUUGAUUUCUUUCAUUAUCUACAUUACAAAGAAUGACAGACAUGAUCCUAUCUUAGAGCAUCAUUGAAAAGCAACAAAAUGGAGGAAGAUAAAAUUGAAACAGAGAAUUGAACUACUCACAUCCUGUAAUUUCUCAUCCUUGGAUAUAUCAAUGAUUUCAUCCGCCUUGCUGCACACAUACAGUUUAUCCUUCAUGAUUGUCUUUGCAGCAUUUAAUGUUCUGCAGAUUUAACAACUGAUGAGAAUUUUAAAACCUGGAUGGACCUAAUAAAGAAUCGAACUAGGAUUCACCUUUCAAAAUUUGGGUAGUAGCGAACAACUUUUGCUUGUCCAAGAAUCAAUGGUGUGUGAGACCCAAAUCCAGAGUUAAACUCUUCACUGAAUUGAAGAGAUGCCCAAAUCCAUACAAAAAGAAGAAUUACAGCAAAGACUUGAGUCAGUUAAAAAACUCAUUCAUCUUGAAUCUCUAAAUAAUACACAAAGUCAUCCAAACAGUGCCAAAAUCAGACAUUCUGGGGACCGGAUUAAGAUUGAGGCAUAGAAUUGACAGGUGCUAUGAUAUCAAUAAUUUCGCAGGUCAAAUACAGGCCAUGACUGCUCAGCAUGCAAAUACUCAGACAAUAGAUGAACUAAUUGAUUAAACUGGUACAAACAUCUAUGAACAGUCUAGAAUGCCAAUUCCCAGAUAUUACAUAACAAAAUCUGUAUAACUAAAGUAGUAAAAUGUGAAUCUUGCAUAACACGUAUUCCAAUGGUAAGUAACAUGUCCUGUUCAUUUUGAUGGGCUAGAGUAAUAGCAUGAAUUUGGUAUACCUUAACUUGUUAACCCACACAACUGGGUCACAGGGCUCAGAAAUUUGUCUCCAUUUGACAGCGAUAGAGUAAACGUCUUGCCACGUCAUCUUAUAACGACCGGGAGAUCUAUCUUCUGUAAUGCCGUACAAAGUUGAUGUUUCUGAGGAACUGCUUGUACUGCAACCGGCGCCACCUCUAUUCUGACUGGCCAAGUUGAUUCUUCUUCGAGUUCUCUUACCAUAUUUUGACAUGUUUUUAUUAGAAUGUUUCCAUUCGGCCUGCAAAGAACGCCAGGCUUUUGAAACCUUUUGUGCAAUUUCAAUAGCUGCUAGUCCUGCCAUGCGAUGCUGAAACAGAACAAAAGAUGAACCAUAUUAAUAUAUACAAACUGUAACAAGAAAGUAACAUUAAGUUGACUUAUGCACAGUUAUGGGGCAACAAGAUAUGAUUAAAACUCAGGUGCGACCUGAACCCAACCAAGCAGAAUAUCAACGUAUAAGAUUAUCACAAGUUCAUUACAGGUAGAAGAAUAAGGGAAGUAGAUCAAGAGCAAUCUUGUUAUGUCUUUGAACAUGAUACCAAUAACAUAAAAUGACAACUUGAAUUGACAACAAGACUCAGUUUCCUGUACACGAUUCACCUCAUAGUUAUUUUGUUGCUCUUGUACAGGAGAUAUCUUUCUUUUUCUACCCUAAAAAAAUCCUAUCAGGCAUUGGCACACCUCUUGGUGACCUUUGGUUUGAUUUCGUUUCUUCUAAAGAGAGGAGAAAUUGUAAAUCAAAGAAUUAAAACUAAACCAAUUUGGUUAGGGAUACUUCAAUUCUAUCACCACUUGACAAUUAUACCAGAAAUUGCUACAUCAAUUUAUGAUUUAUAGAGAUAAAACCAUCAUAUCACCAACUUUUGAAACUUCCAGACAUCCAUUGGUCCCAGUCGGGAAGAUUGACCCAAUGUAAAAUGCAUGACAGGGUAACAAUGUACAUUUAUGCUACGUUUGGGAAGAGGGAGGAAUUAAAAUAAGAGUGGAAGUAAAAUUACACUAUUCACUUUCCUCCAAAAUGAAGUGAAAAUUGGGCUAAAAAUGGUGUAAAAUAAAUUCAUUUUACAUCCUCCUUAAUAUUUUCACCCAAACCAAACAAAGAAUUUUGAAAAUUCCAAGGCAUUUUACCCUCUAUUUUACAUCCUCCCUAUAUUUUACCUCCAUCCAAACAAUCCAUGAAGCAUUUUGCAUGCUGACGAGAUCUUUCUAGUAUAGAGGGCCCAAUUGACUUGCCAAUGAAGGCUUCAGGAAAACAGAAGCUCACACCAUGAAUCAGCUUAAUCUAAACAACAGAACGGUUUCUAAAACAUGCAUUUAUGCCAUCAAAUGAAAAAACACCCAAAAAAAAUCUGCAUUGCACAUACUAAAUUUUAUAAGAAGCAAAAUUAUCCUAUCUUUCAAAGGAUGAAUUAAUAAAAAAAUAAAUCAUUAGUUUUUUUUUUUGUUGAGAAUCUAGAUGAGAAACUUAAAAGAUCAAAAGUAAAAGUGCAAGAUAGACUAGUUAGCGAUUCAAAACUAUAUGAAAAAAUUAUAAAGACAUAUAAUAAGCUUUCUAUGAGAAAGGAGAACUGAAAGAAAAUGAAAACUAGAACCCAAACAGAAAGAGCACUGCAUUACAUAUAUCUUUCAAAAAUUAAUCACCUGACGCCUAUUGGGUAAGAAGCCAGGGCAAUCAUAUUGAAUCUUCUUGCCAAUAGAAUCAGCUGCCAAUAGAAGAGCAGUCUUUGGUUUUGUAAUGGCAAAAUCUUGCUUUCUCAGCUUACCCCUUUUCAGAGAAUCAUGAAGAGGAGGUUGGCGGUAAACCUUCUCGCACACAUUCUUGGGGUGCAAUCUUUUGCACCAGUACUCCUGAAAAUUCAUUACGGCAUGCACACAAAAUAAAUAUGAAAUAUGUGCUCACAAGAAGUUGCUGAAGCAUUGUACUUUCUGCACAAUCUGGCAUGUUAACUAGUAAAUGGUUCGAUGUAAGCAUGUGAUUAUUUCUGAAUGUGUGAUUAUUUCUGAAAGAAAAUUUUUUGUGAGGUCAUGGUUCAGCUCUCAUAGAAUAUUUUAAAAAAUGUUUAAGAUUUCGAAGAAGGGACUAUUCAUGAGUGAAAAACAAGUAAAAGAGUACAUAUAAAUGUGUGUAUUGUGUGUGUAUAUAUAUGUAUUGUACGUUUCUUAUUCAUUAAUACCUUGAAAAGAGGAUCAAUGUCUCCAUCAAUAUCAAACCAACAGAAAUCACUGUUAAUUUUAGAAGCUGUAUACAAAGCAAGCUCCUUCUGCAAAAGAUAAAAGCUAAAUUUAAAAACUUUUCCAUAGAGGCCAGGGUCAGAUAUGAGCUAAAACAAUCAAUUGCCGACUGAAACUAUUAUAUUACAAAAUGACUUGGAUAGCAAUAUCUUAUGAAAUACAGUUAAAAACAAUAAAGCAAAACUGAUAUAGAAAAAUGCGUACAAACAUGCUAAAGAUGCACAAUAUCAAUCUACAAAUGGAUUUCUGAUGCAGCUCAAGCAUGUGAAUUCAUUGAAUGAGAUAAAUGUUGGAAAUAAAAAGCAGCACGUGAUAAAUUUUCAAGUUAAAAAUAAAAUAUUCUAGAUCAACCACACCUGAUAGAAGGCUAAGCAUUGAAGCACAAAUUUCUCCAUUGAGUCUAGUUCAAUAUCUAGAGUUGCAUCAUAAUCCUUCACCUGUGACCAUCGAACAAAAUUAUUGCAAACAGAAAAUACAAGAUUAAGCAAUCUGCAACUUAUGAAUAAGACCAAUAGUUUUCAUGGAAGAGACCUUACCGCCUCUCCAUAUUCUCCAAUAGCAUGGUAGCAGGAACCCCGUAAAUAUAAAUAUUCUAUGUUUGAAUUUUCAAUACUCAAGCCAAUGGAUAAAUCCUUGAUAGCCUUCCUGCAACAGUAAAAUCUAAAUCAGUCACUCAUGUCCAUGCAGAACUAGUUAGAAAAUGAUGUGCUGCAGAAGAAGACAUUGCAUUUAACUCAAUGAUAAAAUUCGAAGAGUAAAGUGUAAAAUUUUCUAACAGAACUUAUUGCAAAAUUUUAUUUUGAUUUCUAUUUGACACUCUACCAGGUUAUUUGCAAAUUUAUCACAUAUAAACUCCAAAAGGGUGGUACACAUCCGCCUAAACAAUAGCCCUUUUUAUCUAAAAAAGAUCCAGAAAUAAUUAAUGUAGAAAACUACACACUUAGAAAACCACUGUAGCACCCAUACAAAUCAAGUGGCUAAGAACUUUUCCGUCUGGCUUCACUGUCACUUAUUGCUUUUCUCAUCAAUCUCUUGCUGUUUCUUUAUACCUUAGGGUUGAUAUCUUGAUCCUCCAUACAAUAUGUAAAUAUCCAUCUUCCUCAACAAGUUGAUUCAUAGCUAGAAGAAUAAGUGUGCAUGUGUAACCAUAAUACCACGCAACAUUCCAAACCAGAAAUAAAAUAAUUAGAUAUUGCUCAAAGGUAAAUGAAGAAGCAUAGUAAGCUAGAUAGGUCAACUUCAAAUGCCCUAAAUGUAUAAAAAAGGCCUUCUGAAGAAUUUUAUCAAGAUAUAUGGCUUUCCUUCAAACAGUUUGCUGAUAUACACGAAUGUUAUACUAAUAAUGUUUGACUUAAACCCAUAAAGGCAGGGAUGCUUUGUUGUAGCCUUGUAGACAGUACUGAUCAUUACAAUUCAUCCACACAAUGUGUAUGUAUAUAUCUAAAAGUAGGAAUUUAAAUGGAGGGGCAACUGUAUAAAGAAAACAGAAAAUCAAAAUUAAAUGCACCCAUGCAUAUUAUUCGAAGAAAAAGUACUUUUUUUAUAAAAACCUGAGUGAUUUGCACAUAAUGCCAAACUACAUUCUCAAUCAAUUUGCUAACUAAAACAAAUAUUUCAAAUAAACGCCAAGUCCCCUACUACAUAAACACCUUACCAUUUUAUGAUUUCCCGCACUUCAAAUAUUCAUAAGAUGAUGCAAAUUAAAAUGUAUACAAUGGUCACAUAAAUAAAAAUAAAUAAAUACACCACUGAGAGAAAAUCAAGAAAUUGAUAUUGACAUCACAUAAAUGAUGGAAAAAUCUACAAGAGGUGUAAUAGUCACUUAAACAAAUAAAUAUUUUACGGAAAAUCAAUAAUUUGAUAGAACAUACCUGUGGUCUCCCAUGCCAUGAAGCAGUAGCCCACGCAAGUAAUAGGCUUUUGCAAACCUAUCAAAUGUAAUAACAGUAUCAAAUUCAAGUUGCAAAAUCACAAGCAGAAUCAGAUACAACAAAUUCAUCAUCAAACAUUACACAUUUGCAACAGGAAUGAAAUGAUGCAGACUGAAGAGUGACAACAAUUACCUUGCAUCAAUUUGGAUAACUUGUUGACUGCAUUCGAAAGCUUUUGAUGAGUUUGCUAAAUCUUGGUAGAACUGCAAUGAUGCAGAUAUUGAAACAACAGUAAGUAAUAGAGCUUCUUCACAAGGAACUUGUCAUACUGACGGAACAAUGUGUUGUGAAGGUGAAAUUUGCAACUCUAUAUAGUAGUAAAGUACUGAACCUACUCAUCGUUGUCACUGUGUGCUUGCAAAGAAGUCACUAUAAACCAUCAGCAUUUUUUCAACCGUUUGUGUAGAUGCUAUGAGUUAACCAAAAUAAAAUAAAAUAAAUAAAACUUCUGUAGGAAUAGCAUUUUCCUUCAGCUUCUAAUUUCUUGUGAAACCCUCAGACCCACAAACAAUAUGAACUAAGGACCCAAAUGUAUUGGUGCUCUAGAUGUUGAAUAAAUACAGCUCAAAAAGAUAUGUUUAGCAUACAGCACAUACAUAUCUGGACAUUAUCGAGUGCUUUACAGAACCAAAAAGUGGAUACUGCAAAAUCAUGUAUGCAAACAUUGGGUGAAAGGCUGGACAUAGCAUAUGAACUGGCUCAAGGACUGAAAGUACCAUGCAAGACAGUGGCCAAACAUCAUACAUAAACACGGACACUACGAGGCAAACUUCUGAAGCUAUCAAAGAAGUCUGCAAGUGCAAGUGCCAGAUCUUUUAUUCCCAAAAUUACUUUGCAACUCCAUCCUAACCGCCUUUCUCAUUAACGCCCUCAAUUUAACAUCAUAUAUAUAACAGUGUUAUAUAUUCCAAUAUUUUGGUAGCAUGAGCUUAUCUAUCCACAUCUUUCUUUCAUUGUUAUAAAGAUGCUUCAUUGUAUCUGCUUUCCUUGUCUCCAACUUAAAAUAUCACUAUUACAUGUAUUUUUCAUCAAUAAGAGUCCUAAGUUAUUGUACUGCAAAGGAACAACAAUUUCAGUUAAGUGCGUUAUUUUGCUUACUGUAAAUUUGGGCACAUGGUUUACAUAUUAAAUAAGUAAUACUAUCUCCAUAAAUAAUUUUAUGCCAUUGACGUCAACACAAGUCGUAAGAAUAACAUAAAUAAACAAUGGACAUCCCACUAAAGAGAUCAGCUAAACUAUUCUCCUUGAAGAAAAUGCAAAUACGUAGUUACCUGUGUCAGAUGAGCCCAUCCCUCAAGGAAACUCCGAUCAAGUUGGAUAGAUUUUAAAUGUGCCUCCUCAGCCUUUUUAUAUUCACCAAUUGAAGAAAAUGCCAAACCCUAUAAAGUCAAAGUUCCCUCAUUCCAAGUAGAAGAAUACAAACAAUAUUAACAAUUUAAGAUGCUAAAUCACAAAUAUAUGAUCUAGAAUGAGUAAAGUAUCAGACAUUCAGGACUCACUAAGUAUGUGUAGGCAGAUUUGUUAUCCUUAUCAAGCUUCACACAUGCAGAUAGAUCUUCCACAGCAGCAUCAAAAUCCUUAAACUUAAAAUUAACAAUUCCUACAAUAUUAAAAAUUAUGUUGAUCAAUUGUUUGGUAAAGAGCAGCCAUCGACCACAACUCUACUGUUUCUACAACUACAUUGAUUAGAUCAAACAUUCAGCUUUGCUGGCAUGCUACAAGCAAAUAUUAAGAAAUGAAACUAAAAUCUAAAGACAUUAUGAUUCCAUUGGGCUUAUAGCUCAGUGGUGAUGUGCUUGCCUCAGUGUAGAGUUCAAGGGUUCAAACCCAAAUACAUCAAACAAUUCAGCUUUGCGGGCAUGCUACAAGCAAAUAUUAAGUAAUGAGACUAAAAUCGAAAUAAAUUAUAAUGUCAUUGUGCUUAUAGCUCAGUGGUGAUAUGCUUGCCUCAAUGUAAGAGUUCCAAGAGUUCAAACCCAAAUAGCCACUCCCUUUAAGAAAUCCCAAUAUAUGAAAAAGAAAGAAAAAAACAAUACAACAUCCACUCCCUUUAAGAAAUCCCAAUAUAUGAAAAAGAAAGAAAAAGACAAUACAGCAUCAUUUUUAACAUGAAAAGUAGCAUACUUUUUAUGAAAAGGAAAGAAACUACAGAUGAACAUAUUCAACGGUAACAAAUCUUUCAAAUACAAUCCCCACACAGAAGUAUUUCUUACUUGAUUAGAUAAUUAAACAGAAUAGUUGACAUAUAAAGUAGAAGUGAAUGACAUGUUAUCCUGUCAGAUCAUGGAAGUUGACUAAAUAUUGAAAUACAAUGAAAGAGAUACAUUAAAGAAAGUUACCUCUUUCAUGUAAUAUAUCUGGUGAGUUUGGUUCAAACUCUAAUGCCUUAGUCAAAUCUUGAAUGGCCUGCUAUGAAGAGGCGACAUGAAUUAACAUAAAAGCAAUUUGAAGUUUGUUUAAUCCUAUGAACUAAGAACUUUCAGUCAUUUCAAGAGAAGAAAGAUAUAUAUGUAACAACUGAAUAAUUUAAUUUAAAACAUAGACCCAUGUUGGGGAUAUGCUUUGAGCUUGUUUAAUGCCUUCUUCUUAAAGUAUAAAAUUAAACAAAAAUUCAGUAGUAGUAUGAGAAAAUGAAGUUGCUACAUACAGGAAGAAAAUAAAGCCCUCCAGUGGGUAACUGCAAAUUAUUUUCCCAAAAACUUAAUAAGCAGGUGAGAAUGGUUUAAAAUCCAAGAGAAAAAGAACAUAGCCAAAGCCAAUAAAAAUAUUUUCCUCGUUUGGGUAAUAAAGCCUUCAACGGUCAAUGAAUUGUUCAAACUAUUCCUACCUCUACAGAUUCCCCUAAUGCAGCUCGGGCCUGCCCUCUUCGCUUCCAUGCUUCACCAGCUAAUGGAUUUGAUUCAAUAGCCUAAAACAUUAAUCAUGUAAAGCACUUGUAAGGCAGAAACUUAAAUCUUUUCAUAUAUAUCUAGCACAUUGAAAUUCAAAUACCUUUGAAAAGUCAGCAAUAGCAGCUUCCAGUUCUCUCUGGAAUGCAAAUGCUGUCCCUCUACCAAUUAGUGCCUCGGGAUAAGUAGGAUAUUCUCUCAGUAUCUGCAUAAGAAACAGUUAACACCCUUUUCAUAAAAGUUUGAUGUAUAGCCCUGCCUUGGAACAAGAUGAGACUUUCCACACACACUCUCAAAAACAUGCACAAAAUCAUAAACGGGGGACCAGACAAUACAUUCCCAAAAGAUACAAAACAACCAGAAUGAUGAAUACAAAUUUACCUGGUUAAAAAUAGAUAUGGCAGAAGCAUAUCUCCCUUCAUUGACCUGCAAGAGGGCACUUUGUAGUUUCAAACGGAAUGCAAUACUUAAAACAUUGACAAUCUGACCAAUAAGAAUAGCACUUGUUAGCAACAUUUAAACCUUAAAACUUAAAAGUAGUGCAUACCUGUGCUAUACCCCGUGACAAUCUGAAAUCCACAGUCACGGACUUGGUCUUCGAAAUCUUAGUUACACAAAACUUUUUACUUUUAUUGGCUUCAUCACUUGCUUCAUUAGGCACGUCAGUCUCAUUACUCGAUUUGCUGCGGAUGUGACUUGUUUCACCCAAGCUGCUAGGUAGCUUAGAAAAUUUACUUGGGAAUUCUGAUGUAUUGCUUAAGCUAUUGUAGGAAUUAGAACUAUGGCUUGGUUUAUCAAGAAUAUCAUGAGUUACAUUCAUUGGGCUAUCAACCUUUUUACCCCCUUCAGCUUUCUCACUUAAGUCAUUUUGCAUGCCAAAAUUAUUCCCCGACUUGCAGUAGAACUCAGAUGUAUCUCUUGACUCACUACAUAAAUAAUGUUUAUCUCCUAAUCUAUUCUGAUUUAUAUAAUUUUCUGUUGGUUUUCCGUUUACGAAGGAUCCUGAUUCAGGUAUAGGUAUUGGUGACUUCCCUCCAGCUUCAUCUUUUAUCCCAUUCAGCACUUCAAACUUAUCUCGAAACUUGCUGCAGCUCUGAGAUGCAUCGCCAGACUCACCACUUGAACUUGAGAAAUCACUCGAUUUAUUCUGGAUCUUAGAUGAUUCAGUUACAUUCAUGGAUGACCUAGAUUCUGUCACAUUAUUUUCAUGACCAUUGUUUCUGUCUUGUUUUCCAAACUUAAGAAGCUCUUCAAGUUCCAGCAACUGUUUCAGAUCCGCAGACUGAUGCAAAGCAUGCUCAUAGCCCUGUUCCCAUACCAGAAGAGCAUCCUCUUUCCUUCCCAAAGAUGAAAACGCACGACCUAAAAUCACAAACGUAAGAUCAGGAGAGAAACCCGUGAAUCCCAAACGUGAGAACACUCGUUCUAUGCCUCACUUUGACCUAGAUAACAGCAAUUUAUAUCGCAUUAUUGUACAUUGAAGAGAAUAUGUCAAGAUAAGCUAAACUUGAUCAUCAGUUGCAGGGGAUCAGGCGGUAUAACAACGAACAAUUUUUUGCAACUAUGGAUAAUAUUAUAGAUUUCUUGUUUAUCAAUGUUUAAGGAACAUAGGAAAGUGACUAUACCCAGUAACAGACCUUGAAUCAAGCAUAUUGUUUUCCAGAUAAAAUAAAUCCACAAACAAAUGGAAAAACAAUUCCACAAUUAAAAAAAGCCAAACUUUUCAACAUUUUAACUCCUAAUGAAAAAACGAAGCCUACUUUUAGUUUCUUCAAAAGAAAAGCACAUGCAGCACAGUCUAUGCUCUUGUUUAUAUCAUUGAAGACAUCAAACAACGUUUACCACAAAAUUGCUAGCAAUUUUUCAUUUGAUGUGCUGCAACAAUUAAUACACACUUAUUUCCUGUUGGGAUAAUGAAUCAAGGGUCAUAGGAAAAUUCAUGCAAUAAUUAGAAAACUAUUGUGACCAUAGUAAGCAAUCUCUUGUAGAUCUCAAAUUCAAAUUUAGAUUUCAAAUCGAAUGCUGAAUAAGCCACCUCUGAGCAAUUCCCAAAUUACUUAAAAUCUUGGACAACUUGACAGCAAAAAGCCAUUAACGAUGUGUAGUGCCAUAUGGAGAGAAAACCAUAUAUGCAACUGUACAAGUACCAAGAAAGGACUAUAUGUUAUGAACAAGAUCAUCCAAAAACAUGCAUUGACUUAAAACAAUACAUGUUAUUUGAUAAAGGAAACAGAAAAUGAUUUCCAGCGUGCUUCAGCUAUUAUCUAAGCAACUCCUUUUUUUCAGUACUGGGUACUGAGUCUAAUUGUCUAAAAAAUUGGAAAAAAAAAAAAAAAAGCACACAACUGAACUGGAUUGGAUUGAAUUGAAUUGCCUCGAGCCCGCUCGAAUUUGAAGUCAGAAAAUUACAAUUGCAGCUAAAAUUUGACACGCAAAACAGAAACAGAGUAAAACACCUUUGAGAAUAUAAGCUUGAAGAAGAUUAGGAUCGAGCUGAAGCGCCUUGUCACAGUCCUUAAUGACAUGCUUAUGGAGCUCCAAUUGACUGUAACAAAAUGCUCUAUUGCUGCAACCAAAGAAAAGAGAAAGAAGAAGUUCACAUUAUCGAAAAUCAAUCUUUCUUGAAGAUCAAACAAGAAGACUACAACUGGAAAAUUAAUGAACUGACCAGAUAUCUUGAAUGGUGCAUGACUGAGCGAGAAGCGAGUCGAGAACUCGAAUAGCCUUUGACCAAUCUCCGGAGGCACAUGACUUAGCGAGCUCGGCACGCUCAGAGAUCGCCGAUACCAUAAUAACUCAACUGAGUUACAAACAAGUUUGUUGAGAUUUCAAUUUCAAGAUUAAAAAGGGAAAAAUAGGAAAAGGAGUCGAACGAGGUGAGUGAACGGGAGAAAUGGGGUAGAAAGGAGAAGGUGGACCAGGAAGGUGGUGGUGGAGAAAUCGAGCUUGGAGGAGAGAGUUUGCACGUGCCGUUACACGUGAACAAAAGAAAGCUUGAUUCACUUCCGCUGAGUUUUCACUUUUCACCGCCAUUAACAUUAACAAAAUAUUUUACCACGGGAAUUAAACAAGCUAUGGGCUCGAUUUUAUGACCAAUGAGUGGUUAAAUCUUAAAUUAUAAUAUUAAGAGAAGUUUACUAUUUAUUUAUAUAUGUGAUUUAUUGAAGGUAAUUUAAAAUUUUAUUAAUGAUAAAUUAAUCUUUUAUUAUGUUUAUUAUUGUAAAUUUUGAUAAAGUUUAAUUUUUUUUUUUUUUUACCAACAAGUGUCAAGAUAAAUGGUUUAAUAUUUUUUUUUCCUUGAAUAAGGUCGAGUGUUCAAACAUCAUAUUUCUUUAAAUUAAAUCAAGGAUUCGAUACUUAUAAAUAGACAAAAUAUUCAUUAAAGUGUUUUUAUCGCUUAGUGAGUAAAAUCGAGUAUUCAAAUAUCAUAUUUUUUUUUAAAUUAGAUCGAUGGUUCAAUCAUUAUGAAUGGAUUAAAUAUUCAUUAAAGUGUGAAAACCACUUAGUCGAGCGAUUCGACACAAGUAAAAUUUAGUCGUAAUAUAAUAAAUAAAAUCAUUUUAAUAAGAAAUACUUAUUAAAGUAUUUUACCACUCAGUUGGUGUACGGACACAAGUAAAAUUUAGUCAAAAUCUAGUAAAUAAAGUCAUUUUAAUAAGAAGUAUUUGCAACUCUUAACCUUGUAUUGUUUCAUAAUUACUGAGAUGACGUGUAAUACCAUAUGAUUCAACAUGAAUCUGUAUUUCUAUCAAAAAGGGAUUCUUUCCCCCAAUGCAAGUAAAGUAGAAUGAAAUAUUCCUUGUCAAAAUAUGAAGGAAAGGAAAAAAAAAAAAACCUCGGUAAAUAAAUAGCAAAUAUGAAUUUUUAAUAUGAUUUGGACAUUUGGUUGUCCAAGUGAUAUCGUUAGAAAAUGUAUUUGACUAUGAUAGAUUGUCCACUGCGGAUUGGGCCACAGGGUGGCUAGGAUGGACACUGAACGGAAGCAGACCUGGACUCGGGCUAAAAGUUUCGAGUCUAAGCCCAGUGGUGCACAAAAAUAUCUUAGCUUGAGCGCAAUUUUUUUGCUAGUGUAUUUUAUUUUAUAUGCUCGCAGAAUUGAUGAGCAUUUUUAUAGUCAAAAUAACUUGAAUCCGAAAUUUUCUUUCUAUAUUUUUAUAGAAGGUGAAAGACCAAACAAAUCACGUGUGAUUGACUUAUAAUAUAUUUUAAUUAUUUUCAUAUAUAUAUAUAUAUAAAGAUGAUAUUGUAUGUUAUAUCUUAUGUUACAAAAUACAGAUCACAUGAUUAAACUUUUUAAUACCAUAUGCAUAUAAAUUUUUAAGUUUCGUGUUGCUUUCUUACACAUUUCAUUAGAAAAGUAAUCUACUUUUGUAACAUUAAUCUUGCAGAAAAUAGAGGAAGGGAAAAAUGUGAGCAAAAGGAGCCCAAUUCCAACAACCUGCAAUAUCCACAAAGGAACUUACCCUUUUAUUCAUCUCUCCUUCUGGAAUAGGAAUGAGGGCGAGAUUAUUUAUUAGAUAACCAUCUCUUAUUGCAGGUUACAUGCAAUACAAUCAUAUUUAUAUUAUGAUUUUAAUGUAUAAAAAUAUUUUUUAUAUAUACGUGUUAUUAUUAAAAUUUGGGUUAUUUCAAUUUGGUUUUUAAUUAUUUAAAGGUUCGAUGUAGUUUUUAUAAAAUUGAAUUUGAUUCUAAAAAAAAUUGGUUAUUGUGAUUUUAGAAAAAUAAUUAUAUCCAACCAACCACGUGUUCCCUCCAAAAACAAAUAAACCAUAUUUCUCUUUGUUUUCCAUUUUGGUUUAACACUUGCAGCUGGCGGGAGUUCAAAAGCUAAAUCUUGGUAAUCUCCCAUAAAGAAUUUCUAAUACCUGCCGAAAGAAUGGUAAAAAAAAAAAAAAACUCUUAUGACCUUAAAAAUCUUGAUUUAUGACAAAUAUAUGGGUCACACACCAAGGAUAAUUUUCCAACUUUUUUAUAUAAAAUCCUAAUUAACGAUUUACACAGUUUUAUUAACGAGAAAUUACCAGGCUAAACAAGAAACAAUGAUUGCACAAAUGUCAAAAAAAAGAAACAAUGAUUGCACAUUAUAAAUAUUAAAAUACCAAAUGUGCAUUUUAAAGAUUAGGCAGCAAUAUCAUAACGAAUAUGCCUAAGAAGCACCGGAAUUACAAUAUCCGGUGAGCUCAAUUGGGGUAAAUGACCGUCGGACGACAUAACUUCAACUAUAGAUUCAGAGCCAAGAUUUUGAUGCAAAUACUCCGACACAACCACCGGCACAGCCAAGUCCUUGCCACUUUGGACAAUGUGACAAGGCACCGUGAUCAAGUGCAGAAUCUGCCUCAUGUCACUCUGGAAUAUGGUUCGUGCUACACUUAGAGCUAUAUCUGGUCUCAUAUUGAAGAGAGUGCGGCUAAAUUCUUGGACGGCAACUGAGUCCAUGUCACCGCCAACGGCCAGCGGAGCAAACCCUGAACACCACGCCUUGUAAUUGGAUUCCAUUGCUUCAAAUAGUUGGUUUAGAUCUUCUUGCUCAAAUCCUCCAUAGUAAUCCACAUCAUUCAAAUACCUGAUAAUUAUAAAUGUAGAUUAGUAAAACUAGACUUGAACUGUAUUAACAAAACUUUUAAAGUAGCUUUUAGAGUUUUGGCAAAUUAAAUUUUCUAAUAUUACUUAAUAAUAUAAUGUUGAAACUAAUUUUUAAAAUUUUAACUAAACAACUAAUAACUACCAAAAUAAUUAAUUUCAUUUAACAAACCCUUCCAAAGUCAUGAUUCAAAACAUUUAGAUAUCAUAUUAGGAUAGGUCUACCUAAAGCUAACGGUCAUGAUAUUAGAUUCGUUCGGUAAAAUUAACUUUUUUUUUUAGUAAUUAUUAGUUGCCUUAGUAGUAUUAAUUGUUCAUCAAACGAUAAAAAGGAGUGAUGUUUCAUUAUAUCUAUUCAAAAUUUAAAUAUUAAAUAUUAAUAUAAAAAUUAUGUCGCUGAACACUACAACUAAUGAAAAUAAUCAAAAUAUUAAAAACUACAUGAAAAAAUAUUUUGGAACAGCUUGUGAAUGCUGAAAUUUUCAAUUCAAUCAACAUAGUUUCAUUGAUUUUAAAAUGAUUUUCAUGGCAAAUGGCUAGUUUGGUAACCCACACACAAACACAAAGAUCCAAAAAGACACAUUAUUAAACAAUGUUUCAACUAGCCUUACCUUGUAUAAAAAAAAUAAUUUAUCUAUAUUCAAAUAUGAAAAGACAGGAAUGAAUAAUAAAAUAUAUUAGAACACAAAUCAAAGAUACCGCAAUAAUCAUAAACAACAAAGUAACUAAACAGUUAGCGAUGCGACUUCCAUUAAACAACAAAGAUAAACCGCUAUUUUUUACUAAUUUUUAACCACUUGAAAACAUUUUAUAAUGAUUUCUAUUUCUGCGCAAACUUUUAUGGUUGUCUUAAUCAGCUAAUCUGCUAAUCAACGUGGCCUGUAAAAGAUUAAUAAAAUAGUCAAAAAGAAGAGAGUUUAAUUAAUUAAUUUAAUUACCUUGGAGAACCAGAGAUCAUUACGAGUUUGGAGAAGAGAUCAGGGCGGCUAAUGGAAGCAAUAGCGCCAAUCAUUGCAGAAACAGAAUGACCGACAAAAAUACACGAUUCAACUUGUAAUUCCUCUAAAAUCGCUAGCAAAUCAUAAGCAUAGCCUUCGAGAGUUGAAUACCGAUCAAAAUCAAAGUAAUCUGGAUUUGUAGUACCAGCACCCAUAUUAUCAUACAAAAUGACUUUGAAAUCGUCGAGAAGAUGAGGAACAAGGUGUUUCCAAACAGAUUGAUCGGUGCCAAAUCCAUGAGCGAGAACUAAAACCUGCUCUCCUGCGCCUAUGAUUUUGACAUUAUGAGCUUCUUCUACUAUGCCCAUAUCUUUUUCUCCUGUUUUUGGCCUUUUUUUGUUGGGGAGGUUGGGGUUUGGGAGUUGAGCUUUGGGUUUAAAGGUGUGAAAUGGUGGACUUUUAUUUUUUUUUUGGAUUUUUUUUGUUUUUGUUUUUGGUGCUGUGGACAAGGGAAAAGGUGUAGACGGGGAAUAAUAACGACCGCAUGGGUGUGUGUGUGUUUCUUUUUUCUUUUUCCAAAUUUAAUGAUAAGAUAUUGGGCUUUGUUUAUGUAUGUGCUGGUACAGGCAAUAGGAUUUUUGUUCUUACAUCAACGGUGUAGAACCAUGUGAUCAACUUUUUGACGAAUUAGUGCAAGUGAGUGCAUUCAUAUGGAAUCAUCUAACAACUAAUAGAUAGAGGAGCAUUGGCAAGCCGACUUCGCAAAAUUUUUUUUAAGUAUUGAAUACGAGAAUAUUCAUAUUAAUAUAUAUAUAUUUUUACUGUUAGAGAAGGUAUUAGAACCUAAAUUUUAAUAGGUGUUGUUGCUAUGGUGAAAAAUAAAAGAAUUCGAAUUUGAAUUUUUUUCGCCCAUUAGAGUUUUUAUAAAAAAUUUUAUAGUUUUGAAUAUUUUAAUUUUACAAAUUAGAAUUUUUAACAUUUUAACUAAUUUUAAAUAUUAUUAUCAAGUGACAGGAAAUAAAUUGUUUGAUAAAUAAUUUUUAAAAAAUAUUUUUCUUAAAGAAUAUAUUUCAAAUAUAAACUAUUUUUCUGAAGUAUUUUACUUCGCCCGCCUUGUAAUUUUUAUCUUGGUUUUACUUGUAGAUAGAUUAAAAGCAUUUAGUUAAUAUAGUUAAAUAAAAAUUUUUGCUUUAUUUUUUUCUUGAUAUAUCGUUAUAUUAGUAUCCCAUUAAAAAAUUAAAUGAUGCAUAUUAAAUUGUUACUAAAAUCAAUUAGAUUGCAAUUAUCAAUUCAAUAAUAAACAUAAUCAACCAAUGUACAAGUGGAAUACUAAGGGUCUGAUAUAUUAAUUUUGUUUCUAUCAAUAUUUAAUUAAUUGUAAUUUAGUAGUUUGGGUAAUAUAUAUAUUAUCAAAAAUAAACAUAUUAAAUAAAGGUAAGUAGUUUAAGAAAAAUACAUAUAGUUUGACUUUUACCUAGAUUAAAAAAAAUAUAUAUAGUUAAACUAUUUUUUUUAGCUUUUUCCUAAAAUAUCCUUCUAUAAUAUUAAAUGAUAUUUAUAUAAUUAAGAAUAUAAAUGUAUAUUAAGAAAUUAAAUAAUAAAUCAUUUUUUUGAAAAUAUAAAUAAGAUAUUUUGGGAAAAGAAAAAAUGGGAAACAAUACGACAAUUUGAGGCGAAUGGGAGAAAGAAAAAACAGGCAGGACAAAGAAUUACGAAGGGAGGGAGUAAACCUAAGGAACAAAAUAUCCCAACUUGGAUUUAUAAUAAGUAUUCUAUGCAUCUAUGAUUGGAAGUAUAAUAUGCAUCUGUAAUUGGAAGAUCUCAAUACAAGUCAAUUAAAAUAUCAAUGAUUGAGGGAGUGACUGGCGAAGCAACGAGCAACAGAUGGUAAGGCUAUUUGGUAAAAUUAAAUAUUUUGAUAGGAUUAGAAAUAUUUAGCUGUUAGAGUAGACUGUUGUAUUUUAAUAAAUAGAAAUUAUGGAUAGUUGGUGAUGUAACUGAAUAUGUAUUUAUAAAUAUUAAAUUUUAAAAAUUAUUCUCCAAUGCACGAAGAAGAAAUCAAUUCAACGCAAGAAAAAAUUUUGAGCACAAAAAAAUAAGAAGGCAUAAAGAAAAAUAAAAAAAUGAAUAAAUAGGAAAAUAGAAUAAACAACUGAGUCAGACAAUUAUCUAACAGAUUACAUGAAAACAGAGAGCAUGGUAGAUAAUGUCUUUUUUUUUUCUUUUUAAUACAUCAGACUCACAGACUAUACAGAUAAUAACGUUAGAAAAUGUUUUCCUUUUUUUAACGUUCAAUUUUUUAGACGUAGCAAAUAAAUAAACGCAAUCAACAGUUGCAUUAGAGAUACUCUUAACUGUUUGAAUAAUUUUUAUAAAAUAUUAAAAAUUAAACAUUAUAUAAAUUAAUUUUUUAUAAAAUAUUAAUUUAAUCUCUAAAAAUUAAUUUAAAUAUUAUGUACUCCGAUACCCAAAAAAUAAUUUUAAGGUUUUAGAUUCAAAAAACUGUUUUCGACUACCAUUUUAGAUGAUUGACAGGAAGGGAAGCCAUCAAUGGACCCACCAUCCAUCAAUGCGGACUUAUCCAAACAGCCAGCUGCAUGAACCAACUCAUUUAGCAUUUUCACGUGCCAGUUUCUCUUCUUUAAGCAUAGGCACUUAGUGAACUAAAAUAUCAAACCUCUGUCUUUCAUCACCUCUAAUAUUUGGAUUUUCUGCUCCAAAUGUCCCUUUUCAUGCCAACUUGUACAGGUAUCUAUCCGGUCCCCCAAACAAGUGGUAUCUGAAUUUUUUUUUUCUUAUCUAUUAUAUUUAUGAUAAAAUGAGGAUAUUUUUUAUUUAUUUUAAUAUAUAUGUCUCUACGCUCGAAUCAAUAAUAAUAUUUAGAUAAAGUCUUUCUAUCAGUUAUAAUUCUAAGUUUUGAAUAUAAUCUAUUUCUGCUUAUCUAAUUUAACCACCUAUUAAUACAAAUAAAGAUAUUUUUUUAUCAAAUGUAAUUAUAUUCCAACCAUCCCUAUUAAUUUUGGAUUUUGGUGUUAGCCUCCAUCUAAGUAAUUCAUCAAGGGAUAUAAGCAUGGUGUGACAUUUUCAAUAUAUUAUUUAUAGUAUCUGGUAUGAAAUUUAAUAGAAUUAAUGAUUAAGGGUAUAAUAAAUUAUUAAUCACAGAUUUAAUUAGCACAAAUUAUUUUUAAUUGAUUAGGUUAUAGUUAAUUGCUUGGUGAUUUAAAUUAAUUAAACCUACACUUGUUCAUGUUGGGUUCGGGCUAGGUUGGGUCGGGCUAAAAUUUUAAGGUUCUUCUGUCCAGGCCUGGCCCAUACCCGGUUAAGCCUACAGGUAUCCAUCACAAACUUCAACGCUUACGUGUAACAACUAUUAAUUUCAAAACCCUCUAACAAAAUCAAGAAUUGAUUAUUUAUCUAUUACAUUAAUUCCUAUUUAUAUUAUUUUGAACUCGAUCAACUUCAUACAAAUAUUUGCUAAUAAAAUUAUUUUUUUCAAGUUAGUUUUUUUUUAUGAUAAUUUUAUUUAUAGUUAUUUAAAAAUAAUUUUAAAAUUUUAAUUAAUAUUUUUAUUUAUAUAAUACAUUAAAGUAAAAAAAAUAUAUAUUCACAUUAAAUUAAAAAAUAUAUCAUAGACUUUAAUAAGACAAUUAAGGGGUACAUUUAAAAAAAGUGAAGUGCAUGUUUUUAUAUGAGAACAAGCUAUUUCACGGUUGAAUUAAAAUUUGAACGGAGAUAAUUAGUUGAAUGUUAGAUAAAUUAAACUUUAGAUAACAAGCUCUUUUUUUUAUAUAUAUUUAAAAGAUAUUUUAAAUUUUUUAUAAAAAUAUAUAUUUUUCCAUAGAAAUAAAAUAAUGCAACAAUUACAUAACAUUUUGUUAGCCAAUGAAAUUUUUCCAAAUAAAAACCCCUUCUUUUACAAAAUAAUCAUUACCAUUUAUAAAAUAUGGAAAAAUUUACAUGUUAUUUUGUAUUGCUGCUAUUGAAAAAAAAAUUCACAUUUUACAUACACACAUAUAUAAUUUCUACAAAAUAAUGACAAAAGUUUUCUAACCUCUUAACUUUUACAAAUAAUAAAAAAAAUUUUACCUUUUACAAAGAAAACAAACAUAGAAAAAAAAUUUUCCUUUUACCUUUUACCUUUUACUUUCUUAACUAUCGAACGACAAUGUUAUUUCUACGAUUAAGAAUUUUUUUACAAUAUUCUCUACAAUUAAAUCAAACAUAAAAUUAUCGAUAAAAGAGGAAUGUAACUCAUAAACUAGAUGUUGACAAUCUGUGAAUAUAAUUUCCGACCCUUGCAUAUCCAGUUUAUGCACAUUAAUAAUUAAACUUAUAUAAAAACUCAUUUUUCAUAUAUAUUCAAUAUGUAUAUGUAUUAAUUUGAAACUACCUAAACACAAUUUAAAUGUUCGCUAAAAAAACAAUUUAAUAAAUACAAAUAUCAUUAUUUGUAAUUGAAAAUAUUAUUUAUCCCUUUUUUUUAAAUAAUAGAGAAGACAAACUAAAUACACUAUUUCGAAUAUAAGCAAUACUUUUUUUUUUUUUUUUUUUUUUUGGAAAUUUAAAAGCAAUAAUUGUAAUGUCAUGAUUAAGCCAUAGCCAAAAUACAACGAGGAGACUUCUCUAGAUAUGAAAACUCAGAAGAAAAGGAUUCCUUGUUUUUUUAAAAUAAAAUAACGUUAUGUCCAACUAUCAAGUUUGUAUUAACACAAGGUUUCCCAUAAAUAACAUAUAUUAAUUAUUCAUGAUAUAUUGCUUGUAUAUUCAUAGACUUUCUAUUUCUUUAUUUGACUUAUUUGCGACUAGAGAGUACCUUGACCCUUGAAAAAAAAAAAAAGUUGGAUACAUUUUUUUUUUCUACACUACACUAAUAAGUUGUAUGGGUUCAUCAAACUUUUAGGCUUUUAUAUUGUGUAUUUCAAAACUAAAAUUUUAUUAAUAUUCAAAAAUAUUUAAAUGGAAUAAAAACAUGAGCUUUUUUUUUUUUUUUUUUAAAUUUUUCAUUCACUAUUCAACAGCAAAAAACGAAGAAAAAACAUAAAAAAAUGGCAGAAAUAUAGCCUUAAAACAUUUAAAUUUUUUUUUUAUAUUAAAUAUCCAUGUUUUGUGGACACUUAAAUGUGCUCCGAAUAUGGAUGGUACAUACACUCAACCAAUCAAAAAGUAAUUUUUUUUAAAUGUUAAUUUUUUUUCCACAAAAAUUCUCUCAUUUGGACAAAAAAUUGUUUUUGAUUGGUUUGAUAUAUAGGUAGACUCACACAUGGAGUAGGAUAGAAAUGAAUUGGAUAAGAGACAAAAAUCUCAUAAAAAUUGUAAGGUGGGCUUAUUUGAACUUCAGCCAACUAAUGCUAAAAUUUUAGUACUAACUAAUUAGUUAGCUUGUUUCUCUUAUAUGUCCUUUGUGGGAUAUUUAGUCACUAUGAUACAACCGGGAAUCAUGAACUUGCUUUAAUACCAUAUUAGAAGUUAAAAGUGACUUGCUUUAAUACCAUAUUAGAAGUUAAAAGUUGAAAAAACAGAGAUAAGCUUAGUAGGAUUUAGGAGUUUAGAAUCCAUAAAAUUUUGUGAAGUAGGUUUACUUAGAUUUAAACUAACUAAAGUUAAAAGAUUAAUAUUAACCAAUUAGUUAGCUAGCUUGUCACUUUCAUCCGGGAUAUAAAGAAUUGAUAUUUAGUCAAAACAAAUUCUUAAUGGUAGGUAAAUGUUUCUCGCGUCUCAUUAUCUUAUGAGGAACUCUCUAGAUGCCAAAAAAAGACAGGCGUUGCAUAUUUUCUUCAAAGCGAAGCGAGUUUGAACGUGGCAAAUACCAUACCAAGAAAACCAGCCAUCAGGCUGCGGUUGCAACUUGCAACGCUCUCCGUCCCAAAAGAUAGAAUUACAAAGAGAACAAAUAGAAACAGGAUAGUGCUUGGCUUUUCAGUUUUGAGAGGGGACUUACAUCGACAACAAUAUAAUAUAGAGCAUUAACAAGAAGAAUAAGAAAAGCCAUCUUGACCAAACUUCAAGAAAUUGCACUGGCCUUUGGAAUUGUAAGAGGAAAUCUCUAAUUAAAUGCCAAAAUGCCAUUAUUGAGACCACUAACAGGAAAGUAUGUAGUAAUUUUGAAAUUGCAUGCAUGGGGAAUGGCCUUGUGAAGGAAAUUCAAAAUUUCUUGAUGCUAAUAAAAAAUCACGUACGAUGGAUUGUGGACCUCAGAUGUUGGACACAAAUUAAGUCUGCUGCAAAACAAUGCUUCCCGACAUAUAUUCUGAAAAAAUUCUAGUCUCUUGACCUACUUUGAGGAGUAGCGUUUCUUCAAAGACUCCAUGCCCAGACAGUAGAUACACUUUUGAGUUUCACAAACAGAGUUGGAAAUUAUUAAGGGUGAAAUUUGUAUAUACUGUUUCAUGGUUUUUUUUACCACAUGGCAAAUCAGUGAAGGAAUAAACUCAAGUUUCAUUGGGCAAUUUAUCGGAACCAAAAUAGUGUUGAAAGAAAAUAUUUACGAUUAUGGUAUUAUCUUGACUUUUUAAAUUCAUUUGUUACACAAUGUAUUAUUAUACUAUGACUACAAUUUAUUUAAAUUUUUUAAUAUUGGAACCAGUUUUUUCUCAACACACUCUCUCUUACGUUUAUAAUAUAACAAUACUAUUACACAUUUUAAAGACAUCGACACAGACUUUAAGAGUAAAGAUACAUGUUUGAUAAAAAUUGACAUUGUUACACUCACAGUGUAACAAUUUAUGCAUGUUUUCUAUUUUUCAAUGUCUAUUUUUAUACAUUGUUAAACAAUAUUAAGGAAAUAUUAUUUCCUUAUGAUAGAUUGUUACACUUUGAGUGCAAUAAUAGCAUGAAAAAUAGUUUGGUAUGUGAAUCUCAAUAAAUUUGAAUGUAUUAAUCUCAAUAAAACUAUUUAUAGAUUUCUUAUACUCACAAUGUAACAAUCUCAAAAAAAUAGUUUGAAGAAUCUUCUUUGUCCUUAAAGUAUGUGUACUUACAUUGUUAUAUUAUAAGUGUAGUGGUUGCAAAACUUCUUGCAUCCCGAUUGAAAAAUGCUAUGGCGUCAAUUAUUGGAGAAACAUAAUCAACUUUUGUAAUGAAAUAGUUCAUGAAUUGAAGCAGAAAAGGGCUAAAUUAGGUUUAUUAUUCAAAUCAGAUUUCAAAAAAGCAAAUGAUUCAGUCAACCAGAAUUUCCUUCUGGACAUGACGCAUAAGAUGCGUUUUGAGCAGAGAUGGAGGAAAUGGAUAGUUUGAGUGCCUCUUAGUUCCAGGCUUUCUGUCCUAAUCAAUAGUUAAAAAUAGAGGAUUUUAAAUGACAUAGACUUGAAACAACGAGACCCAAUUUCUCAUUCUCCUUUUCUAAUCGUUGUUGAAGGCCUUAAUCUUUUGAUUUGAAAUUUUGUCUUACAAGGUUCUAUUUCUUUUCAUGUCUUACAAACUUGUAAUGAUUUGUGUUGUUUCCAAAUAUGACCCCAAUUGAUAGAUUUAGAAAAUCUUAUAGGAGAAUUUAGGAACGAAAUGAGUAGUGAAAUGAGUUAUUAGAUUUGAAAAAAUUAGUUCAUGUUCCAUUACCGACACAUCAAUUAUAGAUUCAGAAAAUUGAUUCGUAACACCCUUGCAUGUAUAAAUCUGCAUGACAUAGAUGAAGAAAUGAUGAUAAAUAAUUAUAAUUGGAUGAGAGAGUAAUUAUAAUUAAAUGAAAUAUAUUAAUCUUUUGUACCUAAGUAUGGAGUUUGAUCCCUUUAUAUAGAAUGAGAAAGACUAUUCAUUAGAGCUACAGUUAUAAUCCUUGUUAAAUACAUACAGAUUUGGAAUACUGAAUGAAUGCGUAUUUUUGGAGUGAUUGACAGUUCAUUAAGUGUCCUAUAAAGAAAUUUAAAAGAUUCUACAUAUAAAAGUAUUGGCUUGUUUAACAUGUCAGCGGAAGUAUAUUAGGAAUAAGAUUCUCUUAAUCUAAUGCAAAUAUAUUUUUUGUCCAUAAAAUAUAAUUAGAUCCUGAUUAACUUACUAUUAAAAUUCCAUCACUUACCAAGAUUAGAAAAAGAGGAAGAAAAAGGUCUCAAGCUUAUAUUCCAAAUGAUGCUGCUACAAGCAAAUUAGAAAAGAAAGGGAAAAAGAAAAGAGAAAAAGAAGAAGACACUCAUUUGGUUAUAACACAGUCAUAGAGUGAAAUCAAGGCGAAGGUGCUUGAGAAUAACUGGGAUUACAAUAUCAGGCGCGCUCAAGUGUGGCAAGUGACCGCUGGUAGGCAUGACCUCGACGAUUGAUGGGUCGCCGAGAUGUUGAUUCAGAUAUUCAGACACCGCCGCUGGCACAGCCAUAUCCAUUUCACUCUGCAAUAUAUGGCAAGGGAGAGUGACCAUAGGUAGAAUAUGUCUCAAUUCUGUUAGAAAUUUAAGAUGGACUAAACUAAAAGCUAUAUCAGGUCUCAUGUUGAAUAGAGUUUGAGAGAAUUCUUGCACAGCUACCGAGUCCAUGUCGCCACCUAGUACCAUUGGUGCAAACCCUGAACACCAUGCUUUGUAGUUGGAACGCAGUCCUUCAAAUCCUCCAUUAUAAUUCUUGUCAUUCAAUAACCUAGUUUGAAACACCAAAUAAAAAGUUUCUAUUACACAUAUUAUAUAUGAUUUUGAUCAGUAUAACAGCAACUAGCAAAGUUUACCUUGGAGUAGCAGAGAGCAUAAUGAUUUUAGAGAAGAGAUCUGGGCGAGCAAUGGAGGCAUAAGCACCUGCCAGACUCAAAACAGAAUGACCAACAAAAAUACAAGACUUAACCUGUCAUUCAUCUAAUAUGGCCAGCAAAUCAAAGGCAAACCUUCAAUACUGGAGUAUCUUUCAAAGUCAAAAUAAUCAGGAUUAGUAGUACCAGUACCCAUAUUAUCAUAUAAAAUAACACGAUAGUAGUCUUCAAGAAGGUAAGGAACCAAGUAUUUCCAGACAGAUUGAUCACUGCCAAAGCCAUGAGAAAGGAUAACAAGUUGCUCCCCUUUCCGCACAACCUUUACAUUAUGUGCUUCUACAAUUCCCAUUUUUUGGUUUAACACUCUAAUUGUUAGUGAAAAGUUAGUAUUUAUAUUGGUUUCAGGUGCAUGGGUGCAUAGAUAAACAUGAAGCAACUAGGGCUACGUAUUACAUUCCAGAAUCACACGUGGAGCGAAGAGGUAUGUUGGGAAGAUCUAAUCAACUAGGGCUACCACUAGCAGUGUUCUUGUUGCAUUGUGUUUGAGUUGUGUUAUAUGUAUAUGCGGUAUUUAAUAUAGUAUUUGCAUUGGCUGUGUCCAAAGUGAAGAGACAAGUUGGUAUUUCAAGCGGCUAAGAUGGCAUUUUCCGCAUGUAAUAAAAAUACGUGUGAAGCUAGUAAUUACUUCUCUUUUGUUUCGUCGUUGGCAUACUGGUCAAGAGUGGUCGGGUCAAUGUCCUUUGUGCUCUGCAGCUUUGCUAGGUGUCGCUGCAUACAUUUUUUAUUUGCAAGCUAGCUUUACUUGCAAUUGAAGGAUAUUUCAAACCUGAAGUCUCUAUUAUUGAAAAGUGUUUACCAUAAUUUUACAUUCAGUCUGACGUAGAAAUAUGUAUGUAAAAAAGAAAGUAUCUAUUUUAUAUUUUACUAAAUUUAUAUAUGAAACUGGCCUUUCUGACCAUUAUAUGUCUCACUCCAUUUAGUACAACCUAUACAUAUAUUUAAUAAAACAUCAUCUACUCAAUUACAAAGAUAUAAUUAAUAAAAUGUUUAGCGGUCUAAUUGUUUAUUCGGUAAAAUUAACUAUUUUGAUAGUUGUUGUUUUAGUAGCUAGUAACUGUUUAAAUAGCUUUUUAUAAAAGACUAAAAAGCUAAAUGUUAGAUGAGUUAAUUUUUUAUAAAACGCUACCUUUAACUUCUAAAAGUCAAUUCAAAUGCAAUGUUAAAACUACGUAAAAUAGCAAAACUACUUAAAGAGCUUUUUGCCGAGCAUUCCCUAAACAUCAAUUACAUUUUUGCUAUCCAAUUAUAUUUUAAUUUUAUACUUCUAACGAACAAAAUACACUUAUUGUGUAUGUUAUUGAGUUAUAUCAAGGCGAAGGUGCUUGACAAUUACUGCAACUACAACCUCCGGCGAACUCAAUUGCGGCAAGUGACCGUUGGUAGGCAUGAGCUCAACGAUUGAUGGGCCGCCGAGAGUUUGAUGUAGAUAUUCAGACACCUCCACCGGUACAACCUUGUCCAUUUUACCUUGCAGAAUAUGACAAGGGACCUUAACCAUAGUUAAAAGAUGUCUAAUGUCUGAAGAAAAUUUAACAUGAGCUAAACUUAGGCUUAUGUCAGGUCUCAUAUUGAAUAGAGUUCGACAGAAUUCUUGUACAUGUACAGAGUCCAUGUCGCCACCGACCACCAUUGGCGCGAAUCCUGAACACCAUGCUUUAUAAUUAGAACUCAUUGCUUCGAACAUUUGGUUCAUCUCUUCUUGCUCAAAUCCUCCGUUAUAAUUCUUGUCAUUCAAUAAUCUAGUUUAAAACAAACAAAAAGUUAUUAUUUCUGCAAAGAUACAUAAAAAAGAUGGAAAAUGUUUCUUGUAGAUGUUUAUAUUAACAAUGUUGUAAAUGGAAAUAUGAAAAUGGAAAAUUUUCGUACGUUUUUUUGGGUACACUAUCAGUAUUGAUUUCAUUUCAUUUUACACUACUUAUAUUUUAAAAGUGAAAAAAAUCCUAAUUGUAUUGAUUUUUUAUAUUGAUAAUAUAGUUAAAUCAUUAUAUAUGUAAUAAAAAAAAUAAACAAAUAAUUUCUAAUUAUUUUUUUAUCAGCAAAACUUAUAUUUUUUUUAAUUAAUAAUUUUAGGAAAACAAACUUAACAAAUCUUAGCAGCUAAAACCAAACCAACAGAGCUCCCAAUACACCCAACCUAGCCAAAUAGAGCUUCCAAUACACCCAACUUAGCUAAAAAAUGUUUAAGUUAAAAAUUCUAGCUAGACUGAAAUACAUGAAAUUGAAAGGAAUUAAACUGAUAGAAAGAAAAAUUCUUGAAUUAAAAAACUUAAGCUUUCCUAUCAAAUUAGAAAACCAGCUAACAUGAUUGUUCCAAGAAACAGAUAAGCAAAGAGAACCAACUGUCCUUAAACUAUUUUAACUGCUCAUGUAUCAAAUAUAAUAUUUCUAAAUCUAUAAAUGUAAAAUCCACUAAAUAUGAAUAUAAUUUGAUAUUUAAAGGACAUUUAAAUUUAAAUUUUUAUUAUUAAUUUUUUAAAAAAGAAUGAAAGAACUUUUUAUUUGCAGCUCCAUCCUUAUUAGCGAUUGAGGUGUUAUUGCUACAAAAUAUUGAAAUUGGAAAAACUGACAAAAAAAAGUCAAAGACCGUGUUCAACAACUGUUUUUUUAGUAGUUUUUUGCGUUUUGACUAAAUGCUAUAUUUUAUAAUAUUCGGUGACAUAUCGUUUAAAUUAAUUUUAAAAGUUAAGGUAGCUUUUUAUAAAAGAUUAAAGGUCUUUUCGACAAAAUUAGUUAUUUUAGUAGCUGUUAGCUGUUUAAAUAGCUUUUUAUAAAACACCAAAAAACUAAAUGGAAAUGUUACAUAGGUUAACUUUUUUAUAAAACGGUAUCUUAACCUUUAUAAACUAAUUCAAACGCUAUAUUAUCCAACACUAUAAAGAAUAGUGUUCAAUGGUUUGACCAGUCAAAACACUAAAAACUACUUGAAAAGCUAUUACUCAACAUAGCAUAACCCUUGCAAAAUUGGAAGUAUUUUAAUACACUAUGCUUAUAUAUAUAUAUAUAUAUAUAUAUAUAUAUAUAUAUAUAUAUAUAUAUAUAUAUAUAUAUAUAUAUAUAUAUAUAUAUAUAUAUAUAUAUAUAUAUAUCAAACCUUUAACUUGAACAUUUGUUAAACUGAAACAUAGGUCAUGGGUAAAAAGAAAAUAAAAAUUCUAUAAUAAAACUAUAUAAAAGUAGAUAUUUUACCUAGGAGUAGGCGAGAGCAUGAUGAGUUUAGAGAAGAGAUCUGGGUGAGAAAUGGACGCAAUGACGCCUACCAUGCUAAAAAAUGAGUGAGAAACAAAAAUACAAGAUCUAAUCUUUAGUUCAUCCAAUAUGGCAAGCAAAUCAUAAACAAAACCUUCGAUACUGGAAUAUCUUUCGAAGUCAAAAUAAUCAGGAUUAGUAGUACCAGAACCCAUAUUAUCAUAUAAAAUUACUCGAUAAUCUUCAACAAGGUGAGGCACUAAAUAUUUCCAGAUAGAUUGAUCAGUUCCACAACAGUGACUUAGGACAACAACUUGCUCUCCUUUCCCCACAAUCCUUACAUUAUGUGCUUCUAUAAUUCCCAUUUUUGGUUCAAUACUCUAGUUGUAAGAAUUUAAUAUUUAUAUUGGUUUCAGGUGGAUGGAUAAACAUGAAGCAAACUGCAGCUACGUAUUACAUUUCAGAAUCACACGUGGAGCCGAGAGGUACGUUGGGAAGAAACGCAAGUCAUCAGUUUCGGAUCUAAUCUAUAUGUAUAUGCAAUGCAAACCAGGUUGAUAAGCAAUGUUGUUGUUGCAUGGAUUAUACUCCCUUCUCAUUUAAAUAUGAAUCGUUUUAAAAUGGUUUUUUUUUUUUUAAUUAAAAUGAUUGUUUUGUUUAAAAAUAUACGUCACUUUGAGCAUUUUAAAUAGUGACUCGUGAUCUUUUUCCUAUUUUAUCAUUAUUAUUAUAUAAUUAUUUUCAUAAAUUAAUUUUUAUUUGAGAUAAAGAGUAAUUUGGUCAAAUUAUCUUUAAUUUUGUUAUAAUUUAAAAAAAAUUAGUUUUUUCUUUAUCUCCCGUGCAAAAACCUCAAACGAUUUAUAUUUUAUGAGCUAGUGAAUAUUUAUCUAAAUUAGCUCAAAUCAAUAUUAAAAUUUUUUUAGAAAUACAUAAUAAAAAUUUACUUUUAUAUUAAUUUGAUCUAUGAUAGGUCCACUCUAAAUAAAUCAAUCCAUUGCCUCAUUGUUUUUGAUAUAUAUAUAUAGGUAUUUAAUAGAGUAUUUGCAUUUGCUUUGUCCGUAGUGCAGAGACGAGUUGGUACGGCUAAGAUGGCAGUUUCUGCAUGUAAUAAAAAUACGUGUCCGGUAAUUACAAAAUGUGGCUCAGUUGUCAAUGCAAGUUGGGUAUGUGAGAAAAACUCUCUCAAAUUCUAUUUUUACUGAACGUAUCUGCAAAGAAAAAUAAAAAAUUAACUGUGAUUAAAUCUCGAGCCGAAUUUAAUAAGUCUCUAAUCCGGAUGCUAGUUAUUAAAAAAAAAAAAAACGUGUGCGGUGCUAAUUAUUUCACUUUUGUUUCGUCGUAGGUAUACUGGUCAAGCGUGGUCGCGGUCAGGGUGCUCUGCAGCUCUGCAGGUGUCCUUUGGACGCACGCUUUUUUUUUUUUUUUUUUUUUUUUUUUUUUUUUUUUUUGCGUCGUUAACAUUCCCAAACCCACUGGUUGAGAAGCAAAGCACACUUUAAUAUUGUUUUAGUGUAUGUAGUUUAGAGUGCAUGCUUUAGAAGUUAGCUAUAAUUUUGAUAAUCACGAAUAAUUAUAUUUAUUUUUAUCAGAAAUUAUGAAUUUAAAAUUAUGAAUUUAAAAAGUGUAUAAUAAAAUUUAUAUCAAUAGUUUGCAUAAUUUAUAAAUAUAAAUAAAAAAAAAUUAAUAUCCUUCGAUUCUAUAUAAAUAAACUUCCCAUUUUGAAUAUUCCAUUUAAAUUAAUAAAAUUAUUCAAUUUAGACUAUAGCUAAAGUGUAAAGUUUAAAUUGUUUUGUUAAUAGCAUUAAAUUUUUAGAAAAAUAAGAAAGUGAAUGGAGACGAACUUACUUAGCUUAUUUGAGCUUCACCAACCAAUAUUAGAUGAUUAGCUUUAACCAAUUAGUUAGCUUAUAUAUUCUUUGAAGAUCUGAUAUUCAGUGAAAUAAGGAUUAUUAAUGGUAGUUAAAACGUUCCCUCAUCUCAUUAUCUUACGAGGAACUCUCUAGAAGCCAAAAAACGACAGGCAUCGCAUAUUUCUUCUAAGCGAAGCGAGUUUGAAUGUGGCAAUACCGAGAAAUUCAGCCAGCAGGCUGCGCGCUGUUGCAACUUCCAAUGCUUUUCGUCCCACAAAAUAGAUUUACAAAGAGAAUAAAUACAAAAUGAAUAGUGCUUGGCUUUUCAGUUUUGAGAGGGGACUUACAAGUUACAACGACAGCAAUAUAAUAUAGCAUUAAAAAGAAGAAUGAAAAAAGUCAUCUUGACCAAGCUUCAAGAACUUGCAUCUGAAGGCAAAAUGCCAAAAUGCCAUCGCUGAAUUGUACGAGGAAAUCUCUAAAUGCCAAAAUGCUAUCGCUGAAUUGAACCUGAAGGCAGAGAUAAGUUUCCUAUCAGAUUGUUAAAUCGCUGACAUGAAACUAUUAAUUCUGAAAUUGUAUGCUGAUAAAAAUUAAUCCAAUGGCUUUGUGAAGGUUGAUAAAAGAUUUCUUGAUGCUGAUAAAAAUUCACAUAUGAGGCCUAAAGGUUGAUGGGUUAUAGAUCUCAGAUUAAGUCUGCUGCAAAACAAUGUUUCUCAGACAUAUAUUCUGAAAAUUCUAGUCCUUGACCUACUUUGAGGAGUACUAAAUCAAAGCUGCUGUAUGGAGCUGCGUUUCUCAAAAGGAUCUAUGCCCAGACAGCAGGUAUACUUUUGAGUUUCACAAACAGAGUUGGAAACUUUAAGGGUGAUCUUUGUAUAUACUGUGUCUGAUUUUUCCCACUGCCAAAUCAGCAAAGGAAUAAACUCAAGUUAUAUUGGGCAAUUUCUCAUAAUCAAAACAGUGUUGAAAGUGUUAUCUUGACUUUUUAAAUGCAUUUGUUAUCCGAUGUAUUGUUAUACUAUCAAUAUCAUUGAUUUAAAUUCUUUUUAAAUCUAGAAAUAGUUUUUUCUUGACACACUCUCUCUACGCACAUUUUAAGAACACAAAUAACGAUGUAUCGUUAUACUAUCACUAUCAUUGAUUUAAAUUCUUUUUAAAUCUAGAAAUAGUUUUUUCUUAACACACUCUCUCAACACACAUUUUAAGGACACAAAUACCAACUUUAAGUACAAAGACACGCGUUUCACAUAAAUUGAUACUCUUACAUUUGGUUUAAUGCAUUAUAUGAGUUUGAACUUUGUAUGGUAUUGUGAUAUGACUCUAUUUUAACUUUUAUGUUAAUUUUACCCUGAACUUUAAUGUUAUGUUGUAAUAGCACUCUAAAUUGCAUUUAAUAUUUAAUUUGCAAAUAAAAGCACAUUAAUGUGGAGCCUACUCUUAACCUUGACUUAACUUAAUUCAAGCUUCUUUACGCACACAAAUUUAUCAAGUUUAAUUGUUGUCUUGAAUAAAUAUUUUUUUUUUCUUUCUACAAGCUAAAUUAUAAUUGAUUAUGAUAUCUUAUACUUUAUUUUUAACAAGAAAAUUAUUAAAAUUUCCAAUAGUCAAAUAAUCUUAUAGUAGUUCAAUUUUUUUCAAGCUUUGUUUUUUAAAUUUUAUAAUAUUUCAAAAUUUACAUUAAAAGCCAAACGAUAAUAAUAAUAAUAAUAAUAAUAAUAAUAAUAAAUUUUUUAUUUACAAAGUACUCUAAAUUUUUAAAAAUAAUAUCCAUAUAUCAAAUAAUGCAUUUCUAUUUAUUACUUAUUAUAAAUUAAAGAAAUAAUUUAAAAAAUAUUAAAAAUAAUAAUAGAGAUUUUCCUUACUAUUAACUCAUUCUUCUCACUUACACAAAUGUAUUAAGUUAAUCCAAGCCGAGAGUCAUGAGUGAAGCCAUAAUAAUUUAUUUUUUAUUUGUUAUUUAAGUCCUAAUUGUAAUUUAUGGUGCUAUUGCAACAAAAGGUAAAAGUUCAGAAUUGGUGAAAUUGAUAAGAAAUUCAAAUAUUGCAUUAAAUUUGAUUGAAUUAUCAACACAAUAAUAUUAACUCUCUCUUUUCAUUUUCAGUCAAAUUGCAGGCAAUUUUCAAGUUUUUGUGUGUUGUUUAUUAUUGCCCCAUCUGCAUUUAAAUCUUCUAACUGUGCCACAUUUUUAUUAUAUGACUACAUAUUUCUCGUGAUCAUAUCAUCGUGUUUAAGUAAAAUAAAAAAAUUACGUGCAUAUUAUAAUGUAUAUCCCAUUCGUUAAGAAUGGAAAAGUCAUUAUGAAUCCGGUUUCACAUUAUAUAAGAAUUUUUUAACACAAACUCCUCGUCUACAAAAAAAAAAAUGAGCAAGUGUUAUAAAAGUCGAACAUUAAAAAUUUUUUUAACAAAUUUUUCUGAAUACUAUUUUCCAAUGGCAUCGCUUUGCCGUAAACAAAAAAAAAAAAACUGCAGCCAUAAAAUUCCUCCAUUUUUAGAAUUAGAGAUUUCAGUUUCAAAACUCUUGAGUGACCGUGCCUCCCCAAAAUUCAUUUUCUCCACCAUUUCAUUCAAUACAAACCUAACUAUAUAUUUAAUACAAUAUCAGCAAACACAUUUUACCAUCUAAUAUUUCAAUUUAUACUUCUAAAAAACAAAACAGACUUAUUAUGUGUCUUAUUGGGUUAUAUCAAGGUAAAGGUGCCUGAGAAUAACUGGAAUCACAACCUCUAACGAAAUGCGGCAAGUGACCAUCAAUAGGCAUGACCUCAAUGAUUGAUGGACCGCCAAAACUUUGAUGUAGAUGUUCCGACGCCUCCAGUGGUGCAGCAUUUUCCAUUUUACUUUUGUAUUAUAUGAAAAGGGACAUAGACCAUAGGUUAAAUAUGUCUAGAGUCUGAUAAAAAUUUAACAGAGGCUUACAGUGAACAGAGUUCGACAGAAUUCUUGUACACCUACAAAGUUCAUGCCGCCAACUACCACCAUUGGCGUGAACACCCAGCACCAUGCUUUAUGAUUAGAACUCAUUCCUUCGAACAUUUGGUUUAUCUCUUUUUAGUCAAUUCCUCCCUUAUAAUUUUUAUCAUUCAAUGGCCUAGUUUGAAACAACAAAAAGAAAUUAUUUCUGUAAGGGUACACAUAUUAAAACAAAAAAAAAAAAAAAAAAGAGGACGGCAUAUGUUUUCUAUAAAUGUUUAUAUUAACAAACAAUGUUGUAGUAAAUAGAAAUAGUGGAAAUCUACACUUAUUUUUUUAACUAUUUAGCAUCUAAAAACUUACUAGUUGGACUAAUCGGAGUAUGUGCCAGACAAGCUCAUGAAGAAGGUAAAGCACUCCGUCCGAGUGUUUAAAGGAACACCAUAUUUAGAACUUGAACAGAGAAUGAAUUUCUAUCAUCUUAUCUCAUCCAUAGAGGAUUAGUUUUCCACUCUUUUUCGAUAUACUACUAGUAUUAACUUAAUUUUGAGAUUUAUAAAGCGACUUCGAUAAGUGGUUUGUAUAUAUAUUGAACUUUAACUUUACAGAAGUGACUGCCCAAACCGACACUAUUCAAUUUGGUUGGUCUGCUCACAACAAGUUUAGUUGUUGAUUUAUUUCAGUUCAAACUAAAAUUUCAAGGCAGUUUUGUUCGAUAAUGUCGAAUCUAAUCGAUUAAGCUGAACACUGAAUUGACUUUAUCAAAAUUUGAAGAAAUCAACUGAAUUCAUCCGAUUUGAUUCGAUUUUAAAAUAGGAAGUUCAGUUUACCCUUCCUAAUCUCGGUUCAGUUAGGUUUUAAACUGAAAUGGUGGUUUGAUUACCCCUAUAUAUGCUUGUGGACAAUUAAACAAGUAAGGCUAUUCUUUUUUUAUUUCACGAGAAUUUUUCUAUAUUUUCUUAUAUAUCGGACCAAUAUCAUUUCAGAAUUUAUAGUAGUUCAUCCAUAUAAUUAUUUUUUCCAGGGACUGAAUCUUUAAAUAAGUAAAUUAAGAUAUUGAGGGAUGCUAAUCUCAAUAAUUAUAAAUUACAUUAAAGCAUACUAUUAGGAAAAGGGAUUGGAAAGGUCAUGAAACCUCAGCCUUAGCCACUAAGGGUUCAUUGGACAUUCUCGACCUGGUUCAAAACUUGUUCCUGACGAUGACACAUGCUCAUAACUAAAAACUAGUAAGCAAAAUUAAAAUCUUAAAAAGAAGAUAUAUACCUGUUUUACGAGACUAGUUGUAUGUAUGCAGAAGCUUUUGAGAAAGUAUUUUAAAUUUUUGUCGUAGGAGCAUGCACGUUGGCAUUUCGCAGGCGGUAGGGGCAACGCAAAAGAGUUGUGUUUGCCGCAACCAUAAAAUGGCAUUUCACAUCAUAAACGGCUUUUGCUAUCAUAUCGUUUUACGUACAAAAAAAAAAAAAAAAAACUAUUUUGGUCCAUUACACACUAUUACUUAUACAUUAUUAAAACUAUUAUCUUCCUUCCAUAAUAUUUGUCAUAUUUUUUAGAAAAUAAUUUAUUCCAAAAUAUUUAUUACAUUUGUGAUUUGAAAAAAUGAUAAAUAUUUUUUUUACACGUUUACUCUUUAUAAAUAACCAAUAAUUAUUAUUUCAAUUUAAUAGUUUUCUUAAAAAACAUGAAAUACCAAAUAUGAUAAGUAUUAUUGGAACAAAAAUAUCAGAAUUUAUUAUAUAUAUAUAUAUAUAUAUAUAAUUUACGAUAUCUAUUGUUAUGUUGUAAAUACAAUGUAAUUACCAUUAAACUAUGUUUUUGUGUGCAAUUUGACCACAAACUUAAUUAUAAAAAUUAGUAAAUUAAAUUAUAUUAUUAUCGAGAACUACUGAAAAAUAAAAUAAUUUUACGAAAUACAGCCUAAAAAUAACUCCACGAUGAUAUUAUUCAUUAGCUUCAUCUUCUCCACGAUCAUAUAAUUUUUAUAUUUAUAAUUCUGUUUGCAAUGCAUCUGUUUUCCCAAAUUAAGAUUUUUCAGUAAUUUAAUUCUCUCCUCGAUAACCUCAUACAUUAUUUGAAUUUGAAACAAUUAAGCACUCGAAGAUCACUAUAGACUGUAUGAGGAGUGCUAGUUGCAGCGGCUCUUUAGAGUAACUGUUUAACUCUUUGGAAAAAGCCAUUCACACCACACAUCAACCCGAAACAUUUGGCAUUUUUGAUAUUGAAGCAGUAUGUUUGAUAUUGAAGUUAAAAAAAGAAGAAGCAAUGCAACAAUUUUUAAACCAACAUCACUUGUUAAUCAGAUAACGUAGCUAAUGUGCUUGACAAUGACCGGAAUUACAAUAUCCGGCGAGCUCAGUUGCGGCAAGUGACCACAGGUAGAUAUCAAUUCAACAAUAGAUGGGCCACCGAAAUUUUGAUGCAGAUAUUCAGAUACCGCUAUUGGCACUGCCAUGUCUUUCGUACUUUGCAGAAUAUGACAUGGGACAGUGACAGAAGGCAAAACAUGUCUCAUAUCUGUCAAGAAUAUAACUUGGGCUAAACUCAAAGCUAUAUCGGGUCUCAUGUUGAAUAGAGUUCUUGAAAAUUCUUGCACGGCCACAGAUUCCAUGUCGCCACCUACCACCAUUGGUGCAAAUCCUGAACACCAUGCUUUGUAAUUGGACUUCACUCCUUCAAAGAUUUGUUCUAUGUCUUCUUGCUCAAACCCUCCGUAGUAAUCCUCAUCAUUCAGUAGCCUAAUUUUAAUCAACAAAAUUGAAAGUUAAAUGACCAGAUUAUUAGAAUGAUAAUAAAAAAUCGCAUCAUAUAUACAAUUAAGUUAACGAAAGAUCAUACCUUGGAGUGGCGGAGAGGAGGAUGAGUUUAGAGAAAAGAUCAGGGCGAGAAACAGAGGCAAUGGCGCCAACCAUACCAGAAAAGGAGUGGCCAACAAAAAUACAUGAUUUGAUUUGUAAUUCUUCUAAUAUAGCAAGCAAAUCAUAAACGAAACCUUCAAUAAUUGAGUAUCUUUCAAAAUCAAAAUAGUCGGGAUUAGUAGUACCAGCACCCAUAUUAUCGUAUAAAACCACUACAUAAUCAUCAAGAAGAUGUGGCACUAAGAACUUCCAGACAGAUUGAUCGGUGCCAAAGCCAUGAGCUAGGACUAUAACUUCCUCGCCUGAACCAAGCACCUUGACGUUAUGUGCUUCUUCCACUAUUCCCAUAUUUCCUUACCUUGGUGCUCGUGUAUGUGUAGCGUAUGGGUUUUGGAGUUAUCCAUUUAAAGAUUAACGUCGGGGGACUUCGUUCAAGAAUCACGAGAUAGAUACCGCAUUUCCAUAUUAAAGAGUAAAGUCGAGUCAAAGUUGCAUUGGAUUUCGUCAAUAUAUAGCAAUAAGGCCCUGUUUGGUUUACUAUAGUUUGCCCCAUAUUUUAGGAAUAAGGGACAACGGGUCAAAUGUGUAUUUAUAUCCGCAUACUUAACGGGGAAAACUUUCUUUACGUCUCAAAUUUAAAUUUUACAUUUUACGGGUGACCUAUUACGACCCAGUUACAAACUUUGCUAAUAUUGUAUCCAUUUAUACUAGCGAUAACAUUUUUUUAGUGUUUUGACAUUUACGUGCAAAAUAUUCACUUAACGUAUAGUUAAUAUAAUCUUUGAAAUAAUAAUUUUUACAUUUUUCAACUAUUUAAUAAAUGUUUAAUUAACCUAAUUUUAGAAAUUUAAGUGUCCAAUAAAAUAAUUUUUACAAAUUGAAGUAAUUAAUUAGUAUAAUUUUAUAAAUUAAAAUGUUUAUUAAAUUAAAGUAAAAAAAUUGAAGGUGUCACAAUAUUUUUACGUAAACUAAAUGGAUAAAUUUAUGCAUUGAAUCGGACACAAUGGUAUAUUAUUUUAAAUUGAAAUAAAUGAAAUCAUACAGAUUUUAUAUGAGAUGAACUCUUUUCAAUUGGCAACAACUUUUUUUACAGCAUCACUGAAAAAGCUGUGUAGUUUGGAGUUUGAGAGCAAAUUAUCAAAAAGUUACUCUGUUUCACAACUAAGUCAAUGUUUUUGGAUCUUUUGGUUCAUUUAAUACACAUAUUAUACAUACAGGUAUACAGGUGCAUGUACAUGCGUGUAUGUGCCUAUUCAGGUUGAGAGGAUCUAGAGAGAGAAAAUGCCGCUUUAGCAUAUAACAUUUCACAAUUUUUUCAAUUCAAGUGCGAUCAGUCUUAAAAAUUUCCUAUAUAUAUAUAUUUACUGUAUAUAUAUAUAUAUAUGAUAAACAAAGAGCCAAAAAAUAGUUUACAAUGACUCUUCAAAACAAAACUGAGAAGUAAGCAACAACUUCAAUCUAGCUUCUAUUGUAAGCAAUCUAUCUAGUAUCUAUAUACAAACCCCUUGUAUGGUUAUUACUUCAAGCCAAUCCUGCUCUUCAAAGAGAGGUAUUAUAUAUGCAUUCGUAAUUUAUUAUCUCUAUUCACAAGAUAGCAGCACACAUAACAAUUACCUGCAGUCUUGUGCAGAGAAAAGCGGAUGCUAACAUUGCACUUCAUCAGCAUCUAGCGAGAAGAUAUCGACAGGGGUUCUUGUGCAGUCGACAGCAUUUUGAUCUUUGAAUCUACAAUUGGAAGAACCUAUCGGAUGAUCUAGGUAUAUUACAAUGACUGUAAUAUCAUCAUGGAAAUGACGCCUCACUCCUUUUUCAACUUUUCUUAUGUCGUCGUAUCUCAUUUCCCUUUUCCUUGCAGCUUCCUGCAGGGCUGCCCUCACUAAUCGCCUUGCAACUCCCUACAAAAGCAAAUACUUGUUCAUUUCUUGUCUGAAACGGCAAAUUAUCAGUUUGUUAUGGAAAUAAAUUAUGAUGAUCGAGUUCUUACAGCUCGAGGACUCUUCAAAACUAUAUCUACAGCUGUUUCAUCAGUCAAUUGCUCCCAAAGACCAUCUGAAGCAAAUAUCAAGAAUAGGUCUUGCGGCCUUAAAGGACGAACCAAUAUUGAAGGUUCUGCUGUUACCACUGGCCUUUUUAAUGGAAAAGGCAAUCCAAAUUGCUGAAAAAGAGCACCUCUAUUGAACUCCGGUUUCUUUAGAUAGACAUCUCCUAUUGAUCUUGAAACCUACAAGAAUAAGAAAAUUUCAAAAAUAAAUUCCAAGCAUCACAUGCUUUAGAUUACGACCACAAAAGUAGUGAAGUCAUAGACUUUAGGCAACAAGAAUAAGAGCAUUUUGGCAGUUCUGAAUUUAUUUUAGAUAACAGAUACCAGGUGACUAGUAAAUGUUCGUAGAAAGUUACAGAAGCAGAAAUCUCCAGUCAUGUAGAUAACAUACACAAGUUGCGGUCUACAAGUAUCCUGUUUACUUAUGUCUAUCUGUUGCAAAACAGAACUUCUUAUGUCAUAGCAGAAUGAGUGCCGAUAAAGGAUUAAGCUUUCUAAUACUAAAUUUUAGUUUCUUGAAGUUUCUAAAGCAAAAUAAAUUCCAAAGAAAAACAAAUCAUAAUGUUGCAGGAGUGGAAACUGAAGAAAGGAUCAAGAAUAGCAAAGCUGCAAAUGGACAGAGCAAAAAUAAAGUUAAAAUCUCCGGUGGUUCAAGAACUCAAUAUUUCUGUGUAAUUUUCUCAGUUAUGUACCUUGCUUCUAAAUGCGAACUUGAGAGAUUAAAAGAGUACAAUUGAGAAAAGAAGAAAAAGCAGAGGAGAGAGCAAGGAUUGGACGAAUAUUAGCCAGACAACAAACACAUACUGAAUUGCUGAAAAAAGAAGGUAAUACUCAUUAAAUAUUGAACACUAAUAUACAGUCACAGAAGUAAAAGAAGCAACAAAACAAUAACAGUAUAAAUAUUACCUGAAUUAUGCCCUUUAUACGCCAAACUCCACGGGUAUAAACCACAAUGUGGGAAUCAUCAGGAUGAAGUGCAGCCACCUCAUUCCUCACCUCCUCAACACAAACGUUGUGAUCGGUAGAUAAACGUUCGGCCACCACUGAACUAGUCUUGCCUUGAGAUACUCUCUUGCCAAGCACUGCUCUUGAGUCUCCAAGAUUUGCCACAUAUAAAACGCCAUUAGAUAUUGCCCCAACAAGACAACAAGAACCUACUGAAGCAAUCUGUGGCUGAACUGUCCAUGAUUGCUUUACCAAAUGCAAGAAUUCCUCUUCUAUUGCAUCAAAUGCCUUCCUUAUCACUUCCGCUGAUGCUCCACCCUGCUCUGCUGCAAGGUCUGAUACCGAAAGCCAUCCAUCAUGUUAGACAGGAAAAAAGAAGUGCCCCAGAAUUUCUCAGUAAUUAUACAAAACAUGCCAAUGCUAUAUUACUAAACCUAGUUUUACAUUUUACUCUAUUUCUUUUAUUUUCCUACACUUCCUCAGCUAGCAAAUAUUCCUAUUCAAAAACUUCGCCAGUUAAUUACUGAGCUAAGCUUAAAAAAAGAGAUUAAAACAAACUAGAAGUUUUUCGUUAAUUAAUGAUCUUGAAUUCGCUAAAUUUAAUUCAACAGUCAAAACAAUCUGAAGAAAAACAGAACAAUAAACCCAAGAUCACAAAACCCCCCGUUCUUUUCUUUCUUUUUUUUUCCCCAUUUUCCCAUCAACCAAACAAACUUCUUAAAAAAUGAUUAAAAAAACUCACCGUGUAUAAAAGGGAACAAAUUGUCAGCGAUGAACCUGGAAGCCUCAGGACCACCAUGGCCGUCAUAUACACCAACAUAAGUGGCAGAAGGAGAAGUAAAGACUUGUCCUUGGUCUUCCAACGAAGAAUUAGCUUGUACAACAGCAAUCGAGUAAUCCCCUAGAGCAUAAGGCUUUAAGUCUAUAUGCCAUAGCCCACCCCCACCAUCUCCACCUCCAAAACACCUCUCUAGAGGCCUUGUAAACAUUUCCAACACCAUACCCACUAACUAAAACUUGCCAAAAGAAAAACAAGAAAAAGAAAGAGAAAAUCUUUUGGGUUGUGGGUUUGAUGGAGUUUAGUGAAAAAGAAAGAGAAAUGGCGAGACGAUUUUCUUGGAAAAGAAAAGUUUGGGAGUUAGGGGGCAGUUGGGUGGAGGUUUGGACUCGUUCAAAGUAAACGUUUAAGAAGAAAGUGGGUAAAUUAAAAAUUUAAAGAGAAUAAUUUUCUUUUGGAGUUGACGCAGACGGAGAAAAAUUAAAAUUUUAUAGAUUGCUUCAUCAGAUGAUUAGAAUCCAAAAUCCUUGACGUGAAAAAAAUAUUAAGACAGAAAGAAAAUAAUAAAAAAAUUUUAAUUAUUUUUUAUUUAUUAUUUUUCUUCAUAUUUUCCUUCUAUCCAAAUAUAGGAUACGUGUUUGUUUGUUCUUUUUUUCCAAUGGGUUUGGGCAGGAGAAGUAGGAGACACUUUGACCGUCGUUUGUUAGGCUUGUUUUGUCAUUUGAGUAUCAGAGGGGAAAGAGACUCCCCAAUUUCUGUAUAUACACUUAUAUUAUAUCUUGAUAAAUUUUAUUAGGUUUGUUUUUGUUUGGCAUGUAUAGCAGACACCUUUUUCUCUUAUUUUUCGUUUUAAUUAAAUUUUAGUCAGAUAAUCAUAAUUAAAGCCCAUUAUUUCACCUGUUUAAGUUUUAGUAAUAUAUUUUUUAUUAAAAAGUUAUGGAUUUUUUUAGUAGCUUGGAUAUAAUAUAUUGAAAUAAUGUUUUAAAUUCAUUUAAGGAUAAUAGACUUUGAUUUCAAAAAUUAAAUCUAAAUUAAUAAUUGACAUAUGUAUAAUGUAUCUUUUUAAUUAUCAUUCUAAAUUUAGAUCAGAUAAAUUUAAAAACUCGGAUAAAUCAAAUUGGAUUAAUUUUCAUCUUCUAUACUUCUAUGAUUUUAUUGAAGCCCGAUCAGAGAGAUCAAGUCAAUAUUAAUAAGUUUAAAAUUAAAAUUAAAAUUACUACUACUUUGAAAAUUAAAUGCCUAAAAAUUAAAAAUAUGUGGUGUGUACCUAUUAAUUAGUUGCUAAUUGAGUCAAAUUAUAUAUACGUUCCUUAUUAUAAUAGUUUUAGGUUUUAUUUAUUUAUUCAAUAGUUUAAAAGUAAAAGAAUAUUAGAGAAUAUAUUAAUUUUUUUUAAACCAUUCAGUGUUCGAAAAUCCACUAGCUCAAUUUAUCAGAAUUUGCACUAAAUAGACUCAUAAAAGAGAAAAAAGUGCUCAAUUUUAAAUAUUUAAAGAGACUCUAUAUUCAAAUCUCCAUAGAUAAAAGUAUAUGGAAAUAGUAUUUUUUUUUCUUUCUUUAUGUUUUUUUUUCUCUGUGGUCAAGAAUGUGAAAGAUCUGCCUACUGUCUUGGUUGGUGCCCAUAAAUUAUGUCACAAGCUUGACUCUUCUUCCUCGUUCUAAUUCCACACGGUGAUGACCAUGUCUUAAUGUAAACUGAAAUUUGAAAAUAAAGAAAUGUCCAACUUUUGGCUUCGAGAGUCGUGAACCUCACUUUUGAAUAUUACAUUUUGCUUGACAAAUUAUCAGUUUUGAAAAUGGACUUAGAUUUUGGACCUUAAAUUGAUAAUGUCUUGGAAUAAUUUACAAUUAUGUGUUUUAUUUUAUUAAUUAGAGAAUUUUCUAUAUUCUCGGAAAUUUUCUAAUUUUUAUUUUAAAAAUAUUAUAACAUUAUAUAUUGUGUUUAAUAACAUUAAAACAUCUAAGCCCGUCUAGCUCAGUCGGUAGAGUGCAAGGCUCUUAACCUUGUGGUCGUGGGUUCGAGCCCCACGGCGGGCGGAAUUUUUAUUUUAAAAAUAUUAUAACAUUAUAUAUUGUGUGUAAUAACAUUAAAACAUCUAAGCUCGUCUAGCUCAGUCGGUAGAGUGCAAGGCUCUUAACCUUGUGGUCGUGGGUUCGAGCCCCACGGUGGGCGUAAUUUUUAUUUUAAAAUAUUUGUUUUCCAUUUGUAGUCUAUUCUGGAAAAUCCUUGCAUAAAUCUCAAACCAACAUUUUUUUUCUGUGUAAGCAUAUUCAGACUUUAUUAUUAGAAAUCGUCUAAUUUAGCUUGAGAUUUAGUUAUAGUUAAAGUUUUUUAUGUCUCUCUGCAUGUGUGUUUAGUGUGAAAUGAACUCGAAAGCUCAUUUCAGCUUUCACAACUCAUAGGUUAAGUGACAAUUAUUUUUAAUUGAAUAACGUGAUAAUUUUAACUAUAUCGAUUAAAUUUUUUUAAUCUAUGUAUAAAUGAAUCCAGGACACAAAGUAUGUAGCAGAGGAAAUAUUAACCAAUUAGCUAAUAUUCUUAAAUACACAUAAUAUACAUCUCAAAUAAAAUACAAAUAGUAAAUUAAUUAAUUCCGCACUUUACGCGGGUCGAUAGACUGGACUGGAUUUGCUUGACCAUUUGAAUGUGCAAGUCAAUCUUUUACAUUAAAGGAGUGAUAAUUACUUCAAAAAAAAAAAAAAGAGUUAUGAUACUUCAAUAGCGAUCCAAUUCAAAGAUGCAAUAGUUAUUUUACUGCCUCUCUGUUCCAUUAAUUUUAAUAUUUUAAUAUUUUUAUUUUCCUCUUAUAAAAUAUUUUUACAAAUUACCGUCGUAUAGAACCGUUUCAUUCUGAUUUUACUUUUAUUUAAAUUUAAAUAUCUUCACCAAAUUUUCUCUUUUAAUUAUAAUAAAUUAAAUAAUUUAGUCAUUUACUCUUAAUUUCUAGAUUGAGAUGAUGAAAUAUUUUUUAUAAUUAUUGUAAAAAGUCAAAAAAAAAAUAUCAAAAUUAACUGAAUGGAUGUAAUAUUGUCUAUAAGAAAUAUUUCAGUGAUAAAGAUUUGAAAUAUUUUAAAAGGUGUGGAUUAAAAUUAAAUUUAAUAUCUAAAGCUCAAUAUGUUUUUCAUAUGUACGAAUACCAUUUUCUUGGUAAUAUCAGAAGUUAAAUAGUAAAUUUGAAAGAGAAAUUUGUGAAAUAGGCAGUGAUUAAGACAAAGUUGAAUUUGUAAAUAUAGCUAACGUGAUUCCGAGUAUUUUUUUUUUGAGAAUUUGAGAGGGGGAUUCAAAUCCGAAUCUAUGUUUAAGGGAAGAAAAAUUUUUUUCUUUUUGGGAAAAAAAAAAGUAUUAUCCCCUAAUUUUUUUUUUUGCUGAAUUGGCCAUUGAUUUUAUGUUUUAGAGAUGACUUACAGCUUACAAGUAAUUAAAAUAUGUUUUCUUAUAAAUUUUGUCGUUUACAUAUUCCAUGCUCCUUAGAGAUCUCAAAAAAACUAAAAAGAAAAAAUUGGAUGUUGUUGAUCAAUUUGUACUAUGAACGUCUCCCACAUUGUAUUUCUCAAUAUUUUAGCAUGAACUUCCCCUACAUUGUAAUUUCCAAGAUACUUGGUUAGAGUUAGAGAUCCUAAAAAUUCCUUAAACAUGUAAAUAAUUAAUUACUACUUCCUAAAAUUCUAUAUAAAUUGACAAUUCUUUUACAACUUGCAAUAUGUAUUUGCAAGAAUAGAACAAAAAAAAAAAAAAAAGAAAAUUCAAAAAACAAUAUGCAAACUCCUAUCUUUUCUUCACUAAAAUAUUUAGUUGCUCACUUUUCUUUUCCUAUAACUUGUUUUAUUUAACAAAUCAGUCCAAAAUAACCUGAAUAAAUGGCAAACUAGUACAUGAAUGAAAUGGACAAAUAAAAAUUCAUUGUAAUGUAAAAGGUUCUGCCAAAAAAAAAAAAGAAAAAAGAAAAAGAAAAAGAAAAAGAGAACAAGAAGAAGAAGAAUAUUCUUAACUUGACUUAAACUAAAUAGACAAGUAAACAGUACAAGAAAGGGAUCACUGUUAUUAUUGGAUUCUUAAUAAGCAAUCUAACCUUUUUUUUUUUUUUUUUUUUCUUUUGAUCAGCAGAUAAAGAAAGAGUCAUGAGAAACGAACACAAAAGUUCAUCAUUAAUAUUUAAUAACACACGUUAAAUUGCUAAUAAUAGAUUAAUCAAAAGAAAAGAAAAGAUUUACAUAAUUCCUUUUCCUUUCCUUUUCUUUUUUGGGGUUCAAUCCAUUUUUAUCCAACUUCUUCUGUCUUGGAAGUCAGUCACGAAUUGCCAUUUUCACUCCCCACAUUAUCAUAAAGCAGCAAUCGUCAGUCGUGGGAAGUUUUCGCUAAGAGCUCUUCUCUUUACUCAAGGGUCUUCCCUUUAUCUUGGGUUUUGUCCCUUUACUUUAGAUCCCUUUUUACCCUGCUAUUUCAACUUUCCACCUCCAUGUUUACUCUUUCAAAUUCCGUUAUUUUCUUUGUCCUUUAACCUCUUCGUCCUUUUCCUUACUUGUGUGCCCCUCUUUCCUUCCUUUUGUCUUCUUUCUUUAUGGACAAAGCUGCACUAAUAGUUAAUGCCUCUCACUAACCAAACCUGGCACCACAUGAUUCCAGUCCAGUGCUAACAUUAAUUGAAGAAGAUAAUAGAAGCAUUAAUAGUAAGAAUGUGCUUGCUGGGAAAAUUAUUACAUCUGGGAAAUACAGUGCGGAGGUUGUUAAAGAAAUCAUGACUAAAUCCUGGCACUGCAAGGAGAAUUUCUCUGUAUACUUAAGAGAGAUAAACACCUUUGUUUUUACUUUCCAUAAUGCAUGUGAUGUUCAAAGAAUUCUUGUAGGAAGAGCUUGGAUACUUCAAAACCAACAUAUGGUUCUAAAAGAAUGGCCACCAGAUAUUGCUUUUAAUGAUAUUGAUUAUAAUUUAUCCACUUUCUGGAUUCAAGCUCAUGGUUUGUCCCCAAGCCAAAUGAACCACUCUAAUGCAAGUCUAAUUGGUAACUAAUUUGGGGGAUUAUUAAAAGUUUAUCUUAGGCAAGAUGAAGCCCAUGGAUGGUAAUGAUAUCUGAGAUUCAAGGCCAAUGUUAAUGUCACCCGACCUUCGUUAUUGGGGUUUAGCUACUACCAUUCAAGAGCGUCCACGUGGUACCCUAAGACAUCAAAUCUGCUCAAACCUAAACCAAAUCAGCCAUGAUAACCUGUUCAAUCUAUCACAUCAGGGCCUACCUUCAUUCAAUGCUAGUCCUAAUCAACCUGCACACCGUAACCAAGACCGUGAUUCUCAGCCUGACCAAGCCCAUUCUAUAGUUAUGGCCCAUUCUGUAUCAAGCCCAACUAGCAACCCUAAUUUAGAAAAGAUGGUCCAAAUACCCAAUUCUCCAAAUCAACGCCCAAACCCAAAGACAGAUUCUAAUUCCUCACUCUUUUCUCUUGAGCCGAAUAAGAUCACCUGGAAAACUAGGAAAAAAACAUUCCUUGAGAACAUCCAACCCAUCAAUACAGGUCUCUAAGACCUAUUCUCGCCAGGCCAACACCCUCUAGACCAAUUGUCUUUGGACAAACUUGUGCUGAUUACAAAAGAUAUUUUGUUUCCACAAUUCAGCACUAAUAAUCAGCAAACGCUAUUAGAGGAGGCUUCGAAGGCGGCUGACCUGAUUAUUAAUCAAGCCAGUGUUUUACACUAAAAUACUCCUUCAGACCCUGUUCCUAAGAAGAAGCAAUGGAAAAGACUAGCAAGUAGCAAAAGGGUUGUUAUAGAAGAACUGAUUGAGGAAAAUAAUGCAGCUUUGCAAAGCCAGCUUGAGUUGCAAAAUAGAAGCCCCAAGAAGAGGCCUUUCACAGAACAAUUAGUGUUGGAAAACAAGAAAAUCUGCCCUGAUGAUACAAUGGUGGAGGAAGCCAGCCAUAAAUGGCUACAAGGGGAUCAAUGAAACUUUUGAGUUGGAAUUGUCAGGGUUUGGGGAACCCCCUGACAAUUCAUAACCUCAAAGGUAGUUUCAAAUCCCAUUCCGCUGAUAUUAUUUUUCUUGCUGAAACUAAAAAUAGUGAUGCUUUUGUGACUAAGAGACUUUGUACAUAUGGAUACCAGGUGCUAGAUACAGUACAACCAAAAGGGAAAGCAGGUGGUUUAGCGUUAAUCUGGCGGGAGAUAGUAAAUGUCAAAGGUCAUUAAAAAAGAAUAGUUCUUUAUGCAUGCCAGGGUGAAAGAUGAUAGUUUGCAUCUAUGUUGUGAUCUUAUGUGUGUUUAUGCUAAUAGUGAUGAUAUGCACUGGAAGGAACAAUUUGAUUUUCUUAUACAAUAUCAGCAAGUCCUAUCUUAUUAUACUCUUUUUGCUGGGGAUUUCAACUCUAUUUUGAGUUUAAGAGAAAAACAAGGUGGAGGUUCUUAUGGAAUGUGGAAACUGAAUAUGUUUCGAGAUUUUGUUAAUAGUAUGACGCUGGCUGAUUUAGGCAUUUAAGGACAUCCAAUGACAUGGAAUAAUUGAAGAGACGGAUCUUCGAAUGUUCAGGAAAGACUAGAUCAUUUUCUUGCUACUAGUUCUUAGUUUAUCAAGUUUCCCAAAGCAAAAGUUUAUCAUCUUGAUUAUUUGGGAUCAGACCAUCAUCCUAUACUCCUUGAUGUCCAUCCAAAUGUGUGGAAGAGUCCUAAAUAUUUCCAUUUCGAUGACCAUUGGACCUUAAAUCCUGAUGUUGGUCAUGUGGUGGAAGAGGCUUGGCAAUAUGAGACACAUAGCUCAGAUUUGUUUAAGGUUUUCUCCAAACUCAAGAAAUGUAAGCGAGCAUUAUAGGUGUGGGCAAAAAACAAUUCUGUGAACUCACAGAAAUGGCUACAGGAACGUAAAAUUUGUUGGCGUGAGCAAAUCAAGGAGAAAGAAAUGUCAAAGUUUGACAGAUUGUGAAGAAAAUCUACUGUCAAACUUUGACAUGAGCAAAAAAUAGGAUUUGUCAAAGUUUGACAGAUUAUGAAGAAAAUCUGCUGUCAAACUUUGACAAAUCUUAAAUCUUUGCCUUUAAUUUAGGCUGUAAAUUAGGAUCUAAAUUGUACAAAACUAGUAUAAAUAUUUGUAAUUGCUGGAAAAGUAAUUAGAGAGGUGAAACAAAAUUGUUCUUAAUUAUCUUUUCUACAUGGUAUCAGAGCGAAUUAGGUAGAAACUGAUUUUUUUUCUGCAAUCAUGACAGAAGAAAAUCCUUUUGCUGUCAUCCCUCAUGAAUCUCGAAUCAUUGUUCAAGACAAUGCCCCUCUCCCCUCUGGAAUCAUCUUAGAUGAUACAAAUUAUCCAUUAUGGUCGCAACUUAUGGAGAUGCGUAUUGGAGCUCGAAAUAAAUCCGGAUUUCUUACCGGUGCAACACCAAAACCAGCUGCAAAUGACAAGCAAUUGGAAACCUGGCUUCUUGAUAAUAACCGGGUUAAGAGUUGGCUCAUUGAUUCUAUGAGUCCACUCUUGAUGCAACGAUUCAUCCGUCUUCAAACAGCCAAAGAAAUAUGGGAAGCUGUUGCAAAGACCUUCACAAUCUAUCAAACUUUGACAUUUCUUUCUCCUUGAUUUGCUCACGCCAACAAUUUCCACUAAUUUCAUAACCUUUGACAUUUCUUUCUCCUUGAUUUGCUCACGCCAACACUCCCCCUCAAGUUGGUGAAUAUAUGUCCAUCAUUCCCAACUUGUUAAGUGAGCUUUGAAAAUCUUUUACGGAUAUAGCCUUUGUUAGGAUAUCUGCUAGUUGAUCUUUUGAAGUGACAUAUCUUCUUGGCUGGGCUUGACCCAGAAUUCAACCAAGCUCGAAGUGAAAUAUUGAGGAAAGAUCCACCUCUUGAUCUUGAGUCAUGUUAUGCAUAUGUUCGCAAAGAUCAAAACCAGAGACAAACUAUGGAGGAAUAAAAAGUUCAGCCAGAUGGAAUGGUUCAUUUGACAGUCCGAACACGCCCUACAAAUUCCCAACAGGCUAAAGGAAAAAAAUUUGGCUCCAAGGGAAAUAAUUAUGUGUGCACUCACUGUGGUGAAGAAGGACAUUCAAAACAACGUUGCUAUGAGAUUAUUGGGUAUCCAGAAUGGUGGGAUUUUACAAAGAAACCUAGGAAGAAAAUUGUACAGGCUGCUGCCACAACCACAAAAGAUGAAGAAGUAAUUGCAUCAACUUCAAAUCCAGUUGCAGCACACGUUACAAAAGCUGAAAAUCCAGGUCUAUCUAAUACUUAUUGUAACAUCCCUUCCCGGUCCACCCGUUAACCCGAAUGAACCGAGCCGAGACGCUACAAUCUGGUUGAACUUAUAUCCUGUCAUGCUGAUAUCACCCUGUAUGCGAGAUAUGAAUAUAAGACACUCCCAAUUAACAUAUCAGACUUCCAAUAUCUCCAACUAAUCAUCAUAACACAACAACACUUUAUAUAUAUAGUCAUAACUGUAUAAAUCCUCAAUAGCAUUUAAUAUCCAGCAAAAUAUUUGCAUUCAUGAUCUCUAUCAAGUCUUCAUGACCUAAUCAUACCAACUAUAGUAAAAUAUUUCAUAUUCAAUCAUUUCCUCCAAAUACUUACACCACAAUAAUUACAUGCUUCAAUUAUAUUUCCAAUCACAUAAGCUCUAACAAAUGUAAUAAUUAUACAUGCCAUAAAUCUUAAUACAUGCCAUAAUUCUUAAUAUUACAACUCUCAAUCUACUAUGACCAAAUUAAGCACUUCUGCUUUGAUAGUACUCCUCAAGUCUUCAAGUAGCAACCACGAUCUUCAACCUACGCAUGAUAAAAAUCGACGCGCUGAGUAUAAAACUCAGUAGUGCUCAUAAUUCACAUANNNNNNNNNNNNNNNNNNNNNNNNNNNNNNNNNNNNNNNNNNNNNNNNNNNNNNNNNNNNNNNNNNNNNNNNNNNNNNNNNNNNNNNNNNNNNNNNNNNNNNNNNNNNNNNNNNNNNNNNNNNNNNNNNNNNNNNNNNNNNNNNNNNNNNNNNNNNNNNNNNNNNNNNNNNNNNNNNNNNNNNNNNNNNNNNNNNNNNNNNNNNNNNNNNNNNNNNNNNNNNNNNNNNNNNNNNNNNNNNNNNNNNNNNNNNNNNNNNNNNNNNNNNNNNNNNNNNNNNNNNNNNNNNNNNNNNNNNNNNNNNNNNNNNNNNNNNNNNNNNNNNNNNNNNNNNNNNNNNNNNNNNNNNNNNNNNNNNNNNNNNNNNNNNNNNNNNNNNNNNNNNNNNNNNNNNNNNNNNNNNNNNNNNNNNNNNNNNNNNNNNNNNNNNNNNNNNNNNNNNNNNNNNNNNNNNNNNNNNNNNNNNNNNNNNNNNNNNNNNNNNNNNNNNNNNNNNNNNNNNNNNNNNNNNNNNNNNNNNNNNNNNNNNNNNNNNNNNNNNNNNNNNNNNNNNNNNNNNNNNNNNNNNNNNNNNNNNNNNNNNNNNNNNNNNNNNNNNNNNNNNNNNNNNNNNNNNNNNNNNNNNNNNNNNNNNNNNNNNNNNNNNNNNNNNNNNNNNNNNNNNNNNNNNNNNNNNNNNNNNNNNNNNNNNNNNNNNNNNNNNNNNNNNNNNNNNNNNNNNNNNNNNNNNNNNNNNNNNNNNNNNNNNNNNNNNNNNNNNNNNNNNNNNNNNNNNNNNNNNNNNNNNNNNNNNNNNNNNNNNNNNNNNNNNNNNNNNNNNNNNNNNNNNNNNNNNNNNNNNNNNNNNNNNNNNNNNNNNNNNNNNNNNNNNNNNNNNNNNNNNNNNNNNNNNNNNNNNNNNNNNNNNNNNNNNNNNNNNNNNNNNNNNNNNNNNNNNNNNNNNNNNNNNNNNNNNNNNNNNNNNNNNNNNNNNNNNNNNNNNNNNNNNNNNNNNNNNNNNNNNNNNNNNNNNNNNNNNNNNNNNNNNNNNNNNNNNNNNNNNNNNNNNNNNNNNNNNNNNNNNNNNNNNNNNNNNNNNNNNNNNNNNNNNNNNNNNNNNNNNNNNNNNNNNNNNNNNNNNNNNNNNNNNNNNNNNNNNNNNNNNNNNNNNNNNNNNNNNNNNNNNNNNNNNNNNNNNNNNNNNNNNNNNNNNNNNNNNNNNNNNNNNNNNNNNNNNNNNNNNNNNNNNNNNNNNNNNNNNNNNNNNNNNNNNNNNNNNNNNNNNNNNNNNNNNNNNNNNNNNNNNNNNNNNNNNNNNNNNNNNNNNNNNNNNNNNNNNNNNNNNNNNNNNNNNNNNNNNNNNNNNNNNNNNNNNNNNNNNNNNNNNNNNNNNNNNNNNNNNNNNNNNNNNNNNNNNNNNNNNNNNNNNNNNNNNNNNNNNNNNNNNNNNNNNNNNNNNNNNNNNNNNNNNNNNNNNNNNNNNGAGCGCGUAUGUGUUAUCGGCACAAGUCGCGAGCGCGUAAAUGCAAGUCGCGAGCGCGUACAGUGCAAAAUGAGAGACAGUGAGUUCCCAGGCCAAAUUCGCGAGCGCGCGAUGAAGGUCGCGAGUGUUUACAGGCCAAGGGCCAAGUCGCGAGUGUGCACUUGCAAGUCGUGAGCGCGAGAAGUGCCAAAUGAGAGGUAGUGAGGUUGCGAGCACAAGUCGCGAGAGCGUAAAUGCAAGUCGCGAGCGCGUACAGUACAAAAUGAGAGUCAGUCGCGAGCUCUUCAUGCAAUUCGCGCGCGCGUCGCGUUUUCCAGCCUGCACUGUCUGUACUCUUUUGGUCAUAUCUCUCAAUAUACAACUCCGAUUUGAAUGAUUCAAAAACCCAUGUAAAGCUAACACAUAGAGGAACAAAUAACUCUUCUAUGACACUUCCUAAUUCCAUCAUUUAANNNNNNNNNNNNNNNNNNNNNNNNNNNNNNNNNNNNNNNNNNNNNNNNNNNNNNNNNNNNNNNNNNNNNNNNNNNNNNNNNNNNNNNNNNNNNNNNNNNNNNNNNNNNNNNNNNNNNNNNNNNNNNNNNNNNNNNNNNNNNNNNNNNNNNNNNNNNNNNNNNNNNNNNNNNNNNNNNNNNNNNNNNNNNNNNNNNNGAGUAGCUACCCUGAAGAACGAGUCUUCUAGAUGAACUGCAGCAGUUGUAAGCUGACUCUCUACGGUCCAAUCUCAAAACCUGCGAGUUAAACAGGUAACUCGCUGAGCAAAUAAAGCUCAGUGGAUAUCUCAACAUAUAAAGAAACAAUUAAGCACAUACAUAGAUAGAAAUAAGCAUGUAAAUGCAUAAGGAUAACCAAACAUAUAAGCAUAUAUAGCAUGAUCCUUUCCUUAUACCUUGAUUUUCUUUCGUACUGUUUAUCAUACUGUAUGAUUUAUGAAUUGUUAUGUCACAAUAUCUGUAUGGCUCCAUAAGGUUAUAGUGAAACCGAGGUGAUAAGGGAAGCUGUAUGAAACUGGAUGAAUACUGUAUGCUUGGCUGCUAUGGCCGAUAUAUAAUCAUAUCCACUCAACGGCCUGUAGCCGGAGUACUAAACUGUAUGGGGCACAGAUCUGCUAUCCUAUGUUGCGACAUAGCCUUAUCUACAUGGUUUCUACCUAACCUCAAUGGAGCAAAGUGUUGGUAUGUCAAUAAGAUAACACAAUAGCAUAAUAAUAGUUCAUAAUUUCAUAAUUCAUAAUGUUCACUUGAUUUCACAUCAUUUGCAUGCUUGCAUGUUGUUUUGAUACAUGUUCUAAUGUUGUAUUUGAUGUUAAAAUGAUUGGAGGCAUAUAAGUGAAGCAAAGGAAUACAAUUGCAUUGAAAAUGAAGUCCAAAAAUGCAUGAAAACACAAGUCGCGAGCGCGCCUUGCAAGGUCGCGAGCGCGUAAUGCACCAGAUGAGAGACAGUGAGUUAUCGGGCACAAGUCGCGAGCGCGUACUUGAAAGUCACGAGCGCGAGAAGUGCCAAAUGAGAGACAGAGAGUUUGCGAGCACAAGUCGCGAGCGCGNNNNNNNNNNNNNNNNNNNNNNNNNNNNNNNNNNNNNNNNNNNNNNNNNNNNNNNNNNNNNNNNNNNNNNNNNNNNNNNNNNNNNNNNNNNNNNNNNNNNNNNNNNNNNNNNNNNNNNNNNNNNNNNNNNNNNNNNNNNNNNNNNNNNNNNNNNNNNNNNNNNNNNNNNNNNNNNNNNNNNNNNNNNNNNNNNNNNNNNNNNNNNNNNNNNNNNNNNNNNNNNNNNNNNNNNNNNNNNNNNNNNNNNNNNNNNNNNNNNNNNNNNNNNNNNNNNNNNNNNNNNNNNNNNNNNNNNNNNNNNNNNNNNNNNNNNNNNNNNNNNNNNNNNNNNNNNNNNNNNNNNNNNNNNNNNNNNNNNNNNNNNNNNNNNNNNNNNNNNNNNNNNNNNNNNNNNNNNNNNNNNNNNNNNNNNNNNNNNNNNNNNNNNNNNNNNNNNNNNNNNNNNNNNNNNNNNNNNNNNNNNNNNNNNNNNNNNNNNNNNNNNNNNNNNNNNNNNNNNNNNNNNNNNNNNNNNNNNNNNNNNNNNNNNNNNNNNNNNNNNNNNNNNNNNNNNNNNNNNNNNNNNNNNNNNNNNNNNNNNNNNNNNNNNNNNNNNNNNNNNNNNNNNNNNNNNNNNNNNNNNNNNNNNNNNNNNNNNNNNNNNNNNNNNNNNNNNNNNNNNNNNNNNNNNNNNNNNNNNNNNNNNNNNNNNNNNNNNNNNNNNNNNNNNNNNNNNNNNNNNNNNNNNNNNNNNNNNNNNNNNNNNNNNNNNNNNNNNNNNNNNNNNNNNNNNNNNNNNNNNNNNNNNNNNNNNNNNNNNNNNNNNNNNNNNNNNNNNNNNNNNNNNNNNNNNNNNNNNNNNNNNNNNNNNNNNNNNNNNNNNNNNNNNNNNNNNNNNNNNNNNNNNNNNNNNNNNNNNNNNNNNNNNNNNNNNNNNNNNNNNNNNNNNNNNNNNNNNNNNNNNNNNNNNNNNNNNNNNNNNNNNNNNNNNNNNNNNNNNNNNNNNNNNNNNNNNNNNNNNNNNNNNNNNNNNNNNNNNNNNNNNNNNNNNNNNNNNNNNNNNNNNNNNNNNNNNNNNNNNNNNNNNNNNNNNNNNNNNNNNNNNNNNNNNNNNNNNNNNNNNNNNNNNNNNNNNNNNNNNNNNNNNNNNNNNNNNNNNNNNNNNNNNNNNNNNNNNNNNNNNNNACUUAUCUUGUUAGGAAUAAUACAUGGAUAAUUGAUACAGCUGCUACUGACCAUAUGACAAAUGAUUCUACCCUUCUUUCACAUAUUCAUCCUUCACCUCAACCUCAUGUACUCACUGCUAAUGGAGGAGUUGCUCCCGUUAUUGGCGAAGGAUCAACACAUGUGUCGCAUUCCAUUAAUCUUGAUACUGUGCUUGUAGUUCCUUCUCUUUCUUCCAACCUUUUAUCUGUUGGUAAAAUCACAGAAACUCUAAAUUGUACUGCAACUUUUUGGCCUAAUAAAUGUAUUUUUCAGGACAUUAUAACACAACGGAUUCUUGGCUAUGGUAUUAGGCGUGGAAACUUGUACUAUCUUGAUUUGGCCACUUCAAGAAAACAAAGAAUUGAUCAAGCAAAUAACACUGAGGCCAGUCAAGGAAAUGAGGAUAUGGUUUGGUUAUGGCAUCGUCGCCUUGGUCAUCUGUCAUUUAAUUAUCUUCGAAAAUUAAAACCAAGUUUGUUUUUACAUACAAAUGCUAAGUUUGAUUGUGACGUUUGUGAAAUGGCUAAGAGUCAUAGAAUUUCAUAUCUUCCUAGUUAUAAUAAGAGUACUUCACCUUUUAUGAUUAUCCACUCUGAUGUUUGGGGACCUGCUCAAAUCCCUACAUUAUCUGGUGCUCGUUAUUUUGUGACAUUUAUUGAUAAGUGUACUCGCAUGAUUUGGGUCUAUCUCCUAAGAAACAAGGGAGAGGUAUGUUCUGUUUUGCAGAAUCUGUAUCGAAUGGUACAUUCACAGUAUCAAUGCAGAAUUAAAGUUCUUCAAUCUGAUAAUGGUGGGGAGUAUAUAAAUUCUGAAUUGAAAAUUUUUUGUCAAAAAAAUGGUAUUCGACACCAAACUUCAUGUGCUGGUACACCACAACAAAAUGGUUUGGCAGAACGAAAAAAUCGCCAAAUACUAGAGGUUGUCCGAGCUUCUUUAUUUGGCAUGAAAGUACCUCGAGAAUACUGGGGCGAAGCUAUUUGCUCUGCUGCAUAUCUUAUUAAUCGGACGCCGUCACGAGUCAUUGAGUUUAAAACACCACAUCAAAAACUCCAUGAAUUAGUUUCUGCUCCAAUCAGUCCGAACCUUGAACCUCGUGUCUUUGGCUGUACUGCAUAUGUACACCGGGUUGCAGGUAAACUUGAUCCACGAGCUGUCCGUUGCAUGUUUAUUGGGUAUGCAAACCUCCAAAAGGGAUAUCGAUGUUAUGAUCCUACAGAAAAUAAAAUGUAUGUAACCCGCGAUGUCACAUUCCAUGAAAAUACUCCUUAUUUUGGUGGUCAUGAGUGCUCUCUUCAGGGGGAGACUACACUUAAUUUGGGUGAAGACAACACUCAUGAAUACUUUGAAGAACAAGAAACGGCUGAUAAACAACUUUCAGAUCCUGUUGUCACACAACCUGAGAAUGAUGAUGGCGCCCAAGAAAAUCAAGAUAGUACAAUUUCCCAAGUCACCCCACCAGCCAUAGAAAUUCCAGAUGUGUCGGUGUCUCCUCAGGGAACAACACUACCAUCCUCUCCUUUAAUUCACGAUCCAAUUCCUCUAGCUGAACCAAGAUAUCCAAUUAGGAAGAAUAGAGGAAUUCCAAAAGCACAAUAUGAACCUGAUUUUAAUGCUAAGACUAAGUACCCCAUUAACAAUUAUACCUCGUCUCAUCAUUUGUCAAAAUCACAUGCACUUGUUGUAAAUCAAUUAUCUCCUGUAUCUAUUCCAAGUAAUGUGCAGGAAGCAUUGAUGGAUUCAAAAUGGAAGAAAGCUAUGAAUGAUGAAAUGGAAGCCUUACAAAAGAAUCAUACAUGGGAACUUGUAUCGCUGCCCCCAAAGAAGAAAACUGUAAGGUGCAGAUGGAUCUUCACAGUUAAGCUUAAUCCAAAUGGAAUCAUAGAUCGUUACAAGGCAAGGCUUGUUGCUAAAGGGUAUACACAAAAGUACGGAAUUGAUUAUGGAGAUACAUUUGCUCCUGUAGCAAAAAUAAAUACCAUACGAAUUCUUAUUUCCAUACCAGCGAAUCAAGAUUGGCCGUUGCAACAGUUCGACGUUAAAAAUGCAUUUCUGAAUGGAAAUUUGGAAGAAGAAGUAUACAUGGAUCCUCCUCCAGGCAUAAAUUGUGGUGGCAAGGUAUGCAAACUAAAAAGGGCCUUAUACGGAUUAAAGCAAUCCCCCCGAGCAUGGUUUGGAAGGCUAUCAAAUUUCAUGAAGAAAAUUGGAUACAAACAAAGUGAUGCUGAUCAUACUCUCUUCGUCAAACAAGAGUUUGAGAAGGUAACUGCUCUUAUUGUAUAUGUGGAUGACCUGGUUGUUACUGGAAAUGACUCAAAUGAAAUAGUUGUCCUCCAAGAAAGCCUUGAAACUGAAUUUGAACUUAAAGAUCUUGGACACUUGAAAUAUUUCUUAGGCAUUGAAGUUGCAAGAUCAAGUAAUGGAAUUUAUCUAUGUCAGCGAAAAUAUGUAUUAGAUUUGCUAGCAGAAACUGGGAUGCUUAACUGUAAGCCCGUUGAAACUCCCAUUGAAGUGAAUCACAAGUUAGCCAUUCAACAAAACCAAAUUCCAGCUAACAAGGAGAGGUAUCAAAGAUUAGUUGGGAGGCUAAUAUACUUGUCGCAUACGCGUCCUGACAUNNNNNNNNNNNNNNNNNNNNNNNNNNNNNNNNNNNNNNNNNNNNNNNNNNNNNNNNNNNNNNNNNNNNNNNNNNNNNNNNNNNNNNNNNNNNNNNNNNNNNNNNNNNNNNNNNNNNNNNNNNNNNNNNNNNNNNNNAGGAUAUACAGAUGCAGAUUGGGCUGGAAGUCUGACCGAUCGAAAAUCCACAUCAGGGUAUUUCACUUUUGUUGAAGGCAACUUAGUUACAUGGCGAAGUAAGAAGCAAAAAGUGGUAGCAAGAUCAAGCGCAGAAGCAGAAUUUCGCGGAAUGGCACAAGGCAUCUGUGAAUUGCUAUGGAUAAAGCGUAUUUUACAUGAUCUGGGUAUACAUCUGUCAACACCUAUGAAGUUAUUAUGUGAUAAUAAGGCAGCCAUAGCAAUUGCAAAUAAUCCAGUUCAACAUGACAGAACCAAACACGUGGAAGUCGAUCGGCACUUCAUCAAAGACCAUCUUGACAAAAAUACAAUUAGUCUUCCGUUUGUCACUUCAAAAGAUCAACUAGCAGAUAUCCUAACAAAGGCUGUGUCCGUAAAAGAUUUUCAAAGCUCACUUAACAAGUUGGGAAUGAUGGACAUAUAUUCACCAACUUGAGGGGGAGAGUUGGCGUGAGCAAAUCAAGGAGAAAGAAAUGUCAAAGUUUGACAGAUUGUGAAGAAAAUCUACUGUCAAACUUUGACAUGAGCAAAAAAUAGGAUUUGUCAAAGUUUGACAGAUUAUGAAGAAAAUCUGCUAUCAAACUUUGACAAAUCUUAAAUCUUUGCCUUUAAUUUAGGCUGUAAAUUAGGAUCUAAAUUGUACAAAACUAGUAUAAAUAUUUGUAAUUGCUGGAAAAGUAAUUAGAGAGGUGAAACAAAAUUGUUCUUAAUUAUCUUUUCUACAAAAUUCUUCUCAAAGAAGCUAAGCAUAGUGGGGAUGGUUGGAGUAGCAAUAGAGUGCGAAACUUAGAAGCCCAAAUAAAGGCUGAAGUUGUUAAAGAGGAAAUCUAUUGGGCUCAAAAAUCCAGACAAGUGUGGUUGAAAAAAGGGAGAUAAUAAUACUGCUUUUUUUCAUGCUAAGCUCAGCGGUAUAAAAGAAAUUUCAUUAAUGGUAUUGAAGAUGCUCAGGGAGUAUGGCAUAUUGAACAAAAAGAGAUUGUAGCUGUUGCUUUGGAUUAUUUUGAAGCGAUAUUCACAUCUUCCAAUCCCUGUAACUUUCAGAGGGUCUCUUAAGGUAUCCGAUGUCGAGUUACUUCUGUUAUGAAUGACUUUUUAAUUCGGGAGGUCUCUGAUGAUGAGAUUCAACAAGCAGUAUUCAGCAUCCAUCCCUUAAAAGCUCCUGGAGAUGAUGGUAUGACAGCUCAAUUUUUUCAUGUGUAUUGGGAUGUCAUUAAAGAAGACAUAUUCAAGGCUAUUAGAAGUUUCUUUAGUUCAGGAAGGAUGCUUAAAAAUAUCAACCACACUAUUAUCUCUUCGAUUCCUAAAACUAAAUAAGUUAAAACCAUGCAGCAUUUGAGGCCUAUUAGUUUGUGCACAGUGUAUUAUAAAAUCAUUGCUAAGGUUCUCACUAACAGACUGCAAGGAACCAUGCACCACGUAGUUGGAGAUCAUCAAAGUGCUUUCACAAAAGGCAGACUUAUUUCAGACAAUAUUCUCUUAGCUCAUGAACUGAUGCACUCCUUAAAAACUAGAAGAAACAGUGGUAGGUAUGACAUGGCUAUUAAACUUGCUGUCAGCAAAGCCUAUGAUUGAUUGAAUGGGAUUUUCUUAGUCAUAUGAUGAACCAACCUGGUUUUCAUUCUAAAUGAUAAACUGGAUUAUGGCAUGCGUUACCUCUGUUUCUUAUUGUGUCAAAAUCAAUGGACAGAAGUAUGGUUUUAUCACUCUUUCUAGAGGACUCAAGCAAGGAGAACCCCUCUCCCUAUAUCUAUUUCUUCUAUGUGUUGAAGGAUUCUCUGACAUGAUUACUAGAGCUGAGAGAAUGAACCAAAUUUCAAAUGUUAAAAUUGCUAGAAGGUCUCCUCCAAUAUCUCAUUUAUUAUUUGCUGAUGACUCCAUUUUGUUUUGUAGAGCAUCUGAGCAGCAAGCCAUUCACAUUAAAAGCAUCCUUACUUAAUAUAGCCAAGCCAGCAGCCAACAGGUUAAUUUUCGCAAAUCUUUUAUCUUCUUCAACCGCAACACACCUUAUGCUUGUAGAGAUUCAAUUGCUCAAUAUCUGGGAAUCAAUCAUAUAGGAGGGUAAGAUAAAUAUUUGGGUCUCCAAUCAGUUAUCUCUCGCUCAAAAAGGAUCACUUUUGCCGAAAUUCAAGAAAAAAUAAGGCAAUGACUCAUGAAUUGUAAAGAAAAAUUGCUUUCAACUGCAGGUAAAGAAGUCCUAAUCAAAGCAAUUGCUUCAGCCAUUCCUAUUUCCUCUAUGUCGUGUUUCAAGCUUCCUAUUAGUUUAUGCCGUAAAAUUAAUUCCACCAUAGCUCAGUUUUGGUAGGGCCAGAAAGAAGAUGAAAAAAAAAAAAACACUGGUUAUCAUGGAAUUCAUUAUGCAAAUGAAAAGUAGAGGGAGGUUUGGGCUUUCGAGAUUUAGAAUAUCUCAGUUUGGCUUUGCUUGGAAGCAAUGUUGGAGCAUCCUUAAAUUUUCAGAAUCGUUGCUCUCUCGAGUUUUAAAAGGAAAAUAUUUUCCUUUUUCAUCUUUUCUUGAAGUUGGGCAUAAGCGUAAUCAAUCUUGGGGAUGGUAAGAGUAUUUUAAAAGGAAAAGAAUUUCUUAAGCAAGGUCUUCAAUUGAAAAUCAGAAAUGGAAAAUCUGUUUUUUAUGAUGAUCCACGGCUACCACCAAAAUUUCCCUUCAAGCCAUGCCUUCUCAAUGGUGAUCAUAGCAGAAUAUAUUGGGUUUCGCAACUUAUUAAUUCCACCACUGGUAUUUGGAACUAUAAUCUUGUGCGGACUAAUUUUGUUGAUGCAGAUGCCAAAGUAAUCUUAUCUCUUACUUUUAGCAUCACUACAGCUCAAGACACCUUAGUGUGGCACUAUACCAAAAAUGGAGAGUACUCAGUUUGUUCAGGCUAUCAUAAAGCUUGCAAGCAAAAAGAGUUAUGUUCUUCUCAACAUCAAAUGAAUUCGAGCUAUGGAGCAGGUCAACAAUAAUUAUGGAAGAAUGUAUGGUCUUUGAAUGUUCCAAAUAAAAUCCGCAUCUUUUAAUGGAGAGCUUUACACAAUAGUCUUCCUGUAGGGAUCUCUUAGCUAAAAGGUUCCCUACAAAAACGAAUCUUCAUAAGUUGUGCUCUGAUGUAGAAACCUCAUCGCAUCUAUUUUUUUUGCGCCACAAGGCUGCUGCUGUUUGGAUCCAUUCUCCCCUGCAAUUACGAACCGCGAAUUUCAAUGGAAUGGAUUUCAAGGAAUUCUGGCAAAUUAUUUAUCAAAACCUUUCCAAUUCUGGAAAUCAUGAUAUGGUAGCUCUUGCUGUUUUUUUUUGUGGCAGAUUUGGAAGGCAAGGAAUGCUCUCAUUUUUCACGAUCAAGAUUGGAACUGGAAAGAAAUCUUAGAGAAAGCUUUUUUUCACAGUCAAGAGUUCAAAGAUGCUUGCAAGCUUUUGAAUCAUCCAAAUGAUCAACCAUCUUCAUCUCUUGAAGAAUCUACAACACCUCCAAAUGUUGUGAAGGUCAAUUUUGAUGCAGCUGUGAAAAACAAGAUGAAUUAUGGUUGCAUUGCCAUUAUAGCACGUUCUCAUUUGAACAGGAUUAUAACAUGGUCAGUGAAGCAAAUCCUUUUUCAAACCAAUCCCAUUAUUUUGGAAGCAAUGGCUCUUAGACAAGCUGUGGAAAUGGCUUUACAGCAUCAUUUUCACAAUGUUAUUUUUGAGGGAGACCCAAAAAUAGUCAUGGAUGCAGCUUCAAAGACGUCUUCUCCUUUUGUUUGUAUUCAAGGCUUAAUACAUGAUGUUUCCUAUCUAGCUACUCAGUUUUCUUUAGUUUCUUUGAAGUUUAUUAGAAGGCAUUUUAACAGUGAUGCCCACAAUCUAGCUAGAAAAGGUUUGAAUCUUUCUUUUGUAUUAAUAUCUCAUCCCAAGUUUCAUGGAUCAGGGAGUGAUACUAAUCGUAGAAUUUUAUUUCCACUUUUUCAAUGAAUUUCUAUUUGGUAAAAAUAUAUAUAUAUAUAUAUAAAGCAGCAAUCGUCAUGGUUUAAUCAUGAUAAGCACGUCCACCUCCACCUCCACCUCCACCUCCACCUCCACCGCCCUUUCCAUCAUUGCCACCCAUCACGGUUGCCUUUCUCAAUUCUUUUUUUUUUUUUGACAUGUCCUUUCUCAAUAAUCAAAUGAUACAUGAAAUUAUGAUUUUAUGACUUCAAAUUUUAGUCAAAAUAAAAAAAAAAUAUGUGUAAUAAGAUCUGUUGGUUGGUGAGAUGAUCAAUAUUUCAAAGAAAGAGAAAGAAAUACUUCUAGAAAUUAGAGCCAAUUACAAUAAUAAAUUAUGUAAUUCAAAUUAAAGAUGAGGGAAAAAAAAAAAAAAAGAAAAGAAAAGAAAAGAGGGAAACCCAUAAACUAAAAAGACGAUGAUAAAAAAAAUAGAGUACAAAGCAUGCGUGAGGAAAGAUUGUUCAUUAUCACGAAUCUAGGCCCUCUUUCUCUUCUUCAUGAUCAAGAAAGCUAUCAUGUGAAAGCUCCUUUAUCCACUCAAAUGUUCGAUGACGUGACAUUACUUGCUUUCCCUGCUGUUGCUGCUUUUCCGUCAUUUUCUUCUUCUUCUUCUUCUUCUUUAUCUUCAUUUCUUGUAGUUUUUGCUCCGCUUUUGUCGACCCUCUUUCUUUGCUUUUCUCAUUUUUGCUAUCAUUAAUACUUCCCGUGCUGUUGUUACCGCUUUUAAUAUUGAGUACAUUUAAUGGAACUGGUUUAACUGCACUAACUGUACAACUGCAACCACUUAAUAGCCCUGAUUUUUUGUCCAAGAAACGCUGUUUACACCGUUUCUUCUGUUUCUCCAUCUUUUCUUGAUUGCCCUUGCUACUAAUCUUGAUACUUGAAUUGCUGUUACUGCUAUUAGAACUGCUGUUUCUACUAACAGAGGCUCGAACUUUAAGAUCUUGCAAUUCAAUCUCCGGGGUACGGACUACACCGAGUCUAAAAAUGUCCCAUACAGUUGAUUUUCUUGAAUUUCUGUUAUUGCCAGUAUUUCCUUUAGUGGAAAGUCUGAUUUGAGGCUUGGGACUCGGAUGGGUGUGAAAUUGAUUUUGAAUUAUUGAUCUUGGCUGCUUUGAAAUUGAAAUUCUUGGACUUUUUUUAACAGAGCUAGUCGUGCUAGUCGAUGAAAAUUGGCUUCUACUGCUACUGCUUCUGCUACUAAAACUUGUAAACCCAUGGUCCAAUGACUCUGAUCUUGAGAAACAUUUAAUAGGAUUUUUUAAGCUGUCUUGGCUCGACUUAUAAGUACCACUUUCAGAACUUAUUGAAAGACGAAAUGGAAGAAUUUGACCUUGAAAGAAAAUAUCAUCAGCUGCACACAUUUCUGAUUUUGUAGAAACAGACCUACCAAAUUGGCUAAAAUCAAAAUCUUCUUGAUUUGCUUCAGUUUCUUCUCUUCUCAAUUGAUGAUUCUCUUCUUUGAUCAAAUUGAUUGGUAAAUCACAAAGUGAUAAUGCUUCUACUUCUUCUUCUUCUUCAGAAUUUUCCCAUUUCCCUUCUUCGUUUCUUGCCAUUUCAAGAAACAGAGCUUUUAGUACCCAAAAAUAGUGUUGGGGUCCCUCCUAAGAAGAAAAACAAAGGAGAUGAAGAUUCUUAAGACUUAUAUCCAAGAAAGACGGCAUUUAAAUAAGAAAAAGGGAAAUAGAGGGAGAGAGAUUUGAAUUUGUUAUUCUAAGAGAGAAGCAGGGACAUGUGGAACUUAAAGAAAUAAAGCUACUGCAAGAAAAACAGAGGAUUAAAGAAAGAAAAUAAUAGCAGAAAUGGAGAAGUCAGUGGCUGUGCAGGCUCUCUUCUCUACUCAAAUAGUCCUUUUCUUUGGCUGGGACCAACACCUAAUUGGCCGGCCAUUACCUGAUUCUUUUACUGUCUACAAAUACCCUCUUUAAUGUAUUUGAAUUGGAGGCAAGAGGGUAUUCUCAAGUGGGGCUAUAUAUAAGAUAGUGUUAUAGGGACAUUUUUAUAUCAUGAACAUGCAAAUUUUUUUAUAUUUAUGCAUAUAGUUUAUAGAUAGAAGCAACCUUUUUUGGGUUUCUCUUCCAAGUAUAGAAUGUAAUCUAUAAAAUAAAAUGUCACACCAUCAUAGACAGCUUUUGUUGAGCUCUAUACACUUAAUAAUAGAUUCAAUUUAUGGAAUCAAAGUUUAUAUGGGAAUACAAAAAUCAAGACACCCACAAAUUCUUUGAGACAGGGACUAGAAGAGAAUUAAUAAAUCAAUAGGGAAUUGGUGAGGAUUUUAUUUGUGAAUUUUUAAUUAAUUUGAUUUUGGGUCGGUGUGGGUUGAUAAGAAUACUGAAAUGAUGUAUUUUAAUUUUGUAGGUGACUUGUGUGGUGGAAUUGGGCGAUUUGAAUGUUAUGUCAUGGAGAGCUUGUGAUAAUUGAGAAAGAAUGUGACUAAUCAAUCUCUUUCUCUUUCUCUUCCCAUGUCUUUAAUUUUGCUUUUCUUGUGGAAUGGACGUUUUUUGCCCUGUUGGAUCGGGUAGGAAAGGAAUGGCUUGUAUUUCAUUGUUUUAUACACGACAAAAAUUGUCUGUGAGAUUUUUUUUUUUUUUUUUAAAGGGAAAUAAUUAUUUUUAAGGAUAAAUAUCUCGUGAUGUUAUUUCAAUUUCUUUUCUUUUUUAUUUUAAAAAGUGAUUUAGAUAGUAAUUUAUAUUUAAAUUGAAUAAACGAGAUUUGUAAAAUCAAUAAUUCGAACUAUUAUAAAAAGUUCAACUCGUGAAAUAACAUUAUAAAAAGAAUAAUUCGAACUAUUGCGAAAUAACAUUAUAAAAGGAAACAACUACAAACCCAAAUCAAAUUCUUCUUCUUGUACCCAAAUAAUAUCUUAGUGAGAGUACCAAAAAGGAAAAUUCUUAUUUUCUUUUUUCUUUUAAGGAGUCUUGAGUUGACUUUAGUUGUCAACUACAACCAUUUUAUUAUAGUUUUGAAAAAACAAUGUUAAUUAUUUGUCAUAGCAUCUUAAGAAGGUUUUAAAUGAUUUUAAGAAAAAUAAGUAUUUUUGGAAAGUUAUUUACCAAUAAAAACAGGUAAAAAAGACUAUUCAUUCGAUAAUACAUAAAUAUAUACGUAUAUAGUGUUGGCUUAUCAUACGUCCAAAAUCAUUCAUAUAUCCACAUACAAUGUAUCAUUUUUGGUAUUCAACAAUCUUCUUUUUAAUGUUUUUUUUAAUUAAUAAUAAAUUCUUUUUUAAAAAAAAGGAAGAAAUCAAUCCGUAAUUAGAAAUUAUUAAUGGUAAAAUCUAUUUUUUGUAAUUUUAUGGAAAAAUGAAAUAGAAAUAUGAACCUUUCUUAAAAAAAAAAAAAAAAACAUAAAUAGAAAUAUGAAUCAUAUUUGAACUGAAAGAGACAAUAUUAGUUUUGUUUAAUGUUCUUGAACACGAAAGACAAGCAGCAGACCCACAAACCAGGUUCACGACCUGCUUUUCUUAUCCGUUUUACAAGGUAGAGCUGACGCUUGACAGCAAGUAAGAAAUUGCAAUUUUGUGAAUUAUUUUCAUGUCACUUCUCAUGCAUCAAAUUUAAGUGACAUAACUGAAUGUGGCAGUAGCAGCCCUUUAAGACUUUCAAAAGGAACAAAAAUAUAUUGAACAUGUAUUAAAAGAGGCCGAGGAUUUCAUCUUCAUGAACAGAAGAUAUAUAAUUAAACACAUCAAUUAUAGAAAGAACAUACAAAUAUACACAGGUCACAUUUUCCUUAAUCACUGUUAUUUAUUAUCUUUUUUUAAUUUGAAAAAAGAAAGCUGAAAGUUUAAUUACCCAACUUUAUUUAAUCCCCAUCUAUAUAUUCAUCCAAAAAAAAAAAAAAAACUAAAAAAAACUAAGGUGGUUUUCUUUUUUAAUUUUGAGGAAUAAAAUUUAAGGCUUCUUGGGACGACUAGUUAUAGCAUCAAUGGUACUAACAUCAGCAUCUCGAGGGACAGAGCCACCAGAAAGAGUGGGUGCAUCGGUGGCGCCGGCUCCGCGGCCAGGCUUUGGCUGGAGAUGGCCUUGAGUUCCAUAGCCCUUUAGCUUGUAAUCUUCCAAGUCCUUGUAUUGCAGAUAAGGGCUGUCCUCAACUGGAAGACCCUCUAAUUUCUCUUUCUUUUCCUGCUCUUCACGACUUUCUGUAGCUUGUUUUUCCAUCUUUAGAACUUCUGAUUUCUAUUCAGUUUCUCUCCAUCCACCACCUUCUUCCUUAUUCCAUAAUAUAUAACGGCGUUUUCUUAAUAGCUGUGGCUUUGCUAAAUGUCAGGCUACGUGUCUAAUUUGCAUGUGAAAGUGUUGUUAGUCAUAGAACUACGUGUCAAUAUGUCAAGGGCACUACAGGCAUGCAAAUUGUAAAUCCUCUUCGGACAAUAAUUGGAUUGAAAAAUACUUGUCUAAAUUGAAUUUAUCGCUACGAAUCAAAUCAGCCAAAAUAAAAAUUUAUAAAUUUUUUUUUUUUUCAAUAUAUAGUUAAAAAUGCCAUCCUUUCAAAUUCUAUUUCAACGGUUUGGUACAGUAAAUAUAUCAGAGAAUUUGAUGCUUUAAUUUCAAAGAUGAUAAGACGUAUUCUUAUUAAAUUAAAAACUUCAUUAAAAAAAACCAUAAACCUUAAAUAAAUGAAAUUGAUUUCAUAAGGAUACUCCCAAAAAGGUCAAUUUCAUAAAAGUAGUAGUUUUUAUCUUUUCUUUUAAUUAUUAAUUUCAUCCCUGCAUUUUGAAGGCUACUUUUCUAGAGCGAUUCAUUGUUUUAGAGAUUAACAUUAAUCGUAUUUGGAAACUAGUCAAAUGAAAAAGAAAGAAUCAACUUUUCCUUUUUAUGAAAAAGAAAUCGAAAUCAACCCCAAAUCUGUUUUUAAUCAGUACCAUCGGUUGCUUAAUAAUUUGACCGUAUUCUCAGAUUGGCUGUAUACCAAAAAUGUAAAGAACAGUCAUAAAGUGCACAACAGAAUAUAAAAAUUUUGAAUUUGUACUUAAAAAAAAUUAUGACAUUUUUAAGUAUUGUAUACUUAAAUUUAUAAAUUACACAUUAAGUACUCCGGUUUAAAAAAACUAUUAUAUUUACUCUUCAAUUUAUAAAAUGAUAUCAAUGAAUAUUUCUUGAACAAUUAAAAAAAAAUAAAACUUGCAUUGACCACGUCAAAUCAACAUUUUCAUGUAAAAUUUAAUUAUACAUGAGAUUUUUUUUUUUUUUUUCAUUGAGGGAAAUUUUAUCAUUUUACUUAUCCAACGUAUAAAAUGUAUUUUACUAUUCAUAUAAUUUGAUUGGAUCUGGCUUAAAAAGAAAUUAGGGCCGACUUUAAAAUUGGGCUUGCCAAAUGCCCAAAAACUGGUUUUGUCCCCCUGCAUUGUUAGGCCUGCCCAUUAAACAUGUGCAUCCGCUACUCGAUCAUUUACUUUCUAUUUUUACUCUUUUAAAUUUUUUCUUCCGAAAAAAAAAAAAAAAAAAAAAAAUAACUAUUAACUAUUACAAAUACAAGGAUAAUUUACAUCUCCGACAUCAUAAGCAAGCUAAGAAAUGAUACAAGACGGUGGGUUUUCGGAAGAUGAAAUCUUAAAGGUAAAGUAGUUACAAAAAUUUGCUAACCAAUCAGCACAUUAACUGACUUGCGAUGAAUAUGAGAUAAAUGAAACCGAACACCAUUAUAAGGGAGAGGCUUGGAUAUGUUUAACUGAAGGCCUCUCUCCACCUGGCAGAUCAACCAGGUCAAGAACCAAAUGAACUACCAGCGAAUUGUCACACGCCACCAUCCUAUUGACGACCAAUGAUAAUAGCUCAAAGCUCAGCCACUAAAAUGGAAAUCCUACCGAUAUGAAGAGAUGGUAAAGAACCAUCUUUUUUUCAGUUUCAGAAAUUCACAGAAUGGUGGAGACCAGCUAAUUUGAUUCAGCUGACAACCUGAGAAUGUAUUAACAGAAAAUAUCCAGCAAAGAGAAAUGAAAAUUUUGCGGUUGGUUUUCAUUGAUCGAUGUUGUUUAUAUAUAUACAAGUUGUUACAGAGCUUCUUCAAGCUAUUAUUCAUAACUGUUUGCUAACAACUAGUGCCAGCUAGGACUGACAGCAUAGCUAACAUUCUUCUAGAAUAAAUUAAUUGAUCCGCACCGUUUUACUUAUUUUCUUCUCUUGUUGCUGUGUUGCGUUUUGUUUAAAACUCCCCGUUUUGUCUCUUUGAGUUAAGUCUCCUAAUAUGUAUUAAAAUAUUGAAUUUCAAUUACUGGAAUCGUGAAGCUUUGUCAGCUAUGCAGAUGCGACUAACAAAUACACAUGGCAAUAACGUUAUUCUACAAACAAUUAGAUGGGUAAGACGCAUCUAAAAGUAGCUUAAUAUUAAAUUAAACUUGUCUCAGAGAAAUCUUUAACACAAAAAAAGUGAAAUCUUGAGAAAUCUACUAAUCAAGCAUAGCAAUACAAAUACUAAAAUGUAAAUAAAACUGUACACUAAGAAAGAAAACAUCUCCACACAUUGCCUUUUCUUUUUCAUGGUCUUUUCUUGUUUUCUUUCUCAGAGAACAACAUCAAACACUAAUCCAGCCUUCCAUUAUUUCCUGGAUAUAAACAAAUUAAUAUGACAUUCAUAGAAUUUUAAAACUAACAACUUAUCUAAUCCACUCCUCUCUUCGAGAAGGAGCAAAUUAAAAACCCAACUUCUCCUAUUUCAUAUGCUUCUUCUUCUUGGGCUAAGUCCAGCUAACUGCUAUUGGACUACCAACAACAUGUUUCCCAUCACUCCACUCUAAACGAGCAAACGCGUUAGUAUUAAUUGGCAAUGAACUUCCAGUUACAGUAACAGUAAAAGUUUUCUUCUCCUUUGCUUGGCUAAAGUUCAACACUUGAGGAUUAACUGAAAUUUUAACUCCCGUAAGCUGACCUGAAAUUGAAGCCUUAUAAGUCCCCGCACCAACCACAUUGGUAAGUGUUCGUGUGUAUUUAGCAACACUAGAACCACCAUUGAUCAUUUGUGUAGUAUCAAAGUUAACAGCAAAAGAAGGAUAGUUAAAAUCAUUCAAACUAUACUUCUUAUUCGAAUCGCAACUGAAUCUUCUUCUUGCAAGGCUAGUGAUUUGUGAUGCUGUGUAAUUUAACGCGCAGAGGAAACUUAAGUAGUCCUCGGAUGUUAGAUCGUAAACGAGCCCCGGAUCAAGGGCUGAUACUGGAUCAACAUGUCCUGCACCAUGGUCAAACGGAGUAGAGUCUUUCCCACUAGCAGUAUCUUUCAGUUUCUGUCCAUUUUUAUAAGCUACAUAAGCUGUAGUCAUUAAAGCUGAUCUAAUAGCUGCUGGACUCCAAUCUGGAUGUGCAGCCUUAAGCAGAGCAGCUAGACCACUAACAUGAGGACAAGACAUUGAAGUUCCUGAAAUAAUGUUGAACUCCACACGCCUUGGAUCUGUUGAUAGCCCAGUAGGACCAACUGAACCAGACCAUCCUGCUAAAAUGUUAACACCUGGGGCUAUUAGGUCUGGCUUGAGAAUAUCUGGUGUAAUUGAAUUAGGCCCUCUUGAGCUAAAAGCUGCAACAACUGGAGAUGGCUGAAUUCCAACUUUGGUGCCUUCAAAAAGAAUUGUAGCAGUUGGGUUUGAAUCU